CUCGGGGCAAACCUCAAGGAACUUGAUCAAAAAAUCAACAUUUCCAUUUUGAACCACAUGAUGCAAAGGAGUGAAGCCCUCCCGCCCUUUGACACGAACAAGGCCUUCAUCAAACCUGAGAAGUCGAAGCACUGCUUGAGUGUGUUGAUUUUGCAGAGCCAAGUGCAUGGGGCUAAACCCAGCUUGGUUUAGCUUUCUUGCAAACGAUGGCUUUAAGUUGAUCAUCUCCAUCAUAAAAUCAAUAUGCCCUGCAGAGGCUGCUACAUGCAAAGGAGUAUGGAAAAAAGGUACAUCAUCGAUACGCUGAAAAACAUAUGGAUCAUUCAGAAUUAACUCAUACAAGAUGUUUAUGUCUCCUGUUUGUGCAGCACCUAUCAUCCUCUCAUCCAUAGCAAGGUGCGGAAAUUUGCAGAAUAUAGAAAUGGAGUGAAGAAAAAACGCUUUAGCAGACGAUGUGAUUAUGUUAAGGAUAUACUGAAGUGUUUUAUUAUUUUUUCCAGAUGGAGUGUGUGAUAUUUUAUAGCACUUAAUUAUUUUGGAUUUAUAUGUGAUGUCAGCCACUACACGUAUACAUGUGAAUGUCACCUAUUAGAAAGAAAUAGUAAUUAUAUUUAGUAAUUAAAUUCAUAUUUAAUAUAUAUUUUUAAUCUAAUUUUUUAACUCAAUUUAAUUUUAGUUAAAACGUUUAAAAACAUUUAUUUAAUUUAAUUUCUUUAAUAUAUUAAAUAAAUUGAAUUAGAGAAUAUAUUAAAUAUGGAUGAAUACUAUAUCAUACUAAUUUUAUGUCUCUAAAAAUUAAUAAGGUGUCAUUAUUUUAUUGGUGCUUAAAAAAUUAAAAUAUUUAGAAUCAUCCUAAUAUAAGUUAUUCUAUUAAUAAUAAUAUUUGGUACUUCCACGAGUAAGUUCAAUAGUUUGACAAAUGUCUUAUAAAAGUAUAGUAAAAUAUUAAAAAAAAUUAUUUAGUGACUUAAUUUUUUAAGAACAUUUGAUAAUUUAUAAAGAAAAUAAAUAAUAAUUUUUUUCAAUAAAAAAGUGUGAAAAAAUGAUAAGUAGAUAAUAACUAUUAUCACUUACAACAUGUUUGGAUUAAAAAGAUAGAAAAAAGGAGGGAAAAUUAAGUAAAAUGAGGGAAAGAAAAUUCGGUUUCUUUGUUUAAGUUAAGUAAAUAUCGUAUCAUUAGAUUUUAUAUUUUAGGGUCUGUUUGAUUGAAGGAAUUGAUUUUCCGAAAAAUCAUUUUUAACUUUUCCAGCGUUUGAUUGGCGGAAAAUAUUUUCCAUUUGGAAAAUGAACUCCAAAACAUGGAAAAAUGGGUUACAUUUUAGGGAAAAUGUCUUACCCUUUCAAUUUCCGUAAGACAUUUUCCGUGCUCUCCUCUCUAUCUCCUCCUUCAUUCCUUCCUUCAUUUCCGGUAAAAAAUUGUUACUGUUUAUCGAUUUUCUAGUAACUUGUUUUUUUAAUUAUUCAAUACUUAUUUUUUUAACACAAUUACAAAUAAUUUAUUUGAUACUAAUUUUUUUCAAUUUAUAAUGAUUAAUAUUGUAGCUUAAUAAUUGAGUAUUAUUAUAAAUAAAUCAUUGCAAUAUAUGUAAAAAUAAUUUAAAAUAUAAAAAUUUAUUAAUAUAUAUCAAUAUAUGUAAAAACAAUUUUUUCAAAAAAUAUUUACCAGAAAUCUGCCAAACAGCCGAAAAUAUUUUACACAGAUUCAAUCAAACACCAGAAAAUAUUUUCCAGUAAAUCAUUUUACAGAAAAGUAAAAUAUUUUCCCGAAAUCAAUUUACGGAAAAUAUUUUACUGGCAAUCAAACAGACCCUUAGAUUAUUAUCUCUUCUUCUUCUUCUUUUAACUUGUAACCAUCUUAUUUUUAUUUUCUAUUUGUUUAGGUUACUAGAAAUAUUUAAUUUUAAAUUUGUUUGAUAUAUAUUUUUAAAAAUUUUAACAAUAUUUUUUAUUAACUAUUUUGUUAAAUUAUUAGGAAUCCUUCAUUUGUAAUUUGGUUAAGAUAUAUUUUUUAGUUUGAUCAAAUAAGCUUAUUUAAAAAAAAAAGAGAGAAUAUACCAAUAUAUUAUUGGUUAACAUUUUAAUUAUUAUUUUAUAUAGACUAUUGAUAUUGUUCUAUAAUUUUAAUUUGCUGUGAUUUAAUUUUGUUAUUAUAUAUUAUUUAUGAACUGUUAAAAUUAAAAAAUAAAAGUAAAAUAAUUCAUUUUCUUUCCUUUUCACAGUUUAGCAAAACAAGUCCACAAGGUCGCCCCAUUCAACAAAAAUUAAAUUGUUUAAAUAUAUAUAUGUAUAUAGGGACUAGUUUUAACAAAUAAAAAAUAUAGAAAAACUACAUUAAAAAAAUAGAGAAUGGAGGAAAACAGAGGGAGAAGCAGAAGACAAUAAAAAAUAAAGGAAAGUUAAAAGAACAUAAAAAAAUUAAAUUGAAUUGCUCAAAACGAAAAAAAUAUGGGGAUCAGUUGUAUAAAUCACCCUAAAUUUUUUGUUUGAAAGAUGAUUUAACAUGUCACAUCAGCUUAUCGUUAUAUGGUUAACGGAAAUUAACAGCUCAGUGACUAAAAUGUUACAACGCGAUAACGUAAGUGACUAAAAUGUAACAUUUCAAACAUAAAUGACUAAAAUGUAAGCAAAAGUGACUAUUUUAAUAAUUUACCCUUACAUUUAUCCAAACAUACGCUUAAUGUAAACAUUUUUCAAUUAUUUUUAUUUUAUUUUAUUUUUAACCAUUAUCCUUUAUCCUUACUUUAAAAAGUAUAAUUAAUAAAUAGUAUAAUUAUUUUUCAAAAUUAAUUUUAAGUAAUACACCAAAUAGAUUUUAUAACUUAAAUUUAAUAUUUAAGUUUAUAAUAUUUUUUUAUCAAACAACAUUUACUCCUAAGUAAAUAAAUAAAUAAAGGCCUUGUGUAAUUAAGAAAGUUGAGAAAGGGUUAAUCCUCACAUGGAAAAAAUUGGCUACAAUAAUGAAGGAAAGAGAAAAACACUAAGGAAUAUCCAAUAAUUGGGAGGCAAUAUGUCAAUUAUGAGCAUACCCCAUACUGUCAAUGGUGAUGGAUGAAUUGUCUACUAUACAUGGAUUUUGUUUUCCUUUUUUUUUUCCUUUUUUUGUUCUUGUCCUGUAUUAUUUGGAUUUGAGAUCCCAAGCUAUGUAUGUCAUCACAUUUUAAAUAUAUAUAUAUUUAUUAUGUAUUGAGUAUCAGUUUUAUUGGUAUAAAUAUUAUUGUUAAUGUAUGAGAAUAUAGAUUCAAGUGUGCACUACACCAAAACAGGCUUUUAACGGCACUUUUAGCGGCGUUUUGAGCGAAGACGCUGCUAAAAAUCGAAAAAUAGCAGCGUUUUAGGAAAAGCGCCGCUAAAGAGUGAGCAUUAGCGGCGUUUAUAAAAAAUGCCGCAAAUAAUACACCCAAACAGUGCCGUUUUAUGUCCUUUCGGGGGAAUUAGUGGCGUUUUUUGUAAAGCGCCGCUAAGGCUAAGACUUUUAGUGGUGUUUUUUGAAAAUCGUCGCUAAUCUAGGUGUUUUAGCGGCGUUUUUUGUUUAUGCGCCGCAAAAAUAAUUUAUCUUAAUUGAACUAUUAUUUAUAUUGUUUAAAUCAAAUUAAACAUAUUUCUAAUAGAAUAUUUAAAAUCUUCAAUAAAAAAUAACAAGUAUAAAUAAUUCGAAAUAAAACACAUGGAAAAAUUAAAAUAGUAUUAUUUAAAAUAAUUUUAAAGUUUGUUGGGUACAUUACUGAUUGUUUUUUAAUUUAUAUAUUAAAAAUUUGAAAUUAUUAUCGUAAUUAAAAGAGAUAGUAUUAAUUUAAAUUUAAAAUAUUGAAUUAAGCGUAUCACUAUAGUUAAUAUAGGGUUUUAGGUUUUAGGGGUAUAUAUAUAUGAUAUUAUUAAUUUAAGAUUUUAAGUCGGUUUAGGGGUUACUAUUUUAAGGUUAUUAUUAUAAUUGAUCAGGAGUAUAUAUAUAAUAUUUGAUUUAAGGAUAUGGUUUAAGGGCUGAGAUAUAAUGUUUAGGGGUUAGGGUUGGGGUUAGCACUUAAGGGUUAUUAAUUAGGAGUUAAUUAAGGAUUUAGGGUUUAGCUAGGGGUUGGGUUAGGGAACGUAGGGUUUUAGAUUAAUUAGUAUUGCCAAAUUAUAUAUUAAAUAUGUUCUUAUAUAUAUAAUUGUAAAAGAGGUAAUAAUAAAUUUGUUUAGGAUUUUUCGGUUCGGUAUAUGAUUUGGUUUCGGUAUAUUAUUAAUUUAAAUACGAAUUUGAAUAGUAAUGCUCAAAUAUAUAAUUCAUGAAUAACACUUAAAUACUUAAAUAAAUUUGUGAAUUUGAAUUGAAAUCAUCCAAAAAUAUGCAUAUACCUGAGUCGGUAUCUUUCCUAUUUUGAUCACUUCAAUAAAAAAAAUCCCAUAUAUAUAUAUAUUUAGUACUCCUUAAUUAUUUGUUUUCAUUAAUUUAUCUAUUUGAUGAAGGUCAAUAUAAUAAAUUAGUUAAUUAGACAAAUUUAUUCAUUUAUCAAUAAAAUAAAAUAUUAUAAAUUUCAAAUUUUAUACAAAAAUAAAUAAAUAUUAUAAAGAUAAUAUUGUUUAUUGCUACUUUAUACAAAAAGUUUUUAGUAUUAAUUAUUCUUUAAUCAAUUAUAACUAUUUUAUGAUAUUUAUUAAAGAUUUAGGGAUUAUUUUGGAUGGCCGUGCUAUUUUAAAGAUUAGGGGUACAGAUUUAGGGUUUGGGAUAUAAGAGUUAUCUAGGGGUUUAGGGGUUACAAGUUACAAUUUAGGGGUUAAAGAUUUAGGGUUUAGGGGUUUAGGGGUCGGAUAAGGAUUUUAGGUUAGUUUAGAUUAAUUUCUUUAAAUAAUAUUUUAAAAAAUCAAUCUAAAGUAUCAAUUGAUAUAUUUAAAUAUUAUUUUAAAUAGAAUUCAUAAAUAAGUUAAAAAUAUAUAUUGAUAUAUAUUAUAUGGAUAUGGUUAUAUAUUUAGGUAUAAUUAUUUAUUUUGGAAAUAUAUAUAUAUAGGACCAAAUACAUAAGAAAUGAAGUAAAAAAAACAAAAAAUUUCAAAACGGCGCCAUUUUUGAAUGAAUAGUUAAACUUUUAGUGGCGUUUUAACUGUUAAACGCCGCAAAUAUGGGAAAGCAGUCAUGGCGUUUGUACAAGAAACGCCGCAAAAGUGUCUUUAAAAUUGAGUAAACGACACCGUUUGUCUACACGAUUUUUAACUUAUAAAAAGUUUAGAAUUAUUUACUUGAAACGUCACCAUUUGGCUUGUUGUACGUUAAGUAUUAGUGGCGUUUUUACAAAAACGCCACAAAAUGUACAAUUUGAGAACAAAAAAACAGCGUCGUUUCUGCAUACAGGUUUAAAUUUUUAUGGCGUUUUCGCAAAAACGCAGGAAAUUUAGGAAGCAAUAGCGGCGUUUUUCAGUAAACGCCGAAAAGGGUAUUAAAAUAAUGUCUAAACGGCGCCGUUUCUGUACAUGAUUUGUAACUUAGAAAAAUUUUAGAAUUAUUUAUUCAAAACAUCAAUUAAGUAUUCGUGGCAUUUUUACACAAAACGCAACUAAUAAUACAAUUUGAGACUAGCAAAACGGCGCCAUUUCUGUUUAAAACUUGAACUUUUAGUGGCGAUUUUAUAUCAAACGCCGCAAAUGGGUUUUAAAAAAAUGGGUAAACGACGUCGUUUCUAUACAGUAUAUUUUACUUUGACAAAUUUUAGUGGCAUUUGUGCUUAAAACGCCAGAAAUAAUGCAAUUCCAGACCACGAAAACGGUGUCGUUUCUGUUCACAGCUGUAAUACGUAGUGGCGUUUUUAGGAAAACGCCGGAAAUGUGGAAGAAGUUGCGGCGUUUGUACCUAAAACGCCGCAAAACGGUGUUAAUAUAAUGGCUAAACGACAUCGUUUCCGUAACCGAUUUUUAACUUAUAAAAAUCUUAGAAUAAUAUAUUUAAAACGUCACCGUUUGGCUUAAAAUAGAUUAAGCAUACAGGUUUAAAUUUUUAUGGCAUUUUCGUAAAAACACAGGAAAUUUAGGAAGCAAUAGCGGCGUUUUUCAGUAAACGCCGCAAAAGGGUAUUAAAAUAAUGUCUAAACGGCGCCGUUUCUGUACAUGAUUUGUAACUUAGAAAAAUUUUAGAAUUAUUUAUUCAAAACAUCAAUUAAGUAUUCAUGGCGUUUUUACACAAAACGUAACUAAUAAUACAAUUUGAGACUAGCAAAACGGCGCCAUUUCUGUUUAAAACUUGAACUUUUAGUGGCGAUUUUAUAUCAAACGCCGCAAAUGGGUUUUAAAAAAAUGGGUAAACGGCGUCGUUUCUGUACAGUAUAUUUUACUUUGACAAAUUUUAGUGGCAUUUGUGCUUAAAACGCCAGAAAUAAUGCAAUUCCAGACCACGAAAACGGUGUCGUUUCUAUUCACAGCUGUAAUAUGAAGUGGCGUUUUUAGGAAAACGCCGGAAAUAUGGAAGAAGUUGCGGCGUUUGUACCUAAAACGCCGCAAAACGAUGUUAAUAUAAUGGCUAAACGACAUCAUUUCCGUAACCGAUUUUUAACUUAUAAAAAUCUUAGAAUAAUAUAUUUAAAACGUCACCGUUUGGCUUAAAAUAGAUUAAGUAUAAGUGGCGGUUUUUAUUAAAUGCCACAAAAAAUGAAAUUUCAGAGUAACAGAACGGCGCCGUUUCUGUUAAAAGGUUUACUUUUUUGUGGCGUUUGGUCUAUAAACACCAGAAAUUUGGAAUAAGUAGUGGCAUUUUUUCAAGAAACGCCGCAAAGGUGUUUUAAUAUUUUUUCUCAACGAUGUCGUUUCCGCAGAUGUUCUUUAACUUAGCAUUUACACUCGACAAAGCACAGAAAGCAAAAGCCAAGUGCAGAGGCCGAUUGGGAAGGGGAAAAAACCUAAGAAAAAAAUCUAAGGAAGAGAGGGGAGGAGAAAUCAGAAAUCAUCAAAGAGGAAGCAACGAUUGCGUCAUUCUUGACAGUAGUUGCAGAAUUUCUGGUUAAAAGGUAUGCGUUUAAUCCUUCUGAAGAACAUCGUCUUGAUUUAGGGUAAUUUUAGGUGCAUUGUGUUUUGCGAAUUUGGGGUUUAGGAAAAAAAUUUAGAUUUUGAGGUUUGCGGUUUAGGUUAAAACACCAUUCUUGUUUGGGAAUUUGGGGAACUUGUAAAUUAUUUAUUUAGCAAUUUAAAUAGAAGGGUUUAUUUAGGAAAAUUUUGUGUAUUUAGGGGUUGCCUGAAUACAAAUAUGGGUCCUCAACACAGCCUGUUGUUUCUCCAUUACAGCGAUUUUUGGAGAAGCAUAAAAGGGUAAGGACAGCCCUUCUGGUUGUGGUAGUAUUUGGUGCUUCUAUGGUCAUCUUUAUGGCUGUGGAUUCUAGAGUUUAAUCUCGGUUCCUCUUAAACAUAUGUGGCAACUAGGACAAUAAACAAAACUAUUAAUCAUGACAGUAUAUAUGAUUGUGGAUGGUGCUGGUGAGCUUGAAAAUACAUUCCCUUUAAUAGCUCUACUAAUAUUUUGCAUAUGGACUAGACAAGAGAUACCAAUAAAUAACUCGUCUGGUCUUACACCUGAAAGACUCAAAUUAACACAGAUUUAAACCCAAGCUAGCUGGUGAAGGUUAAACAAACCAUUUUCCUAAAAUUUUCUUGGCUGAGCCAUUAUUCGGACCAUGCAAUCAUUGUUGCAAUAGUGCAUAAUUAUGUUUGAUUCGUUUAGUGUGCUUAUUUCUCAGCUGGACAUAGUUGAUCUCCCAUGACAGAGUUAUGGAUAAUGAUAUCAGAAGUUCUUUAAUGAACAUAGUGGUGUCAUCGUAACUUCCACAUUACUUUGAUAACUUUAAUUGGUUGCAUUAUUCCUCCUAUCUAUAGUAUAUUGUUUGUGGUGGAUGGUUUGACAUGUCUCAGUGCUGAUAUUUCAUUAUUCAAAUAAGAUUUUUAAUUUUGGAUUUUGUUAUAUUUAAGCUUUAUACUAAUUUUUUCCUAGUACUAACUUACUUAUGUUUUCCUUUUUAUUUUUAUUUUUUGCAGUAGUUUGCUUCGAAGUCCAGGAAAUUGAGGUAUUUAUUCCUAUGUUUCCCACCUUGGUUUUCUUAAAAAAACACCUCCAAAUGUUUAAAUUUUGGAUUUUGUUAUAUUUUAUCUAUGUACUUUAAUUAUUAUUUUUGAGUUUUAAAAGGGAGUUUUAAUUAAGAAUUUUUUUUUAAGUUGUGGGUAUCGGUUUUAAUUAUCAUUUUUGAUUUAUAUGUUGCUAGCUCAAUUUGCAUGUUACUUUGCCAAAUUUUUCCAUAACUGCAAGGUAUAAAUUAUGAUUGUAAAUCUUGUACGUAUUUUUUACCCAAGCAAAAACAAUUACGCAAAUUAUUAAAAUUCUUAAAUCACUUUAUAUAUUGGAGUAAGUGAAUAAAUUAUGGGCGAAUAGUGGAUUUGUUUUAAAGUGAACAAAUUAUCGAUUUUCAAUUUUAUGCCAAUUAAUAAAUUAUCGACGUUAGUUCUCAUUUAUGCGAUUGAAUGUUAAUGUUUAAUAAUAUAUGAUUAUUCAAUAAAUUGAUCGAUUAAUUGAUUGAAUGUCAAUGAAUUAUCAAUUUUUGUAAGUUAAUUUGGUUAAAUUUAUUACUUAAAUACAUUACUUACUAAAAUACAUUACUUACUAAAAUUUGUUUAAAUUUAUUACUUAAAUAUGUUACUUAAAUACAUUACUUACUAAAAUUUAAGUAUAUAUUACAUUACUUACAUAACUUGUUAAAAUAUAUUAUAAUUUUAAAAAUAAUUAUAAUUAAGAUACAUAAAAGUGCUAUACUUACAUCAUACAUUAUUUACACAACCAAAAAUUGAAAUUUACAAGAACUUACAUAACUUGUUAAUAUUUAUAUAAACUUACAUAACUAUCACAUAAACUUACAUAAUAUAUAACUUACAUGUUACCUUACAUAAUACAUAACUUAUAUAAAAUUUUUAUAUAAACUUACAUAAUACAUUAUUUACAUAUUAACUUACAUAAGUUAUCUACAAGCUUGUGGUUAAACUUGCAUAACUUACAUAAUAACAUAACAACUUACAUAAUAUAUAACUUACAUGUUACCUUACAUAAUACAUAACUUAUAUAAAAUUUUUAUAUAAACUUACAUAAUACAUUAUUUACAUAUUAACUUACAUAAGUUAUCUACAAGCUUGUGGUUAAACUGGCAUAACUUACAUAAUAACAUAACAACUUACAUAAUACAUAGCAUAGAUAACUUACAUAACUUACAUAAUACAAAACUUACAUAACUUAAAUAUCUUACACAACUUACAUAACGUACAUAAUACAUAACUUACAUAAUACAUAAUAACUUAUAACUUACAUAACAUACAUUACUUUGAUAACUUACAUAACUUACAUAAUACACAACUUGUUAAGCUUACUUAAUACAUAACUUACAUAAUACAUAAUAACUUAUAACUUACAUAACAUACAUUACUUUGAUAACUUACAUAACUUACAUAAUACACAACUUGUUAAGCUUACUUAAUACAUAACUUACAUAACUUAUACACGUACAUAACUUACAUAAUUUACUUAAUACAUAAAUAUAUAUCAUAUGAUAUACUUACAUAACUCAUUUAUACUUACCACUCAACAACUUACCCUUGUAAUUUCUGGUGAAAAUCAGACGUCAAGAAAUAAGAAAUGGACCGGUCUUGGAUGAAUUUAUCAAGGGUAAGCGACGAUUAUCGAAAUGGAGUACAGACUUUUCUAAAUUUUGCAUUUCAAUAUGCAAGCCAGGAGAACAUGAUUCUUUGCCCGUGUAAGAAGUGUGUCAACAUAAACUGGCAUUAUCGUGAAGUUGUAUACGAGCAUCUAAUUGUUGAUGGGUUUGUUCAGGGUUAUAAACAAUGGUUUUUUCAUGGAGAAUGCCCGCCUAGUACUUCCUCAUCAAGGAUGGAUGUAUCUUAUGACAGUACUACUUACCAUCAGUCUGUUAGAGGGGAUGACAUAGAAGGGAUGUUGCGGGAAGCAUUUAAUAUUCACAACCAUGGUUUACAGUCGUUCCCAGCCGACUUUGUGGCACCUGAUGAUUGUAAUAUCGAUGGAAAUGCUUUUACCGAACCCGGAAAAAGUGUACAUCAUGAAGAGCCGAAUGGAGAAGUGGCGAAGUUCUACGCGCUACUUAAUGACAUGAAUGAAGAACUGUUUGAGGGAUCAAAAUUCUCGAAAUUGUCUUUCUGUAUUCGUCUUUUUCAGUUAAAGUGUUUGGGAGGGUGGACCGGGAACUCUUUAACAAUGUUGUUAGAGUUUCUGAGAGAGAUGUUUCCGUUUGCAAAAAUCCCUCAAUCAUGCAAAGAUAUGAAGAAAAUGAUAAAAAAUUUAGGUCUUGGGUACAACAAAAUCCAUAGUUGCCCGAAUGACUGCAUGUUGUAUUGGGGCGAUCGAAGAAACCAGCAAUGCUGUCACAUAUGCGGCCAAUCACGUUGGAUAAAUAGAAACAUAGAAGAUGGGAACGAUGAUGAAUAUGAUGCACUGGUAAGAAAGAAGCCGGUCAAGAUUUUGCGGUAUUUUCCGCUCAUACCAAGGCUUCAAAGGCUUUUCAUGUCAUCGAAGACAGCGGAGUCUAUGACAUGGCACCAUGAUGGACGAACCGAUGAUGGGAAUAUGAGGCAUUCGGCAGAUUCUUUAGCUUGGAAAUCAUUUGACAAUAAAUUUCCAAGCUUUGCAAGUGAUCCUAGGAGUGUAAGGCUUGGCUUAGCAUCUGAUGGAUUUAAUCCGUACAAGAUCAUGAGUAUUGUGUACAGUACUUGGCCAGUAGUGCUUGUUCCUUACAAUCUGCCUCCGUGGAUUUGCAUGAAGCAAUCUUCCCUUAUCUUAUCUAUGAUUAUCCCUGGAGAGAAAGGGCCCGGGAAUGAUAUCGACAUUUAUUUACAGCCACUUAUUGAAGAGUUAAAACAAUUGUGGGCUGGUGUCGAGACAUACGAUGUGCUGAGAAAUGAGAACUUUAAUCUACGUGCAGCUUUGAUGUGGACCAUUAAUGACUUUCCCCCUUAUGCCAAUUUAUUCGGUUGGAGUACAAAGGGUCGUUAUGCGUGUCCUUGUUGUGCUGCACAAACAUGUUCGCAAUGGUUGUACAAUGGGAAGAAGUUCUCUUAUAUGGGGCAUCGUCGGUGGUUACCGAAAAAUCAUAGAUUUAGAUUUCAGAGUUCUGUAUUUAACGGUACUGAAGAGUUCAGAGAAGCUCCUUCGCAGACCAGUGGCUCUGAAAUCUUGUUCAUGUUGGAAGAUAUGAAUUUCAUUUAUGGAAAGAUGAACCAACCGCCAAACACGCAAAGAAAUAGAAGAUCAAACGAUGAAGCUGAUGAUGACUCUGAUGAAGAGGACGAUCCUAAUGAGGCGGACUUGUGGAAAAAAAGAAGUAUUUUUUUUGAGUUGCCUUAUUGGGAGCAUCACCUUUUACGACAUAAUCUUGAUGUUAUGCAGAUUGAGAAAAAUGUCUGCGAGAACAUUGUGGGUACAAUUUUGAAUGUCGACGGAAAAUCAAAAGACAAUCUUCAGAGUCGACUUGAUUUAGUACAAAUAGGAAUCCGACCUGAUCUUCAUCCCAAUCCACUUCCGAAUGGAAAAUAUCGGUUGCCGCCAUCUAUUUUUUCAAUGUCGAAGACGGAAAAAGAAGUGUUCUGCACAGUGUUGAAGGAUAUAAAGGUUCCAGAUGCGUAUGCAUCAAAUAUAUCUCGAUGUGUUAGUGUUAAAGAUCGAAGAUUAUAUUCGCUAAAAUCACAUGACUAUCACAUCUUGAUGCAAGAUUUACUGCCAGUGGCUCUACGAUGUUGUAUGUCCAAGAAGGUGACGUCUUGUAUAAUUGAACUAUCCAACAUAAUGAAAGCCAUUUGUGGCAAAGUUUUGGAUGUUCAAGAACUUCAGAAGGUACAGGAUCGAGCCGCUUUGACUUUAUGCAACAUGGAGAAAAUAUUCCCACCUUCCUUCUUCACCAUUAUGGUUCACUUGAUAAUCCAUCUCCCGCACAAAGCAAUUCUUGGCGGACCCGUUUUCUAUCGAUGGAUGUAUCCCAUAGAAAGGUGUUAAUUAAAAUUUUUAAAAUUUUCCUUCAUUCACCUCUAUGCCUUUAGUUUCAAUAAUUAAGAAAUGUUAUAUAUUGUGUUUAGGUUUCUAUCCAAAUUAAAGUCUUACUGCCGCAACAAGCGAUAUCCAAAAGGAUCAAUUGCAGAAGGCUACUUGGCAGAAGAAUGUAUGACCUUCUGCUCAAGAUAUUUGGAAGAUGUUGAAACAAGGUUAAACAGACCAAAUAGGAAUGCUGGACUCACGGACCAUAACUUAGCCGAUACUUAUUUGUUCCAAAGUUUUGGAAAACCAAUCGGUAAAGUUGAAAUUGCAGAAUUAGAUCAUUUAUCGUGGGUACAAGCACAUCGAUAUGUUCUGUUUCACCACGAAUCAUUGGAACCUUUACGGAAGUAAGUUCUACAAAUUUGAUAAAUAUUUAUCAAACUAAUAACUGUUUAUCUUCUAACAAAGUGAACAUUUUUUUAACAUAGUGAGUACAAACAAAUAUUGAGAUCUCGUUCGCGCUCCCGAAGAACACAACAUCGAGAUAUCAAUAAGUUAUUUAUAGAAUCUUUUUAUGAAUGGUUAAGCCAAACGGUAUGCAGUUCGAGCUUCCGUUUACAAAUAAUAAAAUCCGUUUUCUUAUAACAUUUUUAAUUACUCAGUUUACUUUCCAUUCAAUAGGUUUGGAGUGGGAAGAACGUAAAGACGAAGUUAAAUGGCUCUCCCAAGGUCCAAAUCGAGUGGUUAAAAGAUAUAGUGCGUUCCUCAUCAACGGAUUCAGAUUUCAUACAAAAUAUCGCGAGAGGUUGAGGAGAACGCAAAAUUGUGGAAUAGUUGUCAAUUCUGCAAUUACAAGUUAUGCUAGUGCAAGAGACAAUAAUCCUGUCGCGGGAAAUGUGGAAUAUUUCAGACAUCUUACUGACAUAAUUGAGUUGGAUUACUACGGCAAAUGGAAAGUUGUCUUAUUUCGUGGUGAUUGGGCCGAUGUUAAUACAGCUCGUGGAAUUAAGCAAGAUCAAUUUGGUUUUACAAUGGUGAACUUUGACCGAUUGAUUCACACAGGACAACAACUGAUAGAUGAGCCGUAUGUAUUCUCAUCUCAAGUCAAACAAGUUUUUUACUCAAAAGAUCCAACUGAUGAGAGUUGGUACGUUGUACUCCGUAACAUCCCAAGAGACUUGUUUGACAUGGGCAGUGGAAGUAGAGAUAACAUCGACGACAGAUCAGAAACUUUGCCCUUUCCAGAACAAAACUUAAACGAUAAUAUCCCUAGUACUAGUGCACAAUUUCAAUGUGUUCGUCAGGAUACCGAUGAAGAUAUUUACGAAUAAUGAUGUAGUAAGAUUUUACGAUUGUUUAAUUAUAAGUUUUUUUUCAUAAUUUAAAUAUUGGUCUUAUUAUAUAUUUCAACUGUUUUAUAUGUGAUGUUAUUGUUGUAAUUAGUUAUUAAGUUGUCAACUAUUUUAUGUGUAUUGUAGAUAAAAUGCCUAGAAGAAAAAUUCUAAGGGGAAGCAUUGUUCAAAAUGAUCCAAACACGAUAGAAACAAAUAGUACUGAACAACAGACAGCAAUUGGAUCUUCGAAUGUUCCGAUUACAGCUGAUGAUCCUACAGAAGUUCAAAGUAAUUUUACAUUUAAUUUACAUGCGUGUUGACUUAUAGUUGCUUUUUUUCAAAUUCUUAUAUUAUAAUAUACCAUUUGUAGCUGAAAAUGGUGGGACGCGCAGAGGUCGAGGACGUACGCUACUUAGAGAGUUAUACGAGUUAGAUCCAGUCGAGCGUGUCAAAGUUGGACGAAACAGUUUUGGUCAGCCUGUUAGAUCAGAAGCUCGACUUUUAGCAGGAUACAUGGGCAUUUUAGCACGAAAUCCGAAUAUGUUACCUAUCAACUACGACUCAUGGCAUCAAAUGCCCGGUAGCAAAAAAAACCAAGCCGUCGAUAAUAUUAAGGUAACAAAAUGUUAAUGUCAUCUGUAAUGCUUGGGAAAUAGUUUCAUUUAUAUUUACUUUAUUAACUUGUGUUUUUUGUUUUUUGUAGACGAGGUUUGCUUUAGAGGUCUCGGAUGCUUAUGUAAAGAAGGCAUUGGGAAAAAGAUGGAGAGACAAUAAAAGUACUUUGAAGAGAAAUUAUUAUAAGACAAAAACAACCCUCGAUGAGAAAUUGCAAAAUGUCCCGCCGGGUAUGUUGAGGUACCAAUGGGAAGAUACGGUUAGAUUUUGGCAUUCGAAGAAAGGCGAGGUAUGACGUACUUCCAAACUAUUGUAAUUAUUUUGGUAAAUAGUAUUUUCUAUUUACGUACUAAAAAGUUCAUAACGUAGGAUCGUGAACAAGUUGGAAAAAGUAGCAGGCAGAAACAAAAAUUCACCCACACAGCCGGGUCGAGAAGUUUUACAUGUGUAGCUGAGGCGGAGGUAUUUUUAAUUUUUUAAUAUUGUCGAAUAUGUAUAACUUUCUAUUAAAUAAUAUUUUUACUACUAUAUUGUAAGAACUGUCGUUCGGUCAAAAAGUUGGACGCCUUCAACUUUUUGAAAUUACACAUAGGAAGAAAGAUGGAUCUCCCAUGACUCCUGAAGCUGGUGAAAUAAUGAUACGUUUACUUAAUACGAUUUGACUUGUUUUAGUUAUUUAUAGUGUUUAUUUUCUAAUGGUUUAAUUCAUUGCUUGUAAUGCGACUAUUGUUAUGUUGCAUAUGUUUUUUAAUAUAUAAUAUUGCGUUCCUAACUAUGUGAUUUAUUUAUUAGGAAAAACUAAAGGAUAAAAAGGUUGAGUACGAAGCGAUUGCUUCUAGUGAUAGUUCUGUUCAUCUUGAAAACAUUGAUAAUCGGAUUAUUACUGAAGUUUUGGGUCCUAAAAGGUAUGGUCAGGUUCGAUUUCAAGGAUCUUUUGUUAGCCCAACCCAAUAUUUUGGAUCCAGCUCCCACCAAUACAUGGCUUUAGGGAGUCAGGCUCAAGCUGAAGUUCAGAGGUUAAAAGACCAGAUCGCUCAGAUGCAAGCGACCACAGUUGAGGUUCAAAGGAAAUAUGAAGAACUCCAGCUACAACUUAAAGCAGAGGCGGCAGCGAGGGAAGCAGCGGCUGCAGCGAGGGAAGCAGAGGCUGCAGCGAGAGAAGCAGAGCAGACCAAAAAGUACGACGAACUCCAGCAACAGCUUCAGAUUAUGAUGAAGAUGUUUCAGUCGCAACUUCCGCCUUCAUAGUGUAUGGCAUAAAUAUUUUUAUCAUUUUAACAUUUAACAUUUUUGCAAAAUAAUAUGAAUUCACUUUUAUUUAUUGAUAUUAAUAUUAUUUUAUUCGUUUAAUUUGAAAUAUUAUAUAAAUUUAUUGCUUUUGGCUGUUUUAGAUCUGGUUGCUUUUGAUUUGUUGUUACAGGAGGGCUGAAAAAAUGAAAAAUUUAAUAAAAAAAUCCCAAAAAUAGUGGCGUUUUUGUAUAAAAACGCCGCUAAAGAACAUGGUCUUUAGUGGCGUUUUUACCAAAGCGCCCCUAAAGAACAUGGUCUUUAGUGGCGUUUUUUACUAAGCGCCGCUAAAGAACAUGGUCUUUAGCGGCGUUUUUUUGUAAACGCUGCAAAUGUUUGCGAUGUUUUCCUUAGUGGCAUUUUUUGCGGCGCUUGUGGAAGCGCCGCAAAUACCUUUAGUGGCGUUAAAAAGCGCCGCUAAAGGCCUAAAAAAAUGCCGCUAAAGACUUGUUUUGGUGUAGUGGUGUUAAAACGCAUUAUCCUCUUAUUUAUGAAUUAGGAAGUAGUUAUUGGUAGUUCUAGACAUUGCGUAGAAAAUAAUAGAUAUGAUGAGAAUCUAUAUUGAAACUUUUCGAAAAAAUAUAUUUAUUACACAUGAACUAAAAGAAAUUUCUUUAUGGGUAGUUCAAGAAUAUUGUUGAAGCUAUAAAAUAAAAAUUCAAUUGGAUAAUAGAAAUCUCUUUUGUUUAACAAAAUAUUAAUCAUUGAUUGAGUUAAUAUUAUGAGUCAAUCGGACACCAAUUUAAUUAAGAAAUUACGAAAAUAUCAUUCCAUAAUUAAAAUAAAUUAUAUUAUUUGAGGAUAUUUUAAUAUUUUUAUGUCAAAAAAAUCAAUAAAAAUAUAUAUUUAUUUUUCACAAAUAUAUUAUUCUAUCAAUUUUCAUCAACCAAAAAAAAAGUAAUUAAAGUAAAAUUUACCUUUGAUAUACCAGAUGAUUUCAAAGAGAAUGAUUAUAUCAAUGAGUUUAACAAUUAAAAAAUAUAUUUUUUUCAAAGAUUUUAUAAUAUAAAAAAUUUUAAAAAUUUUAUAUAAAAAUUAAAUAAAUAUUUUAAAUGAUAUUUGGACCAAUUUUAAUAAUUAGUUUAUAAUUUAGAGUUGUAGAUAAUAUGGCUGAUAUAUAUAAUGUCUUGGUCAAGUCAUGGUUUUAUAUAUGUUUAUUUGUGAGCCCUACACUCGCAUCAAAUUUAGAUAUCACAAACAUGAUUUAAAACAUUACUAGCUGUGAGCAAUUUAAAGAAAUUUAAUUUCUUUUUUACAAUUUUAAGUUAAUCAAUUAUUUGAUUUUUUUAGGGGCGAAUUCAGAAAAGUUUUUUAGAGGCCGAAAUGAAUUUUUAAUUUUUAAUAGUCUAUAUCUUUAUAUUUUUAAAGGAUUAAAUUAAAAUUUUAUAAUUUUAAGGGGGGCAAAAUGUAAUUUUAUCUCUACUAAUUUAAAACUUUAAGAUUUUUUAAAGGACCUAAAUAAUAAUUUUUCAUUUUAAGGGGGCCGGGGCCCCUACCAACCCUUUAGAUUUGCCUCUGAUAUAUAUAUAUUAUUUAUGUUUUGUAACUCAAAAUUUAGUCAUAUUAUCAAUAAUAUUUUAAUAUGAAAAAUUUACUUUUUAAAAAAAACUUAUUUAACUUGUCUCAAUUAAAUUAAAAAAAUUAAAAUCAAAUUAGAAUAAUAAAAUAAUACCUAUUUACGCGAUUGAAUCUAAUACUCACCUCUCAAUAUUACACCUUUUGAAUCUUCCUAGAUCAUAAAAGGAGAAGUUAUCCUUGGCGUGUGUGUUUUAGUGCUCCUUAUUUCCUUUAAAAACAAAGUUUAUUUAUUCCUUUUUUAUAGAAAUGAAUUGAUAUUUAAACUGCAAAAGAAGAACCACUAUUUGAACAUGUAUAAAUUAAUAUUGUACGCAAAUAUAAACUUUAAUACCAAUUAGAGAAGUAAAAUAAGAUAUUGGUGAAUCAAAUUUAUUAAAUAAUUUAUAUACAGAAUGGAUGAUAUAAUAUUUCUGAAGUCUUCCCUUGGUUGACCAUAAAAGGAGAAGUCAUUGUUUUGUUUUUUGGUAUUUAUUUGUGACCCCUACACACACAUCAAAAUCACAUAUCAUAAACAUUGAUUUAGAAUUAAACUAUAUAAUAUUAGACCUUUUGUAAUCUUCCUAUUGUUGACCAUAAAAGGAGAAGUCAUCCUCUUCUGUCUUUUCUCCCCUUUAACUCUGUGGCUAAUUAUGUCAAAACAAGGUUUUUUUUUCCCUUCUUUGGUAGGAAUUAAAUUAAUAAAGAUUAUUGUAAUUUAAAAUCCAAUUAAAGUUACUAUUUGAACUGGUAUGAAUUAAUAUUGUUAUGUCUAACAUUUAUAUCCAAUAAUUUUUACUAUAGAGAAAAGAAGUAAGAAAAUAAUAUAUGAUGUAAAAUUGUUAAUUUGAGUCUUAACACAGUCGGUAUUUGUAUGUUGUUUAUGUAAUUUUUCUUUCUAGUUAAAGGUUGGAGAGGAGUUAGGGUGAAGCUAGAAAUUUCUUUUUUGGGAGACGAAAUUAAGCUGUAUAUUUUUACGAGAGUUAAAAUACAAUUUUACCAUUUCAAUAGCUUAUAUCUUUACAAUUUUUAAUGGACUAAAGCAAUAUUUUAUCAUUUUUAGGGCUAAAGUACAAUUUUACUAUUUAUUAACUUAAAAUUUUAUAAACUUAAUUUAAAGGGUUAAAUUUUAAAUUUCACAUUUUAAGGGAAGGGAUAAAAACCCUGCUAGGCUCCCCUCUUGCCGCCCCUGAGAGGAUAUAAAGUAAAGCCAUAAGGGUCUAAAAUAUAUGAAUUAUGAGUACUUAUUACACUUGACCAAUUGCUUUUCUUCAAACAAAACAAAAACUAAUGCACAUGAAAAUGCAAAUUCACAUGCAACCUAGAUAUGCAUUCUAUAUACAAUGCAAUGCAAUAAAUAAAUAAACAAAUAUUAUUUAACUAUGGAGUUGCCUCUCCGUAAGCACCUUUGUUUAACAUUUUUGGCUAGAUGUUUUUAAAUGUUAUUUCACCACAGAAUGAUUCGGAUAACAUCUUGACUUAAUAAAAUUGAACAUUAGGAACAACUUAAAAGUCGAGGGAACUUGAGAGUUUUGAUCCCCUUUUGGUUCUUUAACCAACCAUUCUCACCCCUAAUUAUAAUUCCAAUACAGUAAAAGUACGUGAUUGAGUUGAAUGGAUGGUGGUUGUUUGACAUAACAUGUAGAAAGUGAAAAAAUAGUUAAAAAUAAAUCAAGUAUUAAAACUAAAAGUUUAUGAAAGAAAUAAUUUUUUUUCGUUUCCAGGCUUUUACAAAAUCGUGUAGAUUAUUCAUUUUCUUUCUUUUGCUUUUCUUUUCUGACGAAUAAAAUUUAACAAAUGAUAAAAUUGAUCUAAUGUUAUAUAUUUGGUUUAAAAUUUAUGUAACAUAUUAGUAUUUUAAUUAUUUUUCAAAUGUUAUAUAUUUGUUUUAUAAUGGAAACUAAAGUUCGCAUUUAUUUUUUUUUAGGUUUUUUAGGGUGAGUUUAGAUAGGCGGUGCAUUUAUCUACGGUUAGUAUAAAAAUAAAAAUAACGGUAAUAUUAUAUAUUAUAGAGAUAUUAUGGUGUGAGACAAAAAAUAAAUUAAAUACACCGCACCCUACUAUCUAUCCAAACUUAAUUUUAUUAUUUAAAAAUAUAAAUAUUUAAGAUAAAUAGAUAAGUGGGAAAUAUUGAAUGGAAUAAAGUAAUUGAAGCAAUCAAUUGCUAUAUCAUUUCACACACUUUCCCAAAGCCACAUAAGGGGAGAGAAGGGGCCACGCAGCCCUCCUAAAUAGUUGAAAAUAAAUCAAGUAUUAAAACUAAAAGUUUAUGAAAGAAAUUCUAGUAUUAUCAAUUUUUCGUGAGGCUCAAAGCUAUUUGGAACAAAAAUAAAAUCAAUAUGUAUAGGCUUAACAAAAUAGCUAUUAUCUUGCAUUGUUAUUUCAUCCUAACCUCUUCCCUCAUAACUUCAUCUUCUAUUUUCUGUUCGACUUUAUCAAAAGUCUCAAGAAUUUCCUCCCCGUCCUUUUUAACUUCAACGAAACUUUCUAGGGAAGGAAGCUCUAUCGUGAAUGACUUCGGUUCUAGUCAAAGUAAAAUAUAGUUUUUUUAGGUUUUUCGACUAUUUAUGCAUCAAACUUUUAGGACAUUUUGGACAUCUUCCUAAUGUUUUUGGGCUUUAAUCUGUGAAAUAAAUUUAGAUAAAUCUUUCAAGUCACAUCAACAUUUUAUUAAUGAUUUAAUAAAUUAUUAAUAAAAAGAUUUAGGAUUAAUGUACAAAUUUGUCACUAUACUUCAAUUUGAUUGAUAUUUGAUAUUGAAUUUUAUUGCUUUACUUUAAUUUAAUUGAAUUUUGCCACUAAGAUUUUUUUAUUGAAUUUUCUAUUCAAUUUAAUUUUAAAAUAACUUGAAGGCUAAAUUGAAUAAAAAUAGUUUUAUAUUUCGCUUUUAUAUUUAAUAAUUAUCCUCUCAUCCAUGGCAAGGUGCGGAAAUUUGCAGAAUAUAGAAAUGGAGUGAAGAAAAACCGCUUUAGCAGAGGAUAUGAUUAUGUUAAGGAUAUACUGAAGUGUUUGAUUAUUUUUUCCAGAUGAAGUGUUUGACAUUUUAUAUCACUUAAUUAUUUUGGAUUUAUAUGUGAUGUCAGCCUCUACACGUAUACACGUGAAUGUCACCUAUUAGAAAGAAAUAGUAAUUAAAUUCAUAUUUAAUAUAUAUUUUUGAUCUAAUUUUUUUUAAUUCAAUUUAAUUUUAGUUAAAACGUUUAAAAACAUUUAUUUAAUCUAAUUUCUUUAAUAUAUUAAAUAAAUUGGAUUAGAAAAUAUAUUAAAUAUGAAUGAAUACUAUAUCUCUAAAAAUUAAUAUAUUAUUAUUUUAUUGGUGCUUAAAAAAAUUAAAAUAUUUAGAAUCAUUUUAAUAUAAGUUAUUCCCUUGAUAAUAAUAUUUGGUAUUUACACGAGUAAGUUCAAUAGUUGACAAAUAUUUUAUAUAAGUAUAAUAAAAUAUUUAAAAAAAUUAUUUAGUGACUUAAUUUUUUAAGAAUAUUUGAUAAUUCAUAAAGAAAAUAAAUAAUAUUUUAAAAAAAGAGUGAAAAAUGAUAAGUAGAUAAUAUCUAUUAUCACUUACAACAUGUUUGGAUUAAAAAGAAGAAAAAGGGAGGGAAAAUUAAGUAAAUUGAGGGAAAGAAAAUUCGGUUUCUUUGUUUAAGUUAAGUAAAGUUGUUAAUUUUUUAUUAGAUUUUAUAUUUUAGAUUAUUAUCUCUUCUUCUUCUUUUUUUAGCUUGUAACAGCCUUAUUUUUAUUUUCUAUUUGUUUAGGUUACUAGAAAUAUUUAAUUUUAAAUUUGUUUGAUAUAUAUUUUUAAAAAUUUUAACAAUAUUUUUUAUUAACUAUUUUGUUAAAUUAUUAGGAAUCCUUCAUUUGUAAUUUGGUUAAGAUAUUUUUUUUUUUAGUUUGAUAAAAUAAGCUUAUUAAAAAAAAAGAGAAUAUACCAAUAUAUUAUUGGUUAACAUUUUAAUUAUUAUUUUAUAUAGAAUAUUGAUAUUUUUCUAUAAUUUUAAUUUGCUGUGAUUUAAUUUUGUUAUUAUAUAUUAUUUAUGAACUGUUAAAAUUAAAAAAAAUAAAAGUAAAAUAAUUCAUUUUCUUUCCUUUUCAUAGUUUAGCAAAACAAGUCCACAAGCUCGCCUCAUUUGAAAAAAAAAUUAAAUUGUUUAAAUAUAUUUAUCUAUAUAUAUAUAGGGACUAGUUUUAACAAAUGAAAAACAUAAAAACUACAUUAGAAGAAAUGGGGAAGGGAAGAAAACAAAAGGAGAAGCAGAAGAGAAUGAAAUAUAAAGGAAAGUUAAAAGAACAUAAAAAAAUUAAAUUAAAUUGCUCAAAACGAAAAAAAUAUGGGGAUUAGUUGCAUAAAUCAUCCUAAAAUUUUUGUUUGAAAGAUGAUUUAACAUGUCACAUCAGCUUAUUGUUACACGGUUAACAAAAAUUAAUAGCUCAGUGACUAAAAUGUUAUAACGUGAUAACGUAAGUGACUAAAAUGUAACAUUUCAAACAUAAAUAACUAAAAUGUAAGCAAAAGUGGCUAUUUUAAUAGUUUACCCUAACAUUUAUCCAAACAUAAGCUUAAUGUAAACAUUUUUUCAAUUCUUUUUAUUUUAUUUUAUUUUUUACCAUUAUCCUUUAUCCUUAUUUUAGAAAAAAGUAGAAUUAUUUUUCAAAAUUAAUUUUAAGCAAUACAUCAAAUAGAUUUUAUAACUUAAAUGUAAUAUUUAAUUUUAUAAUAUUUUUUUAUCAAACAACAUUUACUCCUAAGUAAAUAAAUAAAUAAAGGCCUUGUGUAAUUAAGAAAGUUGAGAAAGGGCUAAUCCUCACAUGGUAAAAAUUGGCUACAAUAAUGAAGGAAAGAGAAAAACACUUAGGAAUGUGAAUGAGCAUACCCCACACACAUACUAUUUACUGUCAACGGUGAUGGAUGAAUUGUCUACUAUACAUGGAUUUUUUUUUUUUUUUGGUUCUUGUCCUGUAUUAUUUGGGUUUGUGAUCCCAUGUAAAAUUCCAGUCACUAUUUCAUAGCAUUUAAAAAAAAUUAUUUAUUAUCAAUUGAGUAUUAGCUUGAUUGGUAUAAGUAUUAUUGUCAAUGUAUGAGAACAUAGGUUCGAGUGUAUUAAAGCUUAUUAUCUUUUUAUUUAUGGAUUAGAAAGUGAUUAUUGGUAGUUCUAAACAUUGUGUUGAAAAGAAUAGACAUAAUCAGAAUUUAUGUUGAAAUUUUUCAAAAACAAUUAUUUAUUACACAUUAAUUAAAAGAAAUCUCUUUAUGGGCAGUUCAAGAUUGUGAAGUUAUAAAAUAAAAAAUUCGAUACGAAAACAAAAAUCUCUUUUGUUUAACAAAAUAUUAAUCAUUGAUUGAGUUAAUAUUAUGAGUCAAUCAAACAUCAAUUUAAUCAAGAAAUUACGAAAAUAUUAUUUUAUAAUUAAAAUAAAUUAUAUUAUUUGAGGAUAUUUUAAUAUUUUAUGUCAAAAAAAUCAAUAAAAAUAUGAAUAUGAUGGGAUUUGAAAUAAAAUCUUGAAUUUACCACUCAACCAAAACUUUAUUUUAUCAUAUUUUAUACAUUUUUAUUUUAAUACGCACAAUUUAUUAACUUCAUCAGUUGUAUAUAUAUUAAUAAAUUUAUUGAUUGAGUUAAUAUCACAAGUCAACUCGACACUAACUGACAAUUGACGACAACACUUUGAUAGACAGUUGUAUUGCGUUUAAUUAGUAUUUUUAAUUUGAUGUAUUUAUAUGUUUAAAUUUUAUUUUUGCUCCCAAAUUAAUUUAAUUUUUUAUUUUAAUGCCAUACAUAUUUUAUAUAUUCUUAUAAUUAAUUAUCUUGAAACCAUAUGUUUCAUUAUUUACUUCUUUCUUUUAAGCAUGCAUCUGUGUUUCAAAUCUAAACAUGGUUGAUUAUGUUAAUUAAUGUUACAAAUUGAGAAAUUUAUUAAAAGUAUUGAAAUCUUCACAUCUAACCUACUUUUAUCAUGUUUGGAAGAUGCUAUUGAUCUUCUUCAAGUGGUUUUUCACAAAUAUAUUAUUCUAUCAAUUUUCAUCAACCAAAAAAAAAAGUAAUUGAAGUAAAAUUUACCUUUGAUAUACCAGAUGAUUUCAAAGAGAAUGAUUAUAUCAAUGAGUUUAACAAUUAAAAAAUAUAUUUUUUCAAAGAUUUUAUAAUAUCAAAUAUUUUAAAAAUUUUAUAUAAACUUAAAUAAAUAUUUUAAAUGAUACAAUUCGACCAAUUUUAGUAAUUAGUUUAUAAUUUAGAGUUGUAGAUAAUAUGGCUGAUAUAUAUAAUGUCUUGGUCAAGUCAUGGUUUUAUAUAUGUUUAUUUGUGAGCCCUACACUCGCAUCAAAUUUAGAUAUCACAAACAUGAUUUAAAACAUUACUAGCUGUGAGCAAUUUAAAGAAAUUUAAUUUCUUUUUUACAAUUUUAAGUUAAUCAAUUAUUUGAUUUUUUUUAGGGGGCCGAAAUGAAUUUUUAAUUUUUAAUGGUCUAUAUCUUUAUAUUUUUUAAAGGAUUAAAUUAAAAUUUUUAUAAUUUUAGGGGGGUCAAAGUGUAAUUUUACCUCUACUAAUUUAAAACUUUAAAAUUUUUUAAAAGACCUAAAUAGUAAUUUUUCAUUUUAAGGGGGCCGGAGCCUUACCAACCCUUUAGAUUUGCCUCUGAUAUAUAUAUUAUGUAUGUUCUUUAAAUCAAAAUUCAGUCAUAUUAUCAAUAAUAUUUUAAUAUGGAAAAUUUACUUUUUAAAAAAUUUAUCUUGAACAAACUUAUUUAGCUUAACUCAAUUAAAUUAAAAAAAUUUAAAUCAAAUUAAAAUAAUAAAAUAAUACUCAUUUACUCGAUUCGAUCUAGUACUCACCUCUCAAUAUUACACCUUUUGAAUCUUCCAUGACAGAAGUUAUCCUUAGUGCUCCUUAUUUCCUUUAAAAACAAAGUUUAUUUUUUCCUUUUUUAUAGAAAUGAAUUGAGAUUUAAACUGCAAAAGAAGAACCACUAUUUGAACAUGUAUAAAUAAUUUAUAGUUGAUAGUUAUAUACAGAAUGGAUGAUAUAAUAUUUCUGAAGUUUUCCCUUGGGAGAAGUCAUUGUUUUAUGUUUUUUGGUAUUUAUUUGUGACUCCUACAAAUUAUAUAUAAGAAAUUCUAGUAUUAUCAAUUUUUUGGAGGCUCAAAGCUAUUUGGAUCAAAAAUAAAAUCAAUGUGUAUAGGCUUAACAAAAUAGCUAUCAUCUCAUCCUAACCUCUUCCCUCAUAACUCCAUCUUCUAUUUUCUGUUAGACUUUGAGAGUUCAAUUACGAAAAGGGAAGUGUUUUUUUCGGCUCUUAAUGUAAUUGAUAGUAGGCUAGGAAAUAAAGAUUAUUCGUUUGUUUGUUUAAGCCUGAUUUUGACUUGUUUACUAUAAUUAAAUUAUCACUUCAAUAUAUUUUUAUCAGUUUGAUUUAUGUACUUUCAUUCUAUGUACUUCGUUAUCUUAUUUAUAUUUUUUAGAAAAAAAAUUUUCUAUCUAAUUAAAUGCUGUCACCUAUGAAAAAAUUUAAAAUUCCACUGAAGUAUAUAAAAAUUCAUAAAAAUCGUAAAAAAAGCAUAGAACUCUAAAGAAAUUAAUAAAAUUUUAUAAGCACAAAUUUCCAAAAUUAAAAUUAAAAUAUUUUAUUAAAAUUUUUAAAUUUUUUAAAGUUUCAUAUAUUUAUUGUUUAAAAAUUAUAUCAUUUUCAAAAAAAGAUUAUGAAUUUUUUUAGGUAUUUUAAAAAUAUUUUUCUAAGUCUUAAGAUUUUAUUUUUUGCAUUUUAUGAUUUCUUUUUUGGAUUUUUAAUGGUUUUUAAAAUUUUAUAAUAUUUUCUAAAAUGUUUUAACUAUUUUGGUCGUCCAGGUUUUGUGAAUGAAGCGAAGGGUAUCUUUAUUGUGGUGAACUUUUAAUUUACUCAAAACGAAGUGAUUUAUUACGUUGUGUGAUUUGCAGAUAAGUGUUAAAUAUGAAAUGUGUAAGGCCCAAUAUUUGCCCGGCCCGUAAUAAAUAAACCAAAUCAAAAUUUAAAAAGUCCAAAGUCCAAAAUUACAAAAAUCUAUCAGACCCAAAAUAUAAAUCGAGCCCAUUUAUAAAUGGCCCAGUACAAACCCAAAUUACAGCUAGCCCAAUAGCCAAAAUCAGCCCAGAUUUUUUCAUUUUGCAGAAACCCUAAACAGUUUCAGAGGUACCAGGCGCCGCAGCCAAGCCCUCGCACAUGCCCCACGAACCACGCUUCCAGCGCCUCUCCCCACAUACACCUAGCCACGUCCCUGACACCGUACGGCCGUACCUGCAGCAAACGCAAACGAAAAACGCAGCAGAGAAAGAAAUUGUAUUUUUCAUUUUUAUUAUUUUAAAACGAAGGGAUAUAAAACAGGAGAAACCUUUUGUAUUUGAGGGGGGAUUGAUACGCAAUAUCAACACACGCAUAUUGUAUCAGAAAAACGAAAUCAAUACAGAAGAAAGGUUUUCUUUUUCUCUUUUCUCGAUUGGGUUCCUUUUUCUUUGGCUUUUCUUUUUUCUGUUUUGCUGUUAGCCCUAUACAUAAGCAUAUACAUAUAAUAAAAGGGAAAGGAAGUACUUACCUCGGUGACCCUGUCGUCGUUCUCAUCGGUUUCGUGGAUACCAAAGAGGCUAGGUAUGGUUUUAGCCUGAGAACGGCGCAAGGGGAGAGGGGAAAGGCAAAGUUUUUUUUCUGCUAUUUUUUUAGUGGCCGAAUAACCUUGUUUAGGGUUUUAAAAUUGGUUUUUUUUGGGUGUUGAAACGGUGUCGUUUGGGGCCUGAAUCAGUGGCCACCAAAACGACGUCGUAUUUGUAUACCCGCACGUCCAACCCGACCCGGACCAGCUAGAUUCGCGCGUUUUGGCCUCUGGUGGUAUAUUUUCGCACUUAGUCCCUUGCCUUUAAAGCGCAUCCAAAUCAAUCUUUUUAUUUUUUUAGAUUUUGCCUGAUAUGUCACUGUUGUUUCAUUUUGGUCCCUUCUGCCAAUAUGCGUUUUGAAGGGCAGGGAAUAUUUCCCAUUUAAUCCCUCAUGUAAUGCGCAGGCUUCAUUUUGCCUUUUAAUUUCCUUUUAAUUUAUUUUCUUUUUUCGAUUAAGCAUUAAAUCCAUUUUAAUCUCUAUUUUAGUUUGUUCAUAUUAAUUAAUUUAAAUAUUUUGGUUCUGUUUUCUUUAAUAUAUUUCAGUUUAAUCUAAUGUUAUUUUAAUAAUUCAACUUAUUAGUAUAAAUUCAUUAUUGGUAUUAUUUAAAUCUAUUGAACCAUUAUUCUAAAAGUUUUCUUUCGUGUGUUAUUUUAAGUUUUCAUAUAUUAUUAUUAAAAUUUAAUACUUAUUAUUUUUAUGAUAACUAAAUAUAAUUUGUACAAUUCUAUAGUUUUAUAAUAUUUAUUUUUAAAUUUAUUGGGAUACUAUUAUUUUAUGAAGUAUUUGUUUUUAACUAUAUUUUUCAUUUAUUUCAAACUUUCAUGUGUAUAUAUAUUAUUUUAAACUUAUUUUAAUAUAUAAUUUCCCUUCUUUUAUGUUACUUUUUUUGUUUUUGUUAUUUAAAAAAAAACUUGUUACAUUUUAUUUAAUUCGCUUGUUACCCUUUUUUAAUAUUAACUUUUUAAUUCAUUUUGCUUGCUAAUAUGGAUGUUAGUAUUUGCAUAAUGUAGGAUAUAAAAUUGUUGCUCUUUUGUAUAUGAUAUUGUUUAUUCAUAUAUUAAAUUUUUGUUAUUCAUUAGUGUAUGCUUUAGUUUACGAAUAAUCAAUUCGCAUAGUACAUUAUUAUACGAUCGUUUUUAUUUAUUCAAAAGAUUACAAAUUACAAAGUUAUUCUAUUCAAAAACUUUCAAAAAUACUCGAAGUUUGAAAUCCUCGAGAGAAUUGAGCCCUAACGUAUUGGGUUCCAAUUUUUUUCGUCGAGUCUAAAUAAUUGAACAUUUUUUAACAUACAAAUUUCAAAUAACCCAUUCUCGGGAAUUCAACACGUUGUGUCCUAACGUAUUGGAUAUGACAUGUUAUUUUCUCGAGACGAGGAUUUUAAAAAAAUAAUAAAUAAAGGCAAUGUUCGGUAUUUGGAAAUUUGGUGAAAUCGAACCCUAACUUACUGGGUUUUGAUCUUCUCUUUUGGCCCAAAUAAUUAGAUAUCCUUCUCAAAAUGCAUAGUUUUAAAAAUCAAAUUUAACUUCAAAAUAAAAGGAUUGUAUUUUAAAUUUUUUUUCAAAAUCUCGACAUUAAGACAUUGAACAAUCAAUUUGGUACCAAUUUUGGGCGUAUCGAGGGUGCUAAUCCUUCCUCGUGCGUAACCGACUCCCGAACCUAUUUUUUUGAAUUUCGUAGACCAAAACCGUUGUUUUAAUAAAAUCAAAUCGUUUAUUAAAAACAACCACUUUUUAAGGUGAUCCGAUCACACCUUAUCAAAAAAAGAUUGGUGGCGACUCCCUUUUUCCGUUUCCGUUUUCAAAAUCCAAGUCGACCCCGUUUUCAACAAAGAAAUGGUGUCUACAAAAUGAAUUGUUGAAUUUGAAAACAAUGGUUUAAUAUUGCAGGGAUUUCCAGCAUUAUCAUAAAUUUUAGUGAAUUUAGAGACGAAAUCAGAGUUCCACUGAGUUUUGUUCAAAUCUGGGGAUUUCAUCGUCAUAUAGGGUCGAUUUGGAUAUCUAGGAUACAAAGCUUCAUAUCAUUGAUGUUCGGUGGCCAUGGGUAUAUGUUGAUUUUGAGUUUAUCGUUGCCCCAUAAGUUGGUUGCACUAAAAAAAAAGGGUAUUACCAAUGCUAAAAAUUGUUACUAAAAUUUUAUUGUAGCAAUAAAAGUUGUUGCGGGAUUGUUGUGUAUAUUUUCGUUGUUUAAAGUAUACGCAACUCUACUCAAUUAUGUAAUAUCUACUCUUAAAUAUGGUCUAUUUAACUACAUAUUUAAGCACAUCAAACACAAAUUAAUAAUUUAGAAAUAUCAAACCAAGAAUUAAUCACACAUAAUUGGGAACAAUAAACUAAGUAUUUAUUGCAUAAAAUAAAAAAAAUGAUAGAAUCCAUCAUAGGGUUCAUUUCCCUAGGUAUUUAGAAAAUUAGUUCAAGCUUGAAAAUAAAAACAUCCAAGAUAUAGUAUAACCGAAAGAAAUAAAAAAAUUCAUGAUAAUCUCCUAGGAAAUCAACUGAGAAUCUUCAAUCUUGACGUAAAUUUGUUUUCAAGAUGGCUUCAAUGGCAUUUUUCGAGUUGCUUUCUUGAAUAUUUUAUGACGGCUCUCUCAUAUACUUUCUUAAUUUUUCACAUAUACGUUUCAUAAUGCCCCAAAAAUCUAAAAAUCUUGAUUUUACAUUGUUUGUGUGGCAAUUCCAUGAAAUUGACAUAGCCUACCACACACUCGUGUGGGUCACAUGACUAUGUGGUUUGCUCAUGUGAAAUUUAGAAAAUGUAAAAGAUUCCCUAUGCACCAUCUAUUAUGAGUCUACUAUAUGCUCAAAUAUGUAUGCAUCCGUAUAUUGCAUAUAUUGUUGGGAUGUUAGGCAAACAUUUAAGCAACUCUAGUAUAGGCCAUUAGAUAACAACCAAGAGGGUUAUGAGGUAUCUUUAGAAAACAAAAUAUUACAUGCUCACAUAUUGGAUGUUUGAUAAGUUAGAGAACAUCAAGUAUACAAACUCCAAUUUUGAUGAAAUAUUGAUGCAAAAUUUUGUCACUAGAGUGCAAAUUGUAACAAUAGUUAGUAGUCUUUUAUUCCAAUUGUACAAGCCCAAAUUUGCCCGAGGCCCAAAAACCCAAUACACCCAAACCUCAGCCUAAUUACAAAUUUAACUCAGCAGACCCAACCCAACACCGAUGACCAAACCUCAAUCCAAUAGCACCUAGCCCAACAAGAUUAAACCCAAACCCGAGGCCCAAUAUCCAACCCAAAAAAAAUGAAGGCCCAGUAGCCCAAAAUGUUUGAGACUUUUUCAGAAAAAAUGAAACCCUAGCCUACUGCCUAACCCUAGCCGCCUCUGCCUCCUCUGACAUCUUCUAGUCUGGCUGCCGCUCGUAGCCUCUGCCACCGCCACCUCUGACGCCGAGCCGCCCAUCAAUCACCUACUCCAUCAACGUCAACACCUGCAAACAAGAGAAAAAGCAAUAGCAAAUAAUAGCAAAAAUAUUGUAAAAAAAUGGCUAUAAAGCCAUAACCACCACUGUAAACGGGGUUCUUCCCCCCCCGAUUUUUGUAUAAAAAAAUAUUAGCAGGGAAAUAAAGGAAAAAAGAUUGAAGGUGAUUUUUUCUUUUCUUUUCUUUUCGGUUUUGUAGACCUGUUUUUCUGUUCUCUUUUCUUUUUUCGUUUACACGUAUGUAAAUAAAGGUAGUAAAUAAAAGGAUAGAAUGAAGACUUACCCAUUUCGCCUUUCGGUUACGCCGCCGUCGGGGUCUGCUCAUAAUUGAAAUCGGCCCGAAAGAUCGAGUUAGGGGGUCCUUUGUCUUAAUUUUUGGGCCAAACGAAUCUAGCCUUCGAUUGGGUCUUAAAACGGGGACUAGAAUGCCCAUUUUGCGCAACGCCGGCCACCGUCCACGGUGGCGCUAUGGCGGUGCUAAGAAGACCCAAAGGCCGAACGUUUGAGAGGGAUGAGGAAAGGUUUUUUUUUGUUUUUUUUUUAAAUUAGUGGCCGAAAUGUUUUUUUUGAAGAAAAUAUGGCUUAAAUACCAUUUUCGAAAUAACAUCGUUUCAAUUUGGCCCUCCAGAUGCCAAAACGGCGUCGUUUUGAAAGGGGCCGGUUCUACUCGACCCGUUUGGCCAGGAUCCGCGUGUUUUAGCCUUGAGGGGUUAUUUAUGCGGGGAGUCCCUCCGCUUUUGCAGCGUAGCCGAUAUGAUCCUUUUUGGUCUUUUUGUUAUUUGGCCCGCGAAUUUUACCUCUAUUUCGAUUUGGUCCUUAGACCAUGUGCUGCCCCUAGUCGAAACGCAGCAUUUUAGGACUGGGAAAUAUUUCCCCACAAGUCCCUCACGCUUUAAGCGCGUUUUACUUCAGUCCUGCACUAUUCCUUUUGUUUGUUUGCAUAUUUAAACCCCGAAGUUCGUUUCAAGUUUUAAUUUAGUCCUUUUGUAUUUUGUUUAUUUUCUUAUUAAGUAAUAAAUUUGAUGUUAUACUGUUAUUAUUAAUUAUAAUAAAUAUUAUUUGCUCAUUUUUACCUUUAGAAUUUCAAAAUUUAUCAUAUAUAUUUGUAUAUACUUAUUUUGAUAUUUUGAUAUUUUAUAAUUUAUAUCUAUAUAUCUAUAUACAUAUUUAUACAUAUAUACACAUACCUAUAUGUUUUAUAUUUUCAUAUAGUUUUUAUAUACAUAUAUAUUCUUAUAUGCACAUGCUUAUGUUUUUUUAUACUUUAUAUAUAUACACCUAAACAUGCAUAUUUUUUUAUAUGUACAUACAUUCAUAUAUUUUAUAAUUUAAGUACAUAUACAUAUAUAUGUACAUAAACUUUAUUAUUAUUAUUUUUUUUGUAAUUUAUAUUGUUAUUAAUUGUUUUAUUUGAUAUUUAUUUAUUUGCUCAUCUUUAUUUUUAUGAAAUGCUUUAGUUCUUUUUACAUUAUUUUUAUGAAAUGCUUUAGUUCUUUUUACUUACUCAUUAUUUCAUGUAUAAUUGUUUUUUUUAUAUAUGUGUCCUUUUUAUUGUUGCUCGUAUUAUUUUACUUACAUUAUCAUAAUUGUCAUUCCAUUACGUCAAUUUUCACCCAAAUUCAAAAAAAGAAAUUUUAAAAAUAUAAAUAAUACUCGGUAUUUGGGAUCUUCGAGAGAAUCGAGCCCUAACGUAUUGGGUUCCGAUUUUCUUCGUUGAAUCUAAAUAAUCGAGACUACUCUUUUUUAUAUAUAAAAAAACAUAAAUAAAAGCUCAUUAUCGGGAAUUCAAUACGUUGUGUCCUAACGCAUUGGAUAUGAUACAUUGUUUUCUCGAGAUGAGGAUUUUUCUAAAAAAAUAAAAAUAAGGCAAUGUUUUGAGUUUGGGAAAUUCAAGAAAACGUGCCCUAAUGUGCUGGGUUUCGAUUUCUCGUUUAGCCAAAUAUUCUCUUAAAUCUUAAUCUAUGUCAUUUAAGUUUUUUUAGGAUCGUAUUUUAAAUCUCUUUAAAAUUUUCAGUUUUUCGACACUAAGAUAUUAAGUGAUCAACUAGGUACCAAUUUUGGGCGUAUUGAGGGUGCUAAUCCUUCCUCGUGCAUAACCGACUCCCGAACCCAUUUUUCUGAAUUUCGUGGACCAAACUUGUUGUUUUAAUAAAAUCAAAUCAUUUAUUAAAACAACCACUUUUUGAGGUGAUCCGAUCACACCUUAUCAAAAAAGAUUGGUGGCGACUCCCACUUUCGUUUUCAUUUUUCAAAACCCAAGUCGACCCCGUUUUAUCAAAAAAAUGGUGCCAACAGCUUGGCGACUCCACUGGGGACCCAAGAACGAGAGUCAAGCCACGAGUUGAUUAUUUUUUUAUUUUUUUGUCGAAAAUCAAAAAAUUAGUUUAAACAUACGAUCCUUUCGUUGCAUUUCAUUCGUCUUUAUUAUGAUCUUCAUCAUUAUAGUUUAUAAUUGUUGUGUUAGUUUAAGUUUUGGUAUCAAUUUGUACAUUGCAUUGCAUAACCGUUGGUCACACCCUUCUUAGUGGGAGUGAGAAACUACGCUUUCGUGAGGUUUUCACCUCUGCAUAGGAUAGUGAAUCGCUUCUGGUAUAUAUCCGUACCUAUGUUUUCGUGAGAUUUUCAUCUCCGCAUGGCCAUAGGGAAAUGUAUUCCCCUGAACUGAACUCAGUCUGCAUGAGCCUAUAAUGGGUCAGGACCGAGGAAUCUGCUGGUUCAAGUACCCCUUACUUUAGAGCCGAACCGCAUGUAAUGAGCCCUAGGAGCCUACCCUAGGUAGAACCACACCAAAUACCUAGAGGUCACCUGAAAACUUGGUUUAAAUUUACGAUCAUUUUGUUGUAUUUCGUCCGUUUUGGUAUGAUUUUCAUUACUUCGAUUUGUAAUUACUCUAUUGGUUUGAAUUCUCGAUAUGUUUCUGCGCAUUGCAUUACAUGACCACUCAGUUACACCCUUUUAAGUUGGAGUGAGAAGCUACUCCUUUGUGAGGUUUUCACCUCCGUGCAGGAUAGUGGAUCACUUUUGGGAUACAUCUGUACCUAUGUCUUCGUGAGAUUUUCAUCUCCGUGCAGCCAUAGGGAAAUGUAUUCCCCUGAACCGAACUCGGUCCGUAUGAGCCUAUAAUGGGUGAAGAUCGAGGAAUCGGCUGGUUUGGGUACCCUUUCUUUAGAACCAAACCACAUGUAGAAGACCUUAGGAGCCCACCCUAGGUAUAACUACUUUGAACCCCUAGUAGUUACCCGAAUAGGUGCUCUUUUUGUUUUUUUUUCUUGUUUACUUUUGCUUUGUACUAACCUGUUUUGUUUUGGUUAUAACUGCAUUGCAUUUUCAUCAUAGAAAAGAGGUGUUGAUUCAAAUUUGAUUGCUAAAUAGAAAAGCUUGUCAUGGAAAACGAAUUUCUUGAUAAAGUAGAAUAUGAUGCGACUGUCUGAUUAUGGACUAAUUAAACACAACAAGAGAAGGUUAGAAGUUUGUGGAGGAAUAUACGACUAUGCUUCACUGCCUGAGGAUUCAAACCGACAAAGAUCAUUCGAGAGUGGUCACGAAACUAAAGAGCAUCGUAAGGGAGCAAUGGGUCGUGGCUCAGAUCAAUCAAAAAAGAAGAUAGUAAAGGUAAAUUUUGGGAAAUUCGCAAGAUUUGAUCCUAACAUCUGGAUAUGAAGAAAAGAUCAAUGUCUUCGCCAGGAAUAUGGGGGCAAAGCAGCAGAUGUAAUCUAUUUUAUGUAAAGAAAUUUAUUCUCUAGAAAAGUUGUUCUAAUGGAAUUGAAUUAGGAAUCAAUGCCUCUCUUUCUUUUUGCAUUCAUUUCACGCAUUUGUAUUAUAUAACAUCACAUGCAUUAAGGACCAUCAAAAGACUCUAAUUGAGUAAAAUGAUUUCAGCUAAUCUAGAGAACCAACACCCUUACGGAAUCCGAGCAAAAACUAAAAGAAUGGACCAAAGAUUGGAGAGAUUAAAACAAAGGCAAAUACAGAUGCAAGAGCAAUUUACCAAAUUUCAACAAGAUAUGAAGGAUCAGAUGCUAGAAGUCCAAAGAAAUCUGAUGAGUCAGUUAACCCAGUUAUUGGAUAGAGGGUUAGAAAAAGGAAAAAACCCAGUGGUCCAUUUUGGAGAUAAUGAUGAAGACCCUGCUCAUUUUCUAGGUUUUACCCCAACAAACAUCCAAGCACAACUAAAUGCAUGUCCACAAAAGGUAAAUGUUAACAUCUGACCACAAUACCAGACCAGUACCUCGACACCGGUGAAUUUCACGACAGGCUCAGGUUACAACCUUAGGGGAAAUCUAACUAGUCCCGUUGUCCUUGAUGAUCUAGCGGGAACAAAACAGGUGAGAGUAGAGCUCUCAAAACCAUUUGGAGAUCGUUACAAACAGAAAGGGCAAGAGUGGAAUCCUCAAAUCAAUACUUCGAGGGCCCCGAGGAAGAGGAAAGAUGACGUGAAUGAUGUGAGUAGGUAUAAUGAGGGUUAUUCAAAGCUGAUUACAACAAGCCAGAAAAGGACGGUUGAUUCUAGCCAUCAGAUCUCCCAGAGCAAGAAUUCGGCACAAAGUAAAACAUUGAGAAGUCCAAAUUUGUACCAAUCUCAAUGUCAUUUCGGGAGCUGUAUCAUAAUUUAUUUAACGCACACAUUGCCUCCCCUUUCUACUUGAAGCCUUUACAACCUCCGUACCCCAAAUGGUACGACACGAAUGCACAAUGUGACUAUCAUGCAGGAAUUACGGGGCAUUCAAUAAAAGAUUGCGUUGCCUUUAAAAAGGUGGUUGAAAGGCUCAUCAGUAUAGGCAUUGUCAAGUUCGAUACAAAAAAAUCUGCUGCCUAAUCAUAUUGAUAAUCGGGGUGAAUGCGAUGAAUGAGGAAAUAUUGGGAAACGUUCAAAUUAACGCUGUGCGAAGAAACAACUGAAGAAGGGACCUUGUUAGAUAUUUACCCGUACAUACUUAGGGGUGUUUUGAGCAAUGAGACUGUGGAAGAGAUCCCUGUAUUUUGUAGAGCUAAUUCGGAGUAAUAUCCAAAACACGCUUAUUGCUUUAAGCCUAGGGGCAAUAAGAAUCCUUUUGUGAGAUAGGCUUAUGUCCAACAUCUUUAUUUCAAUAAAAUGCAUCUUUGUUUCUCACUUCGAGCAAAUUUUUAUUCUUAGAUUCUUUUAUUCUUUGGAUAUACUUUCGUCCCUAUAAUAGGUCUUCAGAUAUCAAUGAUAUGAGCGACACUGCUAUUGACUCAGAACCUCCUUUUGAGCAAGAUAUGUGUCCAGAUUAAACUUCAAAACUUUGGAGAUAACUAAGACUGUAGCUUAUCUCUUAGUUUGUUAAGGACGGGAGAACAAGAUCCUACCUUACAAAGAAUCAAUGGAAGCCAUGGCCUUUCUCUAGAUGGGGCACGGAUGUCAUUAGGCCAAUCUCGUCUAAGGUUUUUGACGGCUAUCUUUAUAGUCAUCGAUUACUUAACUAAGUGGGCAGAAGUUGCUUCAUAUGUCAAUGUCGCAAAGUUAACAGUCUGUAAAUUCUUGAAAAAUCAUAUGUUAGUAUGGAAUGUCAAAAAGGAACAUAUCUGACAAUACACUAAAAGUGAACAACGACACAAUAUCAGAAGUUUGCAGUCUGUUCAAGGUUAACACAUUUUGCCCUAGAAUGUACGGUGCAGUGGGAGCAAAAACAAAACAAAAAAGAGGAAAAAUUACUGCAGGGGCAACACAUUGGCUUAGCGCAGUUUUGCUCAUUGAGGUCAAGAUUCCUUCCCUCCGAGUGUUGGAUCAGAUCCCGAUUGAAGAGAAAUGUUCAAAGUUAUCCGUCUGGGUCAAAUACACCAAAAAUAAAAGAUGCGAGCUCAUCAAAGAAGGUUCACCCUAAAGAGUUCCAUGAAUAGAACCUAACAUCGAAGAAAAUCCUCCCCAUACAAAAGGGACUUUAUAAGAAAGAGGAUCUGGAAAAGUGUUGAUUUCGACCAGAAAGGAUAGCAAGGACUUACCUAAUCCUACGAGUGCGGAUUCAAUCAAAGAAUGUAAAAAAAACAAACAAACAAACGAAAAGAAAAAGAAAAGAAAAGAAGAAUGAAAAAAGAAAAAGGAGAGGCCAAGAUGAAAACCCGCAAAGGGCGCCUUGAGACCAAAGGGGUUUUGAAUUGAAAACCCAGGAAUGGGUAGUUCAAAUUUUGAUCAAAGGUGGGGCAUGCGGUGGCCUUGUCCUCUCUGAAUUAGCAAGAAGGUGAGACGCUACAUCUCAGGCUAUCAACAAAGUCUUUUAGGACUUCUAGACACAUAUCAAGUUCAAAAGAGUCCUCAAGAAGCUUAUACAGAAAAGCUCAUGUUGCGAUAUCUGGGGCACCUGUUUCCAUUUUAUUCAUUUUUAUUUUGGCAAAAUAUGCCAUCUUGAUUAAUUUAUUCUCAUUUCGUAUCUUAGCAAAUUUACUAUCUUGAUUAUUUAUUUCGAGCUUUGUUCUCAAUAAAAUUUCAUCUUGUCCAUUGUGAUAAUCCUUUUCAUCUUAUUCAUUUUGAAUCUUAGCAAAAUUCGCUGUUCUGCUUAAUUUAUUUGUUUAGAGCUCUGCUCUCAAUAAAAUUUCAUCUUUCCCACUAUGAUAAUCUUUUUCAUCUUAUCUUAGCAAAAUUUGUUAUCUUGAUUAAUUUAUUCAUUUUGAGCUUUGUUCUUAAUAAAAUUUCAUCUUAUCCAUAUUGAUAAUCUUUUUCAAGCAUUUUACAUUGAAAUAACGAUUAAUUGACUGAAUAUUCAAGCAAAAGAAGUUUUGCAUAUUACUCUGAAAGUUUCUAAAUAAUACAGGAACCUGAAAUAGGACUAUUGUUUAGAGCAUACCAAUAAAGGGUGAAAUGUCUAAGAAGGAAAAGUCUAAAUUAAGACUAUCCUUUCGAAUUUUGUUGUCCAAGCAUGAAUUGAACAAAACGAAAAAAUGUCGAGAUGGUGACAAAGUUUCAAUGAACAAACGAGCAAUGAUCACCGAGUUAUAAAAAGAGGUUUUUGGAAGAAAAAAUUCCACAAUCGUGCAUAAACAUUUGGUAUGACACCUUGGGAAUGGUGUAGAAGACUAAAGAGAUUCAGAUACUGUAUCCCUGAAUUACAGUGGGAGAGGAUUGAGAAAAGUCAGAUCUUAUACUCAGUGGGAGGAAGAUGGCUCGAAUUUUAUGCCCCAAAAUUACCAUGGACUUAACCUUGAAGAUUACAACGGAUUGAACUCUGAAGAUUACAGUAGGGGGCAAUCUGGCUAAGUAAGAGAUGAGUGUUACCAGUCGAGCAAGAUAGCAUUCUGAUAUGUUGGUAAUAAAACCUUAUUGAAUAACGAGCAAUAACAACCCUAACAUUAAAAAGGGAUCAUUCUCAUGACAUUCUGCAUUCAUGCAAAUAUAAUUCACAUACACACCUAGUUAGGAGCAUUUGAUUCGUUCUGAUCAUAAUAUCCUAAUCAUUAGGCAUAAAUAGAUUCAUAAAAUGGACUUUACAGGUCAUGUUCCCCAGAGAACAUAUUAAUAAAGUUACCCAUACCCCUGAAGUUGCAAUGGGAUGAAUUGAAGUUGUCAUGUCAAGUCUUAUCUCUCAGAAAUUAUAGAGGAGUGGACUAGAGAUAGCAGAUCUUAUCUUCCUGUAUUUGGCAGCGAAGUAGAUCGUAGAUAGCAGAUCUUGUCUUCCUGUAUUUGGCAGCGAAGUAGAUCGUAGAUAGCGGAUCUUGUUUUCCUGUAUUUGGCAGCAGAGUAGAUCAUAGAUAGCAGAUCUUGUCUUCUUAUAUUUGGCAGCGGAGUAGAUCGAAGAUAGCAGAUCUUGCCUUCCUGUAUUUGGCAGCGAAGCGUAGAUAGCAGAUCUUGUCUUUUUGUAUUUAGCAGCGAAGUAGAUCGUAGAUAGCAGAUCUUGUCUUCCUGUAUUUGGUAGAGGAGUAGAUCAUAGAUGGCAGAUCUUGUCUUCCUGUAUUUGGCAGUAGAGUAGAUCGAAGAUAGCAGAUAUUGUCUUCCUAUAUUUGGCAGCGAAGUAGAUUGAAGAUAGCAGAUCUUGUCUUCCUGUAUUUGGCAAUAGAGUAGAUCGUAGAUAGUAGAUCUUGUCUUCCUGUAUUUGGCAGUGGAGUUGGUUAAAAAUUACAGAUUCUAUCACCUUAAGCAGUAGUGGAGCAGAUUAAAAGGAUGGAUCUUAUCUCUUCGAAGUUGUAGUAGAGCAGAUCGCAUCAAACUUUAUUGAAGCUACAAGUCUUAUCUCACUGAGGUUGCAGUAGAAUAGACUGAAGAUAGCAUAUAUUAUCUCUCUGGAGUUACAGUAGAGCAGACCACGAUGAUUUUAUCUCCCUAAAGUUGCAAUGGAGUGUACCAAAAUAAUAAAUCCUAUACCUCUGAAGUUGCAGUAGGUCGGACUAAAUCUACCAUAACAAAUCCUAUCUCCCUGAAGAUGCAGUGGAGCAAAUUGAAGACCGACUACAAGUCUUAUCUCCCUGAAGUUGUAGUGGAGCAGACUGUCGAUAACGGAUCUUAUCAUAUUAAAACCUUAUCUUCUUGAAGUUACGUGAAGCAGGUUGAAGCAACAAGUCUUAUCUCCCUGACGUUGCAGUAGAGUAGAUUAAAACCACGAAUCUCGUCCCCCUGAAGUUGCAAUAGAAUGGAUUGAAGCUACGAGCUGUAUCUCUCUGAAGUGCAGUGGAGUGGAUUGAAGCAACAAGACACAGUGGAUUGGAAUGAGGCUACCUGAAGAAGAGAAGCACUAGAAGAAGUCAAGACUCGGCGAGACCGGGUAAAUUUGGUCUUUCUUGGUCUUUGCUCUAUUCUCGUUAUACGACAACGAGGAAAGAGGGGCAGCUGUACAAGCCCAAAUUUGCCCGGGGCCCAAGAACCCAAUGCACCCAAACCUCAGCCUAAUUACAAAUUUAAAUCAGCAGACCCAACCCACCUAAACACCAACCCAACACCCAUAACCCAAACCUCAAUCCAAUAACACCUAGCCCAACAAGAUUAAACCCAAACCCGAGGCCCAAUAUCCAACCAAAAAAAAAUGAAGGCCCAGUAGCCCAAAAUGUUUGAGACUUUUUCAGAAAAAAUGAAACCCUAGCCUACUGCCUAACCCUAGCCGCCUCUGCCUCCUCUAACAUCUUCUAGUAUGGCCGCCGCUCGUAGCCUCUGCCACCACCACCUCUGACGCCGAGCCACCCGUCAAUCACCUACUCCAUCAACGUCAACACCUGCAAACAAGAGAAAAAGCAAUAGCAAAUAAUAGCAAAAAUAUUGUAAAAAAUGGCUAUAAAGCCAUAACCACCACUGUAAAUGGGGUACUCCCUCCCCCCCCCCCCCCCCGAUUUUUGUAUAAAAAAAUAUUAGCAGGGAAAUAAAGAAAAAAAGAUUGAAGGUGAUUUUUUCUUUUCUUUUCUUUUCGGUUUUGUAGACCCGUUUUUCUGUUCUCUUUUCUUUUUUCGUUUACACGUAUGUAAAUAAAGGUAGUAAAUAAAAGGAAAGAAUGAAGACUUACCCAUUUCGCUUUUCAGUUGCGCCGCCGUCGGGGUCUACUCAUCGUUGAAAUCGACCCCGAAAGGUCGAGUUAGGGGGUCCUUCGUCUUGAUUUUUGGGCCAAACGAAUAUAGCCUUCGAUUGGGUCUUAAAACGGGGACUAGAAUGCCCAUUUUGCGCAACGCCGGCCACCGUCCACGGUGGCGCUAUGGCGGCGCUAAGAAGACCCAAAGGCCGAACGUUUGAGAGGGAUGAGGAAAGGUUUUUUUUUGUUUUUUUUAAAUUAGUGGCUGAAAUGUUUUAUAUUUUCAUAUAGUUUUUAUAUACAUAUAUAUAUUCUUAUAUGCACAUACUUAUGUUUUUUUAUACUUUAUAUAUAUAUACACCUAAACAUGCAUAUUUUUUUAUAUGUACAUACAUUCAUAUAUUUUAUAAUUUAUAAUUUAAGUACAUAUAUAUAUAUACAUAAACAUUAUUUUUUUUUGUAAUUUAUAUUUUUAUUAAUUGUUUUAUUUGAUAUUUAUUUAUUUGCUUAUCAUUAUUUUUAUGAAAUGCUUUAGUUCUUUUUACUUCUCAUUAUUUCAUGUAUAAUUUUUUUUAUAUAUGUGUCCUUUUUAUUGUUGCUCGUAUUAUUUUACUUACAUUAUCAUAAUUGUCAUUCCAUUACGUUAAUUUUCACCCAGAUUCAAAAAAAGAAAUUUUAAAAAUAUAAGUAAUACUCGGUAUUUGGGAUCUUCGAGAGAAUCGAGUCCUAACGUAUUGGGUUCCGAUUUUCUUCGUUGAAUCUAAAUAAUUGAGACUACUCUUUUUAUAUAUAUAUAAAAAAAACAUAAAUAAAAGCUCAUUAUUGGGAAUUCAAUACGUUGUGUCCUAACGCAUUGGAUAUGAUACAUUGUUUUCUCGAGAUGAGGAUUUUUCUAAAAAAAUAAAAAUAAGGCAAUGUUUUGAGUUUGGGAAAUUCGAGAAAACGUGCCCUAAUGUGCUGGGUUUCGAUUUCUCGUUUAGCCAAAUAUUCUCUUAAAUCUUAAUCUAUGUCAUUUAAGUUUUUUUAGGAUCGUAUUUUAAAUCUCUUUAAAGUUUUCAGUUUUUCGACGCUAAGACAUUAAGUAAUCAACUAGGUACCAAUUUUGGGCGUAUCGAGGGUGCUAAUCCUCCUCGUGCGUAACCGACUCCCAAACCCGUUUUUCUGAAUUUCGUGGACCAAACUUGUUGUUUUAAUAAAAUCAAAUCAUUUAUUAAAACAACCACUUUUUGAGGUGAUCCGAUCACACCUUAUCAAAAAAGAUUGGUGGCGACUCCCACUUUCGUUUUCAUUUUUCAAAACCCAAGUCGACCCCUUUUUAUCAAAAAAAUGGUGUCAACAACAAUAACAAUAGAAGCACAUCAAAGUCAAAGCACAUAGGCUUUAAGUUCAUUGUUAUUAUAAUAAAAGUUCAGGGUGGUUAGAUGUCUAUAAAGUAUAUUGAGACGAACUCCAUGAUUACGGAUUCGCUUAUUAAGUGACUACCACCCAAAGUUUUUUUCCUGAGCACACUGUUGAUAUGGGUGUAAUGUCAUUUAAGGAUAUUUGAUUUUAGUAGGAGUUUGUACUUUUAAAUGUUUUUAUGUUAUAAACACAUUUUCAAUUAUUUUAGUUUACGAAUAUUAAGUUUAUUUUUUAUAGAAAUAAAGUUUAUUUGGUAAAGUUUGAUCUCACUAAGGUUAAUAAGGACCAGUUAGAAUAUGCAUGUUUGAAUCAUAUUACAUAUAAUUUUCAUGUUACACAUCCAUACUUGAUCUAUGUCAUUUGGUUGUGCUAAUAUAUGUGAUUAGGGAUGGAUUUAAUUAUGAUAUAUGUAACAAAAGUUGCAUUCGUUCUAUGUUAACAUAAUUAAUGGACGAGAUUGUUCGAAAUAUCUUUUGGAUAUGAUAGUAAAAUUUUGAGCUCAUAAGAUUAUAUAAUGACAUGUAAUUAUAAAGUAAUCGGUAUAUAUCAAAAGUCUUUCCCACAUUCAUCAACUAGAAAUCAGAGCUCACCAAAUGUCUAUUCUUUUCAAUCUGAACCGACUCUACAAUCACUUAUUGCUCAUGGUCAUCAGCCUAUAAACCCAGGAGCAUUGUUAACUUCUAAAUCCAAAACACUAAUAUCAGCAUCCAACCCUACAAUGAUAGUAUUAUUGACUCAUUUAAACAAGUUUCCUUUGUCAAUCUAUAUUCCGUAUUUGGUAAUCUCCAGUAUGAAUUCAGAAUUUAGGAUAGCUGGAAUAAGAAUAGCAGCAAAGAUGCAAAGGGAAACGACUUGUAGGAGGAGGAAGAACCUUCUUUUGGGUACAGACCUGUAUAGCAUAUAAUAGGAUGUCCUGUAUAAUGUCACGAGAGCUAGUACCGUUGCCAAGCAGUAAUUAGUAAUGCUGAGUCUAGAAUAGGAAACGGAUCCAGGAGUCGAAAGAGAGAAAAAAUACUGAAGUUCGAGUGUCCGUAUGGAAACAGCAACUAAAAGCAUGUAACAGGUCCCAAACAAGGAAAGUGUUAUGAGAAUAAACAAGCAGAUUGAACGGCUGGGUAGGAGAUAGGCAGUUAAAACAGUUGCUGCCCAAAAGGUUAAAGUGUUGUAUAACCAAAACAUUGUGGACACGUCUAGUAUAUUUUUUAAAUCUUCUUUUUCAGCGGGUGGAGGACUUGGUACGGGUCCAGUGCUGGUUGAACCUAAAGAUGCGUCAUACAUGAGAUGGAAAUUCUGGGAAUUUGAAAUGGUAUCAGGCUGCUUUGGAGGGUUCAAAGUGGCAGUAUAUGUGGCUGUUAUAAUUAGCACUGUGACUACUAAAAAUGUGUUACGCAUCUCAUAUGGGAUUCCCUUCUUUCCACGACUUGCUAUUGUUGCAAAAUUUUGAAGAACUGACACCUUUCCUUUUAAAUAUGCGAUGUGGAAUGAAGAGAUGGAGGUUUUGGGAAGCGAGGAAGAGGAACCACUCAAACCUCCUGCUUUGCUUAUCAUGUCUUUAAUGGACUCCUUAUAGUCCACUUUCUCUUCAUCCAAUGUGUAUUGUGAUGGGAUAUCAAGUGCAGUCAAUCCCUCCGCAUUUUUGGCAUUGAUAUGGUCACCACACAAGCGUUCCAGCAGUACUUUUACCACCUGUUAAUUAGAAUAUUCAUACAAGUAACCUUUGAGUAUAUAUAUACAUAAAAAAUUUCACUAGCAAAAUUAUCAUACCUGAGGUCUAUUUCUGAUAGCAGCAACAUGUAAAACAGUGUUGCCAUCAAUGUCUGCCCAACUCAGUAGUUCUUUCUCCCAACGGCUGGCAGCUUUAUGGCGGCUCCUUAUAAGCCACCCCACCAAGACUUGGAAAGCUUCAAACCUGUCAUUUUUUACGGCAAGAUGGAAAACCGUCUCAUCUCGAACAGUCAUAUCUUCAAUAGCCUCGGGGCAAACCUCAAGGAACUUGAUCAAAAAAUCAACAUUUCCAUUUUGAACCACAUCAUGCAAAGGAGUCAAGCCCUCCCGCCCUUUGACACGAACAAGGCCUUCAUCAAACCUGAGGAGUCGAAGCACUGUUUGAGUUUUUUGAUUUUGCAGAGCCAAGUGCAUGGGGCUAAACCCAGCUUGGUUUAGCUUUCUUGCAAACGAUGGCUUUAAGUUGAUCAUCUCCAUCAUAAAAUCAAUAUGCCCUGCAGAGGCUGCUACAUGCAAAGGAGUAUGGAAAAAAGGUACAUCAUCGAUACGCUGUAAAGCAUAUGGAUCAUUCAGAAUUAACUCAUACAAGAUGUUUAUGUCUCCUGUUUGUGCAGCCCCCUUCAUCUUCUCAUCCAUAGCAAGGUGCGGAAAUUUGCAGAAUAUAGAAAUGGAGUGAAGAAAAAACGCUUUAGCAGAGGAUAUGAUUAUGUUAAGGAUACAAUGAAGUGUUUGAUUAUUUUUUCCAGAUGAAGUGUUUGACAUUUUAUAGCACUUUAAUGAUUUUGGAUUUAUAUGUGAUGUCAGCCUCUACACGUAUACAGGUGAAUUGUUGCCUAUUAGAAAGAAAUAGUAAUUAAAUUCAUAUUUAAUAUAUAUUUUUAAUCUAAUUUUUUUAAUUCAAUUUAAUUUUAGUUAAAACGUUUAAAAACAUUUAUUUAAUCUAAUUUCUUUAAUAUAUUAAAUAAAAUGGAUUAGAGAAUAUAUUGAAUAUGGAUGAAUACUAUAUCAUACUAAUUUUAUGUCUCUAAAAAUUAAUAAGGUGUUAUUAUUUUAUUGGUGCUUAAAAAUUUAAAAUAUUUAGAAUCAUUCUAAUAUAAGUUAUUCUUUUAAUAAUAAUAUUUGGUACUUCCACGACAAGUUCAAUGGUUGACAAAUAUCUUAUAAAAGUAUUAUAAAAUAUUUAAAAAAUAUAUUAUUUAGUGACUUAAUUUUUUAAGAACAUUUGAUAAUUCAUAAAGAAAAUAAAUAAUAUUUUUUUCCAAUAAAAAAGGUGGGAAAAAUGAUAAGUAGAUAAGAGCUACCAUCACUUACAACAUGUUUGGACUAAAAAGAAGAAAAAAGGAGGGAAAAUUAAGUAAAAUGAGUAAAGAAAAUUUGGUUUUUUUUGUUUAAGUUAAGUAAAGUUGUUUAUUUUUUAUCGUAUUAUUAGAUUUUAUUUUUUAGAUUAUUAUCUCUUUUUCUUCUUUUGUUGACUCUUUUUCAUUAGUUUGUUAUUUCUCUAUGAAUCAGUAUCCCAACCAACUCAAUUUUGUUCAGGUAACCAUGUCUAUAUGUUUAAAAGCAUUAAUGCACUAAUCGAAAUCUGAACGUAAUAACUGUUCUCACAUUGAGGUAUAGAAGGUUCUUUUGGUGAAAAGAUGAAGCAUUGCAAAAAAAAAAAAAAAUUGAAUAAGAUAUUUUGAAAGAAAGCGGAGAGGAAGACUAAAAUAUAUUUAGUAACAUUAAGCAUCGUACAAGUAAAAAAAAAAUAAAGUAAAUAAUUUUAAAACACAAAAUUAUAACUUUAAAAAAGAUAAAACUCACAAUAAAAUAACAAGAUUAUAAAGUAAACUUUAAAAUGCACUAAUUAAUUAAAUUAAAUUACUUAUUAUAAAAAAAUCAAAGUAAAUUACUAGUAGUAAUUUUUUAAUCUUAGGUAUGUUGCAUAUAAUUUUAUAUUUUUUAUUUUUUAAAUAAUAUAUUUUUAUAAUUUUAAAUAUAUAUUUAUGCUAAUUAAACGAGGAUUCUCGUCGUGACAUCGCUAGCUAACUUUUGUAAGUGCCUAUAAACUGAUAAGUGCUAGCUAAAAGUGACAUAUUUUAACAUCAUUCUUAAUACAUUUUGGGUGAUUAUUUGAUGUUAAUUGUGAAUUUUAUACUCCUAAUACUUUAAAUUCAUGUAUUAAUGCUUAAUAGAGCACUUGAGAGCAAAAGGAGUAAAAAAUGAGCGAAAAAUGAAAUUUCGAAGCAAGUUACAGGAGCCACACGAGCUAGACCAUUCCACACAGCCAUGUAAGCCACACGGGCGUGUAGUAGGCCAUUUAGUUUUUACAGGACUUGUGACAUUUAGAUUGAUAGUGAUAGAUGAAAUCUAGGUGGAUUCUUUCCUGUGUAUUGUUUUGCUUCUUGGUUGUUAAUCGAUUAUUUUCUUAUUUUUUUCUUUAUUGCGUUCAUUGGUAAUUAAAUUAGUUAAUUUUAGUUUUAAUAAAUCACUCAAAUUAUUCGAUUAAAUAAUGGAAAAAAGAGUAAUUACCAGUACUUUUAGUCUUCUUGGAAUGAUAUCUUUGCUCCCCAUAGCUAUACUAUUAAUUGAUAGGUGCGCAUGCCUUAGUCAAAUUUUAGUUAGUUUCACGAAACAUUACAAAUUGUCUGAUAAAUGCGAGGCACAUCCCACACUUUCCAUUAUCAAUUUAACGAAUUCAAAUGUUGGUGCCUAAUUAAAAACUUUUCAAAUUGGGUGACUAAAUCAGGAACGAGGGCAUAGUUGAGUGACAUUUUGUAUAGUUUACCCUUAAUUUUUUUAAAAAUUUAAAAAAAUAUUUUUUUUAUAAUUUUUAUACUGUUUAAUAUAACUUUAAUAGUUUUUAAUUUUUAAAAAUAAUUUUAUAUUUUUUGAAUUUUUUAAAUUAAAAAAUAAAUUAAUUGCUUACAUGACAAUUUAAUGUAUGUCAUGUCAACAAAGUUAACAAACGUUAACUUUUCUAUUCAUUUUGGGGCGAUUUGAUAAACCAGCUUAGUUUAGCUUUCUAGCAAACGACGACUUUAAGUUCAUCUCCAUCAUAAACUCAAAAUGCCCUGCAAAGGCUGCUACGUGCAAUGGGGUAUCAAGAAAAGGAACAUGAUCAAUACGCUCUAAAACAUAUUGAUCAUUCUGAGUCAACUCAUAUAAGACGUUAAUAUGUCCUUGUGCAGUCUUUCUCAUCGUGUCAUCCACGGCAAGGUGUGUGUGUGUUGGGGGGAGAGGAUGAAAUAUGCCGGAACAUAAGAGUCCAACCAAUUGAGAAGGUACACAUAUAUUGAAAGGACCGAUGAAAUCUUAGACCGCACAAAACGGAAGCUAAAGGAUUGAUGAAAGAACGCUUUAGCAGAAGGAUAAUAUUGAAGUGUUUGAUUUUUCUUCUUCCUGUUGUAAUGUUUGACGUUUUGUUUGAUACCAAAUCCCACUUGUUAAAAAAUAUACAAUAAUUAUAUAUUUUUUAAUGAUUUUUUAGAUAUUAAAUAAAUGGUAACACGUCAUAAUAAAACUCUAAAACUAGAUGCAUUUAAUUUUAAUAUAAAUAUUAUAUCAAUGUAUCAAUAUGGUUGACCUAAAUACAAAUAGUUGAUUAAUUAAUAAAAAAAUAUUUAUUGAAUUAUUUAAAUAUUAUCUAAACUAAUUUAAUUUUUAAUUUUCAACCCUAUAAAACAUUUCACCAUCAUUUUUAACAAUAAUACCUAAUAUUUUAAAUUAACAAACCACAACCUUUUAAAUAUUAAUUAUCUUGAAAUUCAACUUUUUAGAAGUUAUUUUUUAACCGUCAACAACGUCAAACUGGCACUAAAAUCUUCCACUCACACUUGUAAAUUAAUAAAAGGACUCCGGUAAUCAAGGGACUUGAGAAUUUAAUCCAGUAUGAAUCUCCGUCACUCACGUAUUUGCUGUCAAUAGUGAUGGAUGAAUACGAAUUUUGUCCCAUAUACUGCUUGGAUUUAUAACCCCAAGCAAUGCAAGUGGUAAUAUUGUAGGGAUUUUCAACAUUAUCAUAAAUUUUAGGGAGGAAUUAAGUGAAUUCAGAGACGAAAUUAGAUGCCCAUUGAGUUUUGUUCAAAUCUAGGGAUUUCAUCGUCAUAUAGGGUCGAUUUUGAUAGCUAUUUUUAGCAACAACUUGAUUUAAUUAAUUAAAUUAAUUAUGAUUAGUUAAGUUUAAUUUAAGUAUAAAAGUUAAAAUUAAAUGAAAAACAAAACAUUUUUCUCUUCAUCUUCUUCUCCACUGUUUCUAGGGUUUUGGAGCUUUCUACUUUAGCCCUCAAUUUGGUAAAUAAUUUCAAGUUUUUUUUAUUAUAAAUUUUACAUUUUUGAAAUCGUAAGAGCUUGAUUUGAUUUAACUAAACCAUAUUCUAUUUUUGCAAAACCGUUAAAAUUUUCAAACAGGAAAUGUUGAUCUUUUGAUCAAGUUACUUAAGGUUUGUCCUGAGGCUAUUGCAGAUGUGACUGUUCGAGAUGAGACAAUAUUCCAUCUUGCUGUGAAAAACGACAUGUUUGAAGCUUCCAAGUCUUGGUGGGGUGCUUAUGAGAAGCUUCCAUGAGCCUGCCCAAUGGAAGAAACAACUGCUGAGUUGGCCAGACAUCGAUGGCAACACUGUUUUACACAUUGCAACUAUUAGAAACAGACCUUGGGUAUAUGCUCAUUUUUGUCAUUAAGUCAGUUACUGAUGUGCAUAUAUGCAUGAUAAAAGGGUUACUUAUAGGAAUAUUCUAAUUGAUAGGUGGCAAAACUAUUGCUGAAACACAUGCCGUGACCAAAUCAAUGCCAAAUAUUUGGAGGGAUUGACAGCACUAGAUAUCCAAUCUCAGUACCCAUCGAAUGAAAGGCAAGCAGAUAGGAUUAUAGAUGCUAAGAAAAGCAGGAGGUUUGAGUGGUUCCUCUUCCUCACUUCCAAUACCUUCAUCCCUUCAUUCCUAAUCGAAUCUUUAAAAGACAAGAUGCACGGUCUCAAAAAUGGGCAACUUCUGAAUUUCCACAAUACUUACAUUAAGAGUACUUAUCAGAAUUUCCAGCACCACUACCACCACUACCUUUUGCAGCAACUUCUGAUCCACUACUGGCACCACUCUUCUUCCCUUUCCACUUCUAGUCCUUUCCUUCUUCACCCUGCUACAUCUUAGCCUUCAAUGCUUCCUUCCUGCCUCAUUAGUCUCUUCUACUACUGUGCUUGUAAAGCACUGAUCAACUCGACUACUCUCAGUUGAGUCAAGUCAUUUGUGUUCUCCAAAGAAGUAAUUGUUCCUUCAUACUUCUCAAGCACAGAGAUUAGUAUUUUCUACAUUAGUCUACAAUCAGAGAGAUUAGUCACUACAAUAAAAUAGACUUUUAGCGGCAUUUUUAAGCGCCGCUAAAAGUAUUAGCAGCGCUUUAACAAGUGCCGCAAAAAAUGCCGCUAUAGACAACGCCGCUAAUUUUAGCGGUGUUUAUGUGAAAAAACACUGCUAAAGAUCAUGACCUUUAGCGGCGCUUCUACCACAAACGCCACUAUAAAGAAUGACUUUCAUGAUUUUUUUAAAAAAAUAUUUUAAUUAAAUAAUAUUUAUUUCUAUGAUAAAUAUUAUAUUAUGUUUUAUUUUUGAAAUUUAAACUUUAAACUAUAUGCUUUUAAGGAUAAAAAACAAAAUUUCUAUUAAAAUUUUAACUUUAAAAAACAAAAUUUCUAUUAAAAUUUUAACUUUAAAGCUAAAUAUAAAAAUUAAUGAAUUUAAAUUUAGAAUUAAAAUAUUAUGUUUAAAUAAAUGAGCAAUCUACCUCACAGCUCAUCUGAUCUAUAUUAACUCGGCCAAAUAUAAAAGAAGCUACAAAACACGUAAUAAUUAACAAUCAUGGUUAAAGAAGCUAGUACACAAGGUAGCUACAAAACCCUGUUUCAAUAACACCAAAUUCAAGUUCCGACUAAGAUAAAAGACCAUGACGAUGUGCUUGUUUCCUUCUAUAUAUCUUUGGGAAGAAUUCCUUCAAGAAAUCAUCCAUGGAAGUCACUCCACCUGCAGUCAAUAUUAAAAGAUAAACAGUGUCAUCAUCUUGAAAUAAGUAUCUUAUUGAGCUCUUUUGAAUCAAAUAACAUAAAUCUUCUAACAAAAAGAAACAAAUACAUAAUCUAUAAUGCAAAUAGCUUAGGAAUCAUUGAUAAUUCCCAAAUACCAAAUAAUAUAUGAAGAUUAUAUUUUGACGAUUAAAGAAAAUAUGUAGAGAGGGUUCUUCUCAAGACAUCAUUUUGAUUGAAAAGCAAAUCAGUAAAUCUGGAAGAUAGGAUACAAAUCUAAAAAGAUUUCAGCAAUUGCUAAUACUUAAUAUAAAUGAAUAGAAUUCAUAAACAGGCUGAAAAAAAUGCCACGAAUGCUCAUUUUUAGCGGCGUUUUUUCAAAAAUCGCCGCAAAUGCUCAAUCUUUAGUGGCGAUUUCCAUAAAGCGCUGCUAAUGCUCAAUUUUUAUCGGUGUUUUUUGUCCAAGUGCUGCUAAAAGCCUGUUUUGGUGUAGUGAGUCCCGAAACCCUUACCUUAUUAGCAAUAUCUAUCAACUUGUUUGAGUAUUCUUUGAUUGACUCAAAAUCUUUUAUUUGUAGCCUAUCGAAUUCCCUGGUCAAGUUCAACACCUUCAUGAUCUAGAACCUCUUAUCUCCUUGAUACUCAACCUUGAGGUAGUAUCUCCUUUAUUGAUCCAAAAAUAAUAAUUCUAUUGAAUAUGGCUAGUGAAACAACAACAUAAAGGCAAACCUUUACAUUUGCUUUCCAAGUGGUUCUUUCUUUGUGCAGUUUGAUCUGGUUCAUAGUUGGAUUUUUGGAAAGUGGAACCACCUCAUAGUCUUCCUCGAUAACUUCCCAAUAAUCACAACCCUCCAUGUAUGCUUGCAUUCUCAUAGCCUAUGCUUGAUAGUUCUUUCCAUCAAACACAUGUGGGGUUAAGACAGACAUAUUGCUUGAUCUUGAUUCCAUUUUUCUCAAUUCCUUACAAGUGUAUCUCUCAAUUUUUGUCUUAGGAUUCUCAUAAGGCCUCUCUCACAGGUCCCUCAAGAAAAAGAGGCUCUCGAUACCACUAUUGUUUCAAUGGAGAACUAACUAAAGGCACAAAAAUUGAAAAUGGAGAAAGUUGAUUAAAAUUUAUUAACCAAGCAAUGCUUAUUUACAUGACUCAAGCAAUGCUUAUUAAAUCAAUUUUUUAUUAUUUUUAGGGGCCAAAGUGUAAUUUUACCAUUACUAAUUUAGAAUUUUAUAAAUUAUAAAGGGUCUAACUGAAAAUUUUUCCAUUUCAGGAGGGCUGAGGGCCCUGCCACCCCCCUUGGCUUCGCCACUGAUAUUAGUUCUCGUGGUAUUAUACUAGAUAGCCAGUUAUAUACUAUAUAGGUUUGUACCCAAAAGAAAAAUAUCUUCCUCCUUAUGGCAUACUAGUUCAUAUGCUUUUAUUUUUAAGAAUUUAAACUAUCCUUAAUCAUAUAGUCCGCUAUAUCAUUCAGUCAUCACUCUCUUCACCGCUCAUUUAUCUUAUUUUUUAUUUGAUUUAAGAUUUCGUACAUCGAAAUUUCCUUUGACCUUUCAAGAAGUUUUAUUUUCUAAAAUUAGUGCGUUUUAAUCACCUAUAAAAUCAAAAUUUUUAUUCAAGUUGCAGUUGAUUUGGACUGGAUGUACAUUAUCUAUGGCUUUGGGAUACUUGGAAGUUUCCUACGACCUUCGAAGAAAUCUGUUUUUUGAGACAAGAGUGAUCGAGUCAUGUAUAAAUUUUGGUCAGGUUCCUGUGUUUUGCAAAUUUCCUUUCCUACAUUCUCUUCUGGUUCUUUUUUCUGUGUUUCGUUGCAAAUUUCCUUAGUUUUCAAUUUUCAAUUAUCUGAAGAUUAACUGCUCAAUUUAUUACCCCCAAAAGAAAAGUUAUGGAUGAGAGGAUGAUAGAGGCUGCCCAAACAGGAGAUUUUAACCUCUUGUAUGAGUUGAUUCUGAAUGAUCCAUAUGUUUUAGAGCGUAUUGAUGAUGUGCCUUUUUUCCAUACACCAUUGCAUGUAGCUGCCUCUGUUGGGCAUAUUGAGUUUAUGAUGGAGAUGAUCAAAUUAAAGCCAACGUUUGCAAGAAAGCUAUGUAGGAACAAUGGCAGCAGCAAGCAUCAAACAAAGUUUCAAAUCUGUAUUUGUAAGACUGAAGCAAGAAGAAUCGAAGCAAAGAAAAAGCAAAGCAAUGAACACAAUUGAAUACUCAGCAAAGUUGUAACUGAACAUUACAUUUUUCAUUCAAGAUUUGAAUAUAUAAAAGAGCUACAAAUUUUGGUUCAUUUGACAGAUACCUAAUGACAUAACUAUUCCCACUUAAACUAAACUAAUACAAGCUUAAGUCAAAUACAAAAUAAGCUGACAUAUCAGCUUUUACAUCAUCAAUCCAAUCAUAAACUUAAUCCAACUAACUAUUAAAGCUAGUUACAAUCAAACUAAACUAAGUUACAUCAAAACAAAACAGCAAUAUCAGUUGCUUCAUUUGGUCUGAAAACCAUUCGUGCAUACCAAGCAAAAUGAGCUGAGCUCGAUAGCUGCUGGUCUCGAUAGUAGCAUGCUUCCGGCUCCAUGUUGCAUUGCAGUCCAGCUUUCAACACUCCUCCUUGGACUGUAUGCAACACAUUCCAAUUGCAUUUCUCAAAGAUUCAAAUCGAGCAGCCCCCAAGGACUUGGUCAUUAUGUCAGCCAAUUGUGUCCCUGAGCUGCAAUGCACAAGGCUGACUUCCUUUGCUUGUUCAGCCUCUCUAACAAAAUGCAGCUUGAUUUUAAAAUGCUUUGUCUUACCAUGGAACACAGGGUUCUUGGCUAUUGCAACUGCAGACUGAUUAUCCACCCAAAUUUCAGUUGCUUCAUCUUGAGUUUCAUUAAGGUCAUGAAGCAGCUUCCUUAGCCAAAUGGCCUGAUUAACUGCUCCUGCUGCAGCAAUGUAUUCUACUUCAGCUGUGGACUGAGCAACAGUUUGCUGCUUUUUUGAACUCCAGCAAAACAUCCCCGAUCCAAGUGUAAAGAAGUGUCCUGAGGUACUCUUCAUGUCAUCGAGGGAUCCUGCCCAGUCACUAUCAGAGUAGCCUUCUAGUUUCAGUUGGUUCCCACUUUCAAACAUUACACCAAAACUAGCAGUGCCCUUGAUGUAUCUAAGGACCCUCUUUGCUGCCUUCAAAUGUGCCUCAUUGCAACAAUGCAUAAAUCUCGAUAACAGACUGACACCAAACAUGAUGUCUGGCCUGGUUGCUGUUAGAUACAACAGACAACCAACUAGGCUUCGAUAGUGCCUCUCAUCAACCCUCUGCUGAUCACCACUGCUAGUCAGCUUUUCUCCUUGGGCCACAGGUGUGCUGACUGCUUUACAAUUAUGCAUGCAGAAUUUGUCUAGGAUCUUCAAAGCAAAUGAGUGUUGGCUGAUGAAGAUACCUCGAUCAGACUGGUGAACUUCCAUGCCAAGGAAGUAAGUCAUGAUCCCCAAGUCUGUCAUUUCAAACACUUGCUGCAUUUGGACUUUGAACUCAUCAAUGAGCUCAAUUUUGCUCCCUGUCACAAGCAAAUCAUCCACAUACAAGGAGACAAUCAGCAAGGUUUCAUGUUUUGACCUUUUAACAUACAGAGUAGGCUCACUAAGGCUCUUUACAAAUCCAAGUUUGGUCAGGUAAGCAUCAACUCUGUCAUACCAGGCCCUUGGUGCCUGUUUCAGGCCAUAGAGGGCCUUUCUCAACUUAUACACUUUGUCUUCAUGUCCAACAACUUCAAAACCUUCAGGUUGUUCGAUGAAGAUCUCCUGACUGUAGCAAAAGUUUGUAUCCAGUCUUGCCACUGGAGCAAAAGUUUCUAGGUAGUCAACACCAUACUGCUGACUGUAGCCCUUCACCACAAGCCUGGCCUUGUGCUUGUUCAGUGAGCCAUCAGCAUUGUACUUGGCCCGGUACACCCAUUUAACUCCUAUGACCCUCUUGUGUUCUGGUCUGCUCACCAACUCCCAAGUCUGAUUUUUGUUGAUCAUUUCCAACUCAGCUUCCAUAGCUUUCAUCCAGCUUCUGUUCUUAGCAGCCUCUUCAAAGUCUGAGGGCUCAAUCACAGCAACAUUGCACCUCUGAUAGACAUCAGCCAAAGUUCUGGUGCCCCUCACUGGUAUAUCAUCGACAGCAUCAUUACUUGGUCCUUUUACUGCAGGUUCAGCAACCAAGUCUAACUGGUCCAAUUCAGACAAGUCAGCCUCAACACCAUUCCAAUUCCACACCUUUUCCUCAUCAAACUUUACAUCCCUGCUGACUAAAACCUUCUUUGCUGUAGGAUCAUACACUCUAUAGCCUUUCUUGUUGCUGCUGUAGCCAACAAAGAUUCCUGGAGUUGCUCUGCUCUCAAGCUUGGUCCUUUUCUCUACUGGAAUAAGUGCAUAACAUACACAGCCAAACACUUUUAAGUGUGUUACCACAGGUUUGACUCCAUGCCAAGCCUCAAAAGGAGUCUUAUCCUUGACUGCUCUAGUUGGCAGUCUGUUGAGCAGAUACACUGAGGUGUUGACUGCCUCAGCCCAAAACUGACUUGGAAGCUUGCCUUGAAACAAGAGGCACCUGGCCAUGUUCAGUACAGUCUUAUUCUUUCUCUCACAGACUUCAUUCUGUUGAGGAGUAUAGACUGUUGUGAGCUGAUGGUAAAUCCCAGCACUGUCACAAAGCUUCUGAAAUCUCUCAGACACAUAUUCAGAACCAUUAUCAGUCCUCAAGGCUCUAAUUUUGCAGCCUGACUGAUUUUCAGCAUAAGCCUUGAAUUUACAGAAGGCUUCAAACACUUCUGACUUUUGCUUCAAGAAGUAGACCCAACACAACCUUGUUAAAUCAUCUAUAAACAGGGCAAAGUACCUGUUCUCACUGAUUGAAGGUGUUCUCAUAGGGCCACAAACAUCAGAGUGCACCAAUUCGAGCUUGUCUUGAGCUCUCCAAGCACUGUCAGCAGGAAAAGGCAGUCUAGCCUGCUUACCAAGCUGACAAACCUCACAAACAUUCCCACUAACUUCAAAUUUUGUAAUGUCAUCAACCAAAUUCAGCCUAUGUAACAGAUCGAUGGAUCUAAAAUUUGCAUGGCCUAGUCUCCUAUGCCACAAGUCAGUGCUUUCAACAAGGCUGGUGUAUGCCUUUCUUUCUAUUUGGCUAACAUCCAGCAUGAAGCACCUAUCAGUCAUAGAGACUGUGACUAACUCCAGACCAUUCAUGUCUUGAACAAUACAGCAACCAUCCUUAAAAACCAAUGUAUAGCCCUUUUCAACUAAUUGGCCUACACUAAGUAAAUUCUGGUCUAAGUCAGGUACAAAAAACACAUCUGAGAUCAGCUUGUUACCUGAACCAGUGCUAAUCAACACACUGCCCUUGCCUUUAGCCUCAAUCAGUCUACCAUCUCCAAUUCUAAUCCUCGAGUGGAAGCUUCUGUCUAGGCUUUUGAACAGCUUCUCAUCUGCUGCAAUAUGGUGUGAGCAGCCACUGUCUAGUAGCCAAUCAUUGCUGGCCUUGGUUGUGCCAACAAAACAAGUUACUGUGAACACUUGCUCCUCCUGAGCUUGAAUGUCCUCAGCAGGUCUAGCUUGUUGCAGAGCAGCCUCCCUUGGUUUGCCCUUGCACACCUUCUCCACAUGGCCAAACUGCUUGCAUUUUCUACACUGAAUAUCUGGCCUAAACCAGCAAUACUUUUCUGAAUGUGUUGUCUUCUUGCAAUGAACACAUGGUGGGAACACCCUUUUUGCUUCAUCUAUUCCUGACUUGACCCUUCUAUUGUGCCAAUGCUGCUUGCCUUUUGCACUCACACUCGAGCCUUCACUGGCUUUAGCCUGGAAAGCAGCUUCAGGAUUCUCCUCCUGCCUAUUUGCCCUCCUUUGCUCAAGUGCAUACAGGAAGUUUAUCAGCUCAGACAAAGAAAUGGCUGAUAAGUCCCUCGAGUCCUCAAGUGAAGAGAUUUUAGACUCAAAUUUCUCAGGGAGAGUUGUAAUAACCUUUUCAACAACUCUGCUCUCUGUGAAGUCCACUCCCAGGAGCCUAAUGCUGUUGAAAAUGGCCAUUAUCCUGUCUGAGUACUGCUUGAUGGUCUCAGACUCCUUCAUCCUCAAAUUUUCAAAGUCUCUCCUGAGGUUGAUCACUUGCUGUUGCCUUGUCUUAUCAGUCCCCAUGAACUCCUCCUUCAGCUUCUCCCAAGCCUGCUUUGGUGAGUCACAGGCCAUGAUGCGAGUAAAUAUCACAUCAGAGACUCCAUUUUGCAAGCAGGCCAUAGCCUUAUGCUUCUUGGCUCGCUCCUCAGUAUGUUGCCUCAUCUGUGCAAUGGUGGGAUUGGCUCUCAAUGGAGGUGGUUCAGCAUCAUUCUCGAUCACACUCCAAAGAUCAUGUGCUUGGAGAUAAGUCUUCAUUUUAACUAUCCAAAUGUGAUAGUUUUCUCCAGUGAACACUGGUGGAGGUGGUAGAGUGAAACUCAUUCUGCUAGACUGAAUCCAAAUGCUUCGAUCUUACCAAAUUUUGAACUUGCUGUUGGUUUUGAUUCAAACACAACAGAUUGCAUACAAAGGCCCCUCAAAGACUCGGGCUCAUGAUACCAUUUGUACGAACAAUGGCAACAGCAAGCAUCAAACAAAGUUUCAAAUCUGUAUUUGUAAGACUGAAGCAAGAAGAAUCGAAGCAAAGAAAAAGCAAAGAAAUGAACACAAUUGAAUACUCAGCAAAGUUGUAACUGAACAUUACAUUUUUCAUUCAAGAUUUGAAUAUAUAAAAGAGCUACAAAUUUUGGUUCAUUUGACAGAUACCUAAUGACAUAACUACUCCCACUUAAACUAAACUAAUACAAGCUUAAGUCAAAUACAAAAUAAGCUGACAUAUCAGCUUUUACAUCAUCAAUCCAAUCACAAACUUAAUCCAACUAACUAUUAAAGCUAGUUACAAUCAAACUAAACUAAGUUACAUCAAAACAAAACAGCAAUAUCAGUUGCUUCAUUUGGUCUGAAAACCAUUCGUGCAUACCAAGCAAAAUGAGCUUAGCUCGAUAGCUGCUGGUCUCGAUAGUAGCAUGCUUCCGGCUCCAUGUUGCAUUGCAGUCCAGCUUUCAACAAGCUAAACCAAGCUGGGUUUAGCCCCAUGCACUUGGCUCUGCAAAAUGACAGAACUCAUGCAGUGCUUCGACUCCUCAGGUUUGAUGAAGGACUUGUUCGUGUUAAAGGGAGGGAGGACCUCACUCCUCUGCAUCAUGUGGUUCAAAAUGAAAACUUGAAUCUUUUGAAAAAGUUUCUUGAGGUUUGUCCUGAGGCUAUUGAAGAUAUGACUGUUCGAGAUGAGACGGUUUUCCAUCUUGCUGUGAAAAACGACAUGUUCGAAGCUUUUCAAGUCUUGGUGGGGUGGCUUAUGAGAAGCUGGUAUGAGUCUCCCCGAUGGGAGAAAGAAUUACUUAGUUGGCCAGACAUUGAUGGCAACACUGUUUUACACAUUGCAGCUAUCAGAAACAGACCUCGGGUAUAUGCUAAUUUUUGUCAUUAAGUCAGUUAUUGAUGAGUAUAUAUGUAUGAUAAAAGGGUUACUUAUAUGAAUAUUUUAUUAACAGGUGGUAAACGUAUUGCUGGAACACAUGAGGCGAGACCAAAUCAAUGCCAAAAAUUUGGAGGGAUUGACAGCACUAGAUAUCCAAUCACAGUACCCAUGGAAUGAAAGGCAAGCGGAUAAGAUUAUAGAUAUGCUAAGCUAAGCUGGAGGUUUCCCAAUACCUCCAUCUCUUCAUUCCACAUCGAAUCUUUAAAAGACAAGAUGUCACGGUCUCAAAAAUGGGCAACAAGAGCAGGUCGAGGAAAGAAGGGUAUGGGACAUGAGAUGCGCAACACAUUUCUAGUAGUGACAGUGCUAAUUAUAAUAACCACAUACGAAGCCUCUUUAAACCCUCCAAAGAAGCCUAAUGACAGUCCAUCCAUGAAAUACCAAGUCUCUUCAAGUCAAGAUGAGCCUCUCAAUUCCCACACAUUUUUGCAUAAAACCGACUUCAAUACUGCUCCCAUACCCAGUCCCUCCGCAAUUGACGUUUUGGAUCUAGAUGAUUGGACAUUUAAAUACUCCUCAUUUUUGUUUUGCAACACGUUCACCUUUUGGGUAGCAGUGUUCUUAACAGCACUUCUCCUACCACCUCAUUCAUUCUCUUCCUUGAUUCUCCUAACACUUUCCUUCUUUGGGAGAUCUUACAUGAAUUUAUUUGAUGUUUCCGCAUGGUCAUGGGGAUAUUCAUAUGAGUUUUCCAAUGAAAACGCACACUUAUUAUAUGUUGUAGCCUCCUUUUGUAAUGUUUUCUUCUCAACAUUGCUAGUUUUCCUUGGAUCAUACCAGACAAUAUUUUAUGUUUGCAGUAGGGUAAACAUUACCAAGCAAAAAUUCUUCUUCCUCCUACUAGUCGUUGUCAUUGGCUGCAUGCAGGUUUUUAUGUUUGCUUAGCUUAGUGAUGUGAUGGCCAUUGAUAAAUAAAAUCAAGGUUGGUGAAUGUACCAUUUCAUUCCAUUGAUAAAAGAAGUUUAAGUUUUAGAGUUGUUAUAUAUAUAUAUAUCAUCUAUCUUGCUCCACAUAUAAAUAUGGAGUGCAAAUCUGUUAAAUACUUAAAUGUGAUAGACUAAAACAUCAUUCUAAUAUAUUAAAUUUAAAAUAUUUUGAUAUUAUUAAAAGAAAUGAUUAAAUUAUUUUAACAUAUAAUAUCUUUUUUUAAGAGUAUUGAUUUUAUUUUUAGCUUUAAAAAAUACAAGUAAAAACAAAAUUUAAUUAACAAAAUUUUUUAUACAAUGCCUCAAAUUUAUGUUUUCUUUACACUAAUAGUAAUAUCGAUACUAACUAAAUUAAAAUUCAAUCGAUAAAUAAUUUAAAUUAUUAAUAAAUUAAAAUCUAUAUUAUACUUUAAAAUAUUUAUGAUAUAAAAAUAUAUUAAUAUAAUACCGACAUAUUGAUUAUUGAUUGUCGUGUUUAAUUAAGACUAGUAUAGCGUCUUAAGGUCAGAUGGGACUAUUGAAGAAACUUUUACCUCUAAGUGCCAAUUCGUUUGGAAUAAGAAAAAACAAUAAAAAGUGCCAGUACUUGUUUCUUUUCUUCUUUCUGUUUAAGACUUCUAUGGCUUGGGACCAUACCAGAAUUGUAUGUUCUACUUUUAAUUCUAGGACGACGUGAGUACAAAUUAAAUAUUUUUGUAUUGGUAACAAUAUUGAUCAUAAUCGAUUAAAAUAUUAAAUUUUACACUAAAGAACUUAAUAGAAAGAAUGUUGAUGAUGCUAACAACUAAACUUGAAUUUUUAAAUUUGAAAAUUAGAAAGAUUAAAUCUUAAAAGUAAAAGUAGAUGGACUAAUUAAAUUUCUAAUGUAUAAAGUGUAUAAGGAGUAAGGACUUAAAGUAUAUUUUAACACUUAAAUUUUUAUUUUAUAAUUUCAGACAAUCAAAUAAUUAAUCCAAUAUAAAACUUGGACGAAAAAAUUCUAUUUUCUUUUAAGCAUGUCGAAUUUAUUUCAAGCCUUCAAACAAACAAGCAAAGAAAAAAUAAAAUCAAAAGAAGAUAUCAAGUUGUCACUAGAUAACAAUUCUAGGUAGGAUUGGACCGAUGAGGUUCCGGUCCACAAUGAGCAAAACGGUGAGAGUGAUCCGAUUAAGUGAAGAAAUUUGAGAAGGGGGGGAGGGGGAACUUUCGUCGUUGUAAAGUGAAAAAGCUAAGGGAGUGAUUACAAUUUGAUUAUUAUUUCAUAUGCAAAUUCAAUUUUAAUUUAAAAUAACUUGAAGGCUAAAUUCAAUAAAAAAAUACUUUUAUAUUUCACUUUAAUAUUUAACAAUAAUAAGUUAAUUAAUAUAAUAUUAAAUUUAAAUAAAAUGGUUAUUUUAUAAAAUAAUUGUUUUUUCAUUUAUGAUAUAUGGACUUUUAUUUCUCAAGUUUUUAUAAAAUAAGGCUGUUAGGGUUGUUGCGUAUGUAUGCAUGUGUGUAUGCCUUGCAUGGGUGACAUUAGCAAACAAUAUCCCUCAGUUAGUAUAUAAGCUGAGCGAUAGUUGCUGAAAUGUGUGAGUUCCGGAAUAAUAAAAGUUCAAGUUUAUGCUUCUAUUUACUUUCUUGGCAAGUUUUCUCAGCUGCCAAACAGCUACAUAUGAUCGUUUGAUGUUCUUAACUAUCGACUUGUUGGAGUUUAGAGAAGUUGAGAGAGCAAAUAAAGAGAAAAAAAAGGAAAAUAUUUGCUUUCAAAAUUUUUCAUUAUUAUUAUUUUUACACAUGUAAUACAAUAUAUGGGUGUAGUGGUUACAGAUAAUUCAACAAGUCCUACUAAUACACCUUAAAAAUAUAAACCUAAAAUUUAUACAGAAACUGAUUAGGUAAAAUCAAUACCUAAAAAUAUCAAUUCAAUACUAACUCUGCUUGCUUUAACAAGUAAUCUCAGCAAAUAAAUUAAUUACAAAACAUUUAUAUCAGCAAAGGUGAACCCUACCAGCAUUACAACUAGUGGUUCACCAAAAACUUUACUAGCUCAUACUUUGAUGAGCUCCCAGCUUCAAUUGAACUCGCACUUUUUGUUCAACUCACAGCUUCACCGGAAGAAUUCGCCACUGCAUGCCACUUCACAACACGAUUGCAAGAAAGCUAAACCAAGCUGGGCUUAGCCCUCUGCUCUUGGCUCCUCAAAAUGACAAAACUCAAGCGGUGCUUCGACUCCUCAAGUUGACAAAGGCCUUUGUUCGUGUGAAAGGGAGGACGGCCUCACUCCUUUGCACCAAGUUGUUCAAACUGGAAAGGUUGAUCUUUUGUUCAAGUUUCUUGAGGUUUGUCCUGAGGCUAUUGAAGAUCUGACUGUUCCAGAUGAAACGGUUUUCCAUCUUGCCGUAAAAACCAGCAUGUUUUAAGCUUUUGAGCUCUUGGUGGGUGGCUUAUAAGAAGCCGCCAUGGAGCUGCCAAAUGUUGGGAGAAAGAACUACUUAGUUGGCCAGACAUUGAUGACAGUACUGUUCUGCACGUUGCAGUUUUAAACUCACCUCAGGUAUGCUAAUUUUGUUAGUUAAUUCAAUUAUUAAAUAUACAUAUAAUAGGGUUAUAUAUUUGAUUUUUUUUUAACUAACAGGUGAUAAAAGUAUUGCUGGAACAUUUGUGUCGACAUCAUAUCAAUGCCAAAAAUUUGGAUGGAUUCACUGCCCUAGAUAUCGAACCAGAGUUACCAGAAUGGCCAUUGGAUGAAGGGCAAGUGGAUAAUCGGGACUCCAUUAAAGAUAUGCUAAGCAAAGCAGGAGUUUGAGUGGUUCUUCGCUACCUAUGAGGCUCCGGUCUACAAUGGGAAAAACGGUGAGAGUGGUCCAAUUGUGUUGUCCUUAUUUGGGACCUGUUGCCCGCUUUUAGUUGCUGUUAACAUAUGGGCACUCAUCCUAUCAUGAUGGCCACAGCAUUGUUAAUUACUGCUGUUAACAAUGUUAACAAAAAAUUGUUAACUGUUUAUCCUGAAUUUUAAAAUAUGAAAAUAAAAAAGAUUAAAUUAUUAAAAAUAAAAUAUAUGAAAAAAAAUUUAAAAUUUUGAAAAGUACAUCGUCAAUCAUAUGGUCUGCUAAACCAUUCUUUCAUCACUCCUUCCACCACUCAUUUAGGUUGUUUUCUGUUUGAUCUAAGAUUUCCUACUUGGAAAUUUCCUUUGAUCUUUCAAGAUGUUUUAUUUUCUCAAAUUAGUGCGUUUUACUCACCUCUCAAAUCAAAACUUUUAUUCAACCUGAGUUGCAUUUGAUUUGGACUGGGUGUCUAUUUUCUAUGGCUUUGGGGUACUUGGAAAUUUCCUUCGACCUUGGAAGAUAAUUGUUUUUUGAGACAAGAGUGUUCGAGUCAUGUAUAAAUUUUGGUCAGAUUCCUGUGUUUUUGCAAAAUAUAAGUUCUAUUUCCUUUCUAUCUUGUCUUCUGGUUCUUUCUUCUUUGUGUUUUGUUGCAAAUUUCAUCAGCUUUCACUAAUCUGAAAAUUUACUGCCUAAUUUAUUACCCCCACAAAAAAAGCUAUGGAUGAGAGGAUGAUAGAAGCUGCCCACAUGGGAGAUAUUAACUUCUUGUAUGAGUUGAUUCUGAAUGAUCCAUAUGUUUUACAGCGUAUUGAUGAUGUGCCUUUUUUUAAUACUCAAUUGCAAGUAGCAACCUCUGUUGGGCAUAUUGAAUUUAUGAUGGAGAUGAUCAAAUUAAAGCCAACGUUUGCAAGAAAGCUAAACCAAGCAGGGUUUAGCCCCAUGCACUUGGCUCUGCAAAAUCACAGAACUCAUGCAGUGCUUCGACUCCUCAGGUUUGAUGAAGGCCUUGUUCGUGUCUAAGGGAGGGAGGACCUCACUCCUCUGCAUCAUGUGGUUCAAACUGAAAACUUUAAUCUUUUGAAAAAAAUUCUUGAGGUUUGUCCUGAGGCUAUUGAAGAUAUGACUGUUCGAGAUGAGAUGGUUUUCCAUCUUGCUGUAGAAAACGACACGUUUGAAGCUUUCCAAGUCUUGGUGGGGUGGCUUAUGAGAAGCUGCCAUGAGUCUGCCCAAUGGGAGAAAGAACUACUGAGUUGGGCAGACAUUGAUGACAACACUGUUUUACACAUUGCAGCUAUUAGAAACAGAGCUGGGGUAUAUGCUAAUUUUUGUCAUUAAGUCAGUUAUUGAUGUGCAUAUAUGGAUGAUAAAAGGGUUACUUAGAGGAAUAUUCUAAUUAACAGGUGGUAAAAGUAUUGCUGGAACACAUGCGGCGAGACCAAAUCAAUGCCAAAAAUUUGGAGGGAUUGACAGCACUAGAUAUCCAAUCACAAUACCCGUGGAAUGAAAGGCAAGCGGAUAGGAUUAUAGAUAUGCUAAGCAAAGCAGGUGGUUUGAGUGCUUCCUCUUCCUCGUUUCCCAAUACCUCCAUCUCUUCAUUCCACAUCGAAUCAUUAAAGAAAAAGAUGUCACGGUCUCAAAAAUGGGCGACAAGAGCAGGUCCAGAAAAGAAGGGUAUGCCACAUGAGAUCCGUAACACAUUUCUAGUAGUUAUGACACAUGCCCAUGUGAAGGAGGCACACGCCUAUGUGAAAAGAGGCACACACACGACUGUGUGCCCUAGAGACAUGACUGUGCGAAUAACCCAUGUUACUCUUUGUCCGAAAUUGUUAAAAUAAGGUGCAAAGCAGACACAGCCGUAUGAAAGUCUCACAUGCUCGUGUGCCACGGAACACUACUGUGUGCCCAGAACACACGCCCAUGUGAUUAUCAACUAAAAUCUCCAAAUCGAAACCACAAGAUCGUAUGACACCAAAAAUCAUCGAAAAACCCUAAUUCCUAAAUUCGCACAGCCGUAUGAACUGCCCGUGUGUGGCACAAGCCCGUGUGGUUACGAAACCACACCGAAACAAGCUACAGAACAUGCAUUUGCUACCGAAACAACCCUCAAUCCUCAUUAACAUAGUAAUACACCAAAAACAAAUAGUAUUUCAAGCAAUUCCAUAACAAUCUACACUUCGAUUGGUAAAUUUCAGAAACACACAAAAUAUGUCGAAUUUCACGGAGGCAAAUCAAAAUUUUAAAAAUGAAAAUGAUGAGCUUUCAAACCCACACCUAAAUUUGUGAUCAAAGCACGAGGAGAAAAACAAAGAAGAAAGCCAGAACGUAGGAGAAGGAAAUAAUAAAAUCUCCCCAACAAAAAUAAAAAAAAUUUGGAACAAAAAAAAAUGGAAACAAAUCUAACGUUUGGAAGAGGGAGGGAGAGGAGGAACGUGAAAAGAUUUUUUAGGAUAACUCCCUGUUGUAGACACAAAAUAAUAAUAAUAAUAAAAUAAAAAGAAUUAAAUUAAAUGAAAAUAACAAAUAAGUAUUGAAACUUUAAACAAGCUAAAAUAAAAUUGAUUCCUCUAAAACACUCAUGAGGGCUCAAACUUGAAAUCCGAAGGUAAACUAACACACUCGCCACUACCAACCAGCAGGCUCAUUCUAACAUUAAAACGCAAAAACAAGCACAAUUACUCAGCCUACUCACUAACCCUUACUUAAAACCUCAAAUCUUCUAACCCCAAAAUUUAGGAUGUUACAUGUAAUGUCCAUAUUUUUCUAAUACAAUUUUAUACAUGAAUUUUGGUUUUGUGCAGUUUUGCACAUGAUUUUUUUAUUUAAUUUAUUUUUCACAAACUACUAACAAAAUUAUUGAUAUAUAUCACCAUUUUAAGUUUACAUAUUAUAUACAUAAAUAAGUAUAUUUAUAAGAUAUCAAAAUAAAUCGAUGUCUUUAAACGUAACACCAAAACAAAGUUUGAUAUAUAACUCAACAUAUAAAAAGAAGUUAUUAAACAAUACAUAUAAUGUUUAGAACUAUAGUUCUAAUAUUAUUGGUAAAUUUAUAAUUUUCGGUUCACGUAAAUCUUAAUUAUAAAAAAUAAAAUUAUGACUUAUCUUGGAUUAAACUUACAUUAUAUUAUUUAAAUAAAUAAUUUACUAGUUUUUAAUGUCAGGUAGAUGUAUGUAAUUUUAUGCUUUUAAUAUUUAAUUAAUUUUAAAUAUUAUAUUUUUAAUUGAAAUAAUUAAUGUAAAAUAAUAUUUUUUAUUUGAAUUAUUGAAUGUAAUUAAAAUAUAUUAACUUAUCACUUCAAAUAUUAUAAUAGAAAUUUUUUAAAUCAAAAUUGCAUUUUUAACAUAAUCGACCUACAAUGUAAUUUUACUUUUAUGUAACUAAUACAAGUAACAUUAUUCAAAACAAUAACUAAUCAAUAUAAUUAAAUUUAGUAAUAAUUAAUUUUUAAUUAAGAUGCUUAAAAUUUUAGUAAUAAUUCAAUUUUACAUUGAUAAAUAUAUUAAUAUAAUUUUUUAUUUGUAAAUAUAAAUAUAAUAAUAUGAUAGAAAAUAAAAAGUAUUUUAAUAUGAAUAAAUAAAUUUUAAAAUUUAAAAUUCAACAUAUAUAUUUACAUAUUUCGCUAAUUCACCAACGUAUAUGCCUUGAUUUGAUAUAGUUAAUAUUCGGAUAAUGUUGUGAAUCACAUAUAUAUAUUUUGAAGUUUUAUCAUAUUUUCAUGGGUAAAAUACUUUAGAAGUUGUUGUACUCUUUGAAAAUUUAGAAUUUAGUUUUUAUGCUUUUAUUUUUAAGAAUUUAGUUCAUUUAUUUUUCAGAUUUUAAAAUUCAAAUCCAAUUGUUAAUAUUGUUAAUAUUUUUAAUUUCUUUAUGUUAAAUUCAAGUUCAUUACAACAUAUUUUUAGUUACAUGGUUUCCAAGUGUUUUUUUUUUUAAAUGUCACACCAACAAAUUUAACAAAAAAAAUUUGAGUGUUAACAAUUGGACCUGAGUUUUGAAAUUGAAAGGUAGAGGGACUAAGUUUUUGGAAAUAAAAGUAUAUGGAUUAAAUUUCAAAAUUUUGAAGAGUACAGAUACUUAUAACAUCUUUUAACCUAUUUUAAAAAUGUUUUGAAUCAUUACUUAACUUAUUUAGCUCUUCCAAUAAUUAUUUUAGAAUCUUUUUAAAUUUUAUCUUUCCUUAUAUAAUCUUUAUAAUUUUUUAAAAUUAAAUAUUUUGAAUUUAUUUUUUGUAAUUUUUGUUGAGAGAGAGACUAACCUACUCAUUUUCAAAAUUGUCAAGGACCAAACGAAUAUUUACAUCAAUCUAAUAUUUGAAUUAUUUGAAUCGAAACUCAAAUUACUAAUUCGAGUUGAGUUGAAAAAUCGAAUAACUCAGUUUCAUUAAAUAGAAAUUUAAUUUUUCUUUCUUUAUUCGAAUUAAAUUGAGUUUAAGUCGCCCUUAGUUUUACUCUAUAAAUAGGAUAUUUUUAAUAAUUUUUACCGUUCCUUCCACUUGCUUUUUGUUUGGUCCAAGGUUUUAUAGUUGGAAAUUCCCUUGGACCUUUAAAUAUGUUUAUUUUCUCAAAUUAGUGCGUUUAUGUCAUAAAUAAAAUCAACCUUUUUAUUUAAUGUGUAUUUCAUGUGGACUGGAUACCUGUUUUCUGUGGCUUUAGUUCUUGGAAAUUUCCUUGGACCUUGGAACAAAUUUGUUUCCUCAAACUAAAGUGUUCAAAUCAUGUAUAAAUUGUGGUCAGAUGCCUGUGCUUUUGCAGAAUACAGGUUCUAUUCCCUUUUCUAUAUUGUCUUCUGGUUCUUUCUUCUUUAUGUUUUGUUGCGAAUUUCAUCAGCUUUCAGUAAUCUGAAAAUUUACUGCCUAAUUUAUUACCCCAAAAAAAGCUAUGGAUGAGAGGAUGAUAGAGGCUGCCCAAACAGGAGAUAUAAUUAACCUCUUGUAUGAGUUGAUUCUGAAUGAUCCAUACGUUUUAGAGCGUAUUGAUGCUGUACCUUUUUCUCAUACUCCAUUGCAUAUAGCAGCCUCUGCUGGGCAUAUUGAGUUUAUGAUGGAGAUGAUCAAAUUAAAGCCAACGUUUGCAAGAAAGCUAAACCAAGCUGGGUUUAGCCCCAUGCACUUGGCUCUGCAAAAUGACAGAACUAAAGCAGUGCUUCGACUCCUCAGGUUUGAUGAAGGCCUUGUUCGUGUCAAAGGGAGGGAGGACCUCACUCCUCUGCACCAUGUGGUUCAAACUGGAAAUGUUGAUCUUUUGGUCAAGUUACUUAAGGUUUGUCCUGAGGCUAUUGCAGAUGUGACUGUUCGAGAUGAGACGGUAUUCCAUCUUGCUGUGAAAAACGACAUGUUUGAAGCUUUCCAAGUCUUGGUAGUGGCUUAUAAGAAGCCGCCAUGAGUCUGCCGAACGUUGGGAGAAAGAACUACUGAGUUGGGUAGACAUUGAUGGCAACACUGUGCUACACAUUGCAGCUAUCAGAAACAGACCUCAGGUUUGCUAAUUUUCCUAAUCAAGUCAAUUAUUGAUAUGUAUGUAUAUGAUAAAAGGGUAAUUUACAUUAAUUAAUUUCCAAUUAACAGGUGGUGGAAGUAUUGCUGGGACACUUGCGUCGAGACCAAAUCAAUGCCAAAAAUUUGUAGGGAUUGACAGCACUAGAUAUCCAAUCACAAUACCGAUGGAAUGAAAGGCAAGCGGAUAGGAUUAUAGAUAUGCUAAGCAAAGCAGGAGGUUUGAGUGCUUCCUCUUCCUCGCUUCCGAAUACCUCCAUCUCUUCAUUCCACAUCGAAUCAUUAAAGGAAAAGAUGCCAUGGUUUCAAAAAUUGGAAACAAAAACAGGUCGACUAAAGAACGGUAUUUCAUAUGAGAUGCGUAACACAUUUCUAAUAGUGAUAGUGCUACUUAUAACAACCACUUACGAACCCUCUUUAAACCCUCCAAACAUGCCUUAUGACAGUCCAUCCAUGAAAUACCAAGUCUCCUUAAGUCAAGAUCAGCCUCUCAAUUCCCACACAUUUUUGCAUAAAACCGACAUCAAUACUGCACCCAUACCCAGUCCCUCCGCAAUUGACGUUUCCAAAAAAGAUUAUUGGACAUCUAAUCACUCGUUUUUGGUUUUGAACAUGUUCAACUUUUCGGUUGCAGUUCUUUUAAUAGGACUUCUCCUACCAUAUCAUCCUUUCUCUUUGUUGAUUCACUUACCACUUUCCGGCUGUAUGGUAUCUUACACGGAGUUAUAUGCUUCCUUAUGUGAGUUUUCCAAUAAAAACGCACUUCUUUCUGGCGUUUAUAAUUUUUCCUUUACAAUGUUGCUGCCUUUUCUCGUAGUAUGCGGGUCAAUCUUUUAUGUUAUGGGCAAAGAGACAAAAUUUUCUAAGAAUCGGAAUUAAAUUGUAUAUUUGUUGAAGUUAGCUUCCAUGCAACACAAGCAGCAACAAACGUGUCCAUGCAAGCCACAUGCAGAAAAGAAGCAGCACAUGAAGGCAGCCGCUUGAGCUCGACAUUGCUGUCCAAAUUCAACUAGUUUUGUUGGAUUAAGUUUAUAUUUUGUAACUUAGUUCUUAUAGAACUUAGUUGGUAAACUUUUGAUGUAAUUUUUGAUGAUUGAUUGACUGAAAAUCCAGCCAAUGUAACUUAUGCAAGCUGAUUAACAAUUUCCAAUGUAUUAAGUGGAGUUAGGUAAGUGAUUAGGUAGUAUUUUGAUUUGUAAGUUUAACUCAAUGUUUGAUAUUUGUAAUGCCAACUUGCCAAUGUUUUGUUAAUGAAAAAUUAGCUUCUUUUUCAUUCAAAUUCUCUCCUUUCUUUGCUUUUGUUUUCUAUUUUCCACUUGCAAAGCUUUUCUUCUGUUUUGUUUCUUCCCCAAGCCACGAGGCUUGCUGUCCAAGCAAGGCUAGACCAGCUUGCUUACUGCCUUUAACACCAACAAUAUUUCUGUAAUAAUAAAAAUGAAAAUUUAUCAAUUUAAUAGUCUAUAUUUUUAUAUUUUUUAGAAGAUUAAAUCAAAAUUUUGUCAUUUAUAGGAGUCAAAAUAUAAUUUUAUCAUUACUAAUUUAAAAUUUUAUAAAUUAUAAAAGACUUAAAUAGAAAAAAAAAAUCAUUUUAAGGAGGCUCCAGCUCCCUGACUCCGCCUCUGCAGGUGGGUAACCAGUACCAAUCCAAAAUUCUCCAACCUCAUAAUAUAAUCUUUUACAUUGGCUUCCUCCUUUCUACACUGUGUCCAGUUUCGUGGAUCCUUCUAAUGUAAAUGCCGAAAGCGUAAUGAAGUUUUGGGGUUUGUAUUAGAGAUGGUGAUGGAGUAGUUAUUGGGUUGAGCUGGUUCAUUAGUUCCCUUCAUCUCUUCUACCGGACUCUUAUUCCUUUUUUAUUAUCAAGGGUGAAGGUCUGCACAUACUUUUGUUUAGGCCUAAUCGUCUCUUGAGGAAGAGCUAUGUUGUAAUGAUAAAAGAAGUGCGAAUUUGUUUGUCAAGUAGUUGUUGAAUAAGGAUCUUAACUAGGAUCUUAAAUAAAGGGAAAUGUAUUUGUUAUGUGCUCAUGAUACAUACCAUCGUGAUUCAUCAAAACAGCAUUCUAAAAUAUUUACUUUAAUUGUAAUUACUUGGUAUGCUUUACAAACGAGGUUGAGAUUUUGUUACAUAUUUUGUUUAUUUUUUCAAAAAACGAGGUUGAGAUUUUGUUACAUAUUUUGUUUUUUUUUAAAAUGAGAUUGAAAUUUUGUUACAUAUCUUAUUUAUUUUUCAAAAAAUUCAAUAUAAUUUAAAGGCACGUGACGAUAUAAAUUCUACUUGCACAAUUAAAAAAUUUCCAUUGGAAAUAUUUUAAAUAAUUAUCCUUAAUUCAAAACAAAUAAGUGUUGAGUGUAAUAGUAAAAUAUAUUGCAUUUCCAAGAAAAGAUGUAAGUUCAAACCUUGGAAAUAAUAUUAUUAGAGCGGCAGCCAUGAACUCCGAAUAUGGACCAUAAAAUAGAUAUAAAAAUAUGUAAAAUAUUUAGAAAAAUAAUAAAAUAUAAAACAUCACGUUAGAGUACUAUUACAUAUUACUAUAGAUUUAAUUUUAUGUGUUAUAAAUAAUAUAAUAUAUAAAAAUAACAAAAUAUUUAACAUUACAAACUUAUAAAAACGGGUUUAACCUGGGCUGACCUGGUCUUUAAAUGUUCAACCCCAUUUUUCAAAUCUAAUCUUUUUACCUAAAUCCUCCUCAUUUUUUAAACAAGCGAAUAUUCGGAGGAUUCUUCUAACCAAAAUAGAAAAUAUAUCAAAAAACUAAAAAGUAUAACAAAAAUAAUAAAUAAAAAAUUUACAUAUAAUUUGGAAUUUCUAAUUGUACUUAGAAUUGUAUAACGUAUAAUUGUAAUUUGUCAGCAAAGUUGUUUCUUUUUUUUUCCCCUUAAAAUUCAAAGAAUUCUUCUCCCUUUAUACAUAGGUCAUCGAUUCAGCAUUAGAAAAAGGGGCUCAAAUCGUUUUAUCGACAUGAGUGUUUUAUGUCGAAAAAAUAUUUUUGUUUUGAAAAUAUUUCUGUAUUUAGUAACAUAGUAGUAAAAAGAGUACCCAAUUGCAUCUGAACUUCAAACGGGUUUGGCCUUAACCAUGUUAAUGGUCCCAGAUUAUUGGUUAAUAAAGAAUCAAAGUCGAUGUGCCAAUGAAUCACGAAAUGCUAUAGUUCUAUAGUAUGAUUUUAAAAAUAUAUUCAGAAGUAAUUCGCGAGAUCAUGCACUCUUUUAUUUCCUAGUUAUAAUGAAAAAAAGUACAACUGGGUGAAUCCAGCUUAUUCUUGAAAUAAACAACUCACACACACUCACUUUCCAAAAAAGAUUAAUACACCAAGGACUACACUUAGAUUUAUUAGAUUUGUUGCUAAAAUAUCGGUAUUAACCCCGAAACUCUCGGCAGAUGGCCAGUGACCCAAGGAAACGAAAGAAUCGAUUACAUUUUUCAUAUGAUCUCCUAUUUUAUUUUAGAUAGACUAACAAAAAGAAUUCAGUUUUUUUUUGUAUUAUAUCGCUUUGACUCCUUUUCCAUUUAUUCUAUUCUAUCAUAUUUAUAUUAUUCUAAUUAUUCUAGUUCUAUGUAUUUCUUUAUUUGUUUUAAUAAAUUAUUAAAUUUAUUAUAAAAUUAUUCAUUAUUAUGAUUAUGAAUUUUCAUUUACCUAUGUCUAAACGGAGUUAAAAAUAUAUUCUAUUUAGCUAGUUAGCUAGAAAUGUAUUUUUUUAAUUGAAAAUUCCCAAUAAUAAUAAUUCUUAUUAGAAUUAGGGAGCAGGUUUCAUGUCAAUGGCAAAAUACCUCAUUUGAUGCUACACUCCUUUAAACAAUAAAUAAUAAAUAAGGGGUUCUUUUGAACUAAGAAGGAGAAGGAAGAAAGCGAGUUGGCGUGAUAAUUCUUCAGCCUCAAAUUAAUCCUUCCCACGGAUUAUUGUCCUAACGAAUAUUAAUUGUAGGGGUGAAAUCUUGAUAGAAUUCGAAAAAGCGAGGAGUAAGUCCCAAGCCAUAAAAUAAGAAAAACAAAUACAAAAUUCUCAUGUUUAUAGGAUUAAAUAAAGGGAUUCACAAAUAAGAGUGCCAGUGCUACAACCAGUGCAUAAAUUGUUAAAGCUUCCAUAAAAGCCAAACUAAGCAAUAAAGUACCUUGUAUUUUUUCCUCCGCCUCAGGUUGUCUCGCGAUACCUUCUACAGAUUGGCCCGCAGCAGUACCUUGACCGCCUCCAGGUCCAAUAGAAGCAAGCUCGACAGCCGACCCUGCAGUAAUAACGAAAGCGGCAGAAAUCAGUGGAUUCAUGAUAAGUUCCUCGCACCAAAAUAAAGAAAUAGUUAAUGAUACAAUCAUCCAAUGAAUUUUGACUUAAUUAUAUUAUAUCAUCCAUAUGUUUUACAGCGUAUUGAUGAUGUGCCUUUUUUUAAUACUCAAUUGCAAGUAGCAACCUCUGUUGGGCAUAUUGAAUUUAUGAUGGAGAUGAUCAAAUUAAAGCCAACGUUUGCAAGAAAGCUAAACCAAGCUGGGUUUAGCCCCAUGCACUUGGCUCUGCAAAAUGACAGAACUAAAGCAGUGCUUCGACUCCUCAGGUUUGAUGAAGGCCUUGUUCGUGUCAAAGGGAGGGAGGACCUCACUCCUUUGCACCAUGUGGUUCAAACUGGAAAUGUUGAUCUUUUGGUCAAGUUACUUAAGGUUUGUCCUGAGGCUAUUGUAGAUGUGACUGUUCGAGAUGAGACGGUAUUCCAUCUUGCUGUGAAAAACGACAUGUUUGAAGCUUUCCAAGUCUUGGUAGGGUGGCUUAUAAGAAGCCGCCAUGAGUCUGCCGAACGUUGGGAGAAAGAACUAUUGAGUUGGGUAGACAUUGAUGGCAACACUGUGCUACACAUUGCAGCUAUCAGAAACAGACCUCAGGUUUGCUAAUUUUCCUAAUCAAGUCAAUUAUUGAUAUGUAUGUAUAUGAUAAAAGGGUAAUUUACAUUAAUUAAUUUCUAAUUAACAGGUGGUGGAAGUAUUGCUGGGACACUUGCGUCGAGACCAAAUCAAUGCCAAAAAUUUGGAAGGAUUGACAGCACUAGAUAUCCAAUCACAAUACCUAUGGAAUGAAAGGCAAGCGGAUAGGAUUAUAGAUAUGCUAAGCAAAGCAGGAGGUUUGAGUGCUUCCUCUUCCUCGCUGUUGGAACAUUUGGCAGCAGCAAAAGAAGAGAACAGAGAGCAUAACAAUGAAGCAAGGUGCAAGAAGGAUUUUUACUUGCUCACAAAUGUGCAGCAAGGGAGCUUAUGGCUGAUAGCCUAUUCAGCUCAUUCAUUCAACUAGAAAAACAACAUAUUUAUAGUCAAAUACAUCACCAAAUACUACCUACUACCACUAGUUUUACUUUGAAUUAAGUAAAACUUAACUUGCACACAAGCUGAUUAUGUCAAUCAGCAACUAAAAACAUCAAAACAAUACCAACUUAGUUCAUUUUCAACUAAGUAGCUUAACAAAGAAACUAAAGAGAAAACCUUGCUGCUACAGCAAGUAUACGUGCUGCAGCAUGUCAUCAAGCUGCAUGCACUUCAAACAGCAGCAUGGUUGGCCAAUUUGAACACUCCUCCUUUGGACUCCAUGCUGCAAAUACAUAUCAUUCAGCAAGUUUUUGAACUAGGCAGCCCUUAGAUGCUUUGUUUCAAGCUGACCAAUUCAUUUUCAACCUUGGCCUCAUUCACAAACAAAUCUGACUUACACACUUGACUAUCCCAGUCUUUUGUGGCAAAGAUUUGUUCACCAAAUGGAGUCUUCUCCUCCUUCACAGCCUUGGUUGACAACUUGUUUCUUCUUGCACAAACAGUUCCUGAGUAUAGUUGCUUGCCUUCAUUCUGCCAUUUUGGCUUGCAACUAUACAACACACAUUAAGCUUCCACAUGUUGCUGAGCUCACACCUUUGACAGACUCACAUCUUUGCAUAUUGUCUUCAACAGGUGUCUUCAACAGGCUCGCACUUUGCUAAGCUUGCAGCUUUGACAUCUUGCUAAGCUUGCACAUUUGGAAAGCUCACACCUUUCUUUGAAACUCCUCCUUCAGCUUAUUCAAGCUUGUUUGGGGGUCUUAUAAGUUUGAGCCGGUGUUGAGCAGGGGAAACAAAAUCAAUGGUCCCUUAAGACUUAGGCUCUUGAUACCAUUUGUUGGAACAUUUGGCAGCAGCAAAAGAAGAUAACAGAGAGCAUAACAAUGAAGCAAGGUGCAAGAAGGAUUUUUACUUGCUCACAAAUGUGCAGUAAGGGAGCUUAUGGCUGAUAGCCUAUUCAGCUCAUUCAUUCAACUAGAAAAACAACAUAUUUAUAGUCAAAUACUUCACCAAAUACUACCUACUACCACUAGUUUUACUUUGAAACAAGUAAAACUUAACUUGCACACAAGCUGAUUAUGUCAAUCAACACCUAAAAACAUCAAAACAAUACCAACUUAGUUCAUUUUCAACUAAGUAGCUUAACAAAGAAACUAAAGAGAAAACCUUGCUGCUACAGCAAGUAUACGUGCUGCAGCAUGUCAUCAAGCUGCAUGCACUUCAAACAGCAGCAUGGUUGGCCAAUUUCAACACUCGCUUCCGAAUACCUCCAUCUCUUCAUUCCACAUCGAAUCAUUAAAGGAAAAGAUGCCAUGGUCUCAAAAAUUGGAAACAAAAAUAGGUCGACUAAAGAACGGUAUUUCAUAUGAGAUGCGUAACACACUUCUAAUAGUGAUAGUGCUACUUAUAACAACCACUUACGAACCCUCUUUAAACCCUCCAAAGAUGUCUUAUGACAGUCCACCCAUGAAAUACCAAGUCUCCUUAAGUCAAGAUCAGUCUCUCAAUUCCCACACAUUUUUGCAUAAAACCGACAUCAAUACUGCACCCAUACCCAGUCCUUCCGCAAUUGACGUUUCCAAAAAAGAUUAUUGGACAUCUAAUCACUUGUUUUUGGUUUUGAACAUGUUCAACUUUUCGGUUGCAGUUCUUUUAAUAGGACUUCUCCUACCAUAUCAUCCUUUCUCUUUGUUGAUUUACUUACCACUUUCCUGCUGUAUGGCAUCUUACACAGAGUUAUAUGCUUCCUUAUGUGAGUUUUCCAAUAAAAACGCACUUCUUUCUGGCGUUUAUAAUUUUUCCUUUACAAUGUUGCUGCCUUUUCUCGUAGUAUGCGGGUCAAUCUUUUAUGUUAUGGGCAAAGAGACAAAAUUUUCUAAGAAUCUGAAUUAAAUUGUAUAUUUGUUGAAGUUAGCUUCCAUGCAACACAAGCAGCAACAAACGUGUCCAUGCAAGCCACAUGCAGAAAAGAAGCAGCACAUGAAGGCAGCAGCUUGAGCUCGACAUUGUUGUCUAAAUUCAACUAGUUUUGUUGGAUUAAGUUUAUAUUCUAUAACUUAGUUCUUAUAGAACUUAGUUGGUAAACUUUUGAUGUAAUUUUUGAUGAUUGAUUGACUGAAAAUCGAGCCAAUGUAACUUAUGCAAGCUGAUUAACAAUUUCCAAUGUAUUAAGUGGAGUUAGGUACGUGAUUAGGUAGUAUUUUGAUUUGUAAGUUUAACUCAAUGUUUGAUAUUUGUAAUGGCAACUUGCCAAUGUUUUGUUAAUGAAAAAUUAGCUUCUUUUUCAUUCAAAUUCUCUCCUUUCUUUGUGUUGCGCGGAAGCGUGUAAAAGAGUAAAAUUAUUGUACUAAAAAAUCACACUAAGUUCAAUUCCUAGGAAAGAGAGGUGGAUCACGAGGAUCGCUUAAGUACCAGGUCUUUCCUAGCCAGAAUAUCCCUCUAUCUUAAUUUAGUAGCACAAUAAAUCACUACAAUCACACUCGCAAAAUAUGAAAAAUAAACAAUAAAGAACACUAGAAUUUUAACGAGGUUCAGAAAAUUUUGCCUACGUCCUCGUGCACUACCAAAUAUAUUUCACUCCAAAAUACAAGUGAAAGUUUACAAAUAAGGAGAGAGAACAAUUGCCUUAAGUAGAGAAUGGUAAAUGUGGGAUGUAGAAAAUGAGAAAUAGUUAGGCCUAUUUAUAGUUGAAGCUCAAGGAUCAACUUGCAAAGUCCCUAUACAAUUAGGGACCAAAAUUGCAAUUAUCCCAAGCCAAAUUUCAACCCUAAAAUCUAUGCCUUAAAUGUUUAGAGUUUCGGUGCCAAAUUUCUGACACCAUCCAUCGUUGAAAAGUCAAAGAUGGUUGCCAAUAAUCUCCACCUUGAAGAUUUGAUUAGGAUAAUCUUAUCUUCACACAAUUCUUUCUGCCUUUGACAACAAUACUUGAUAGUGCCUUCUUCAACUGUUAAACUUACAGGAUAUUGAUCAAGUUCAAACAAUGUUCGAACUUGAUUGUUGUUACCACUUUGGUCAUCAUAUCUGCAGGAUUAUCUGCAGUCUUGAUCUUCUGAAAUUUUCCCCCCAUCAAUAAUUUCUCGCACAAAAUGGAAUCGUACGUCGAUAUGCUUUGUACAUGCAUGAUAGACUUGAUUCUUUGCUAAAUGAAUAGCACUUUGACUAUCACAAUACACGUUAAUAUGCUUCUGAACAAAUCCCAAGGUUUUAACCAUACCUUGUAACCAAAUAGCUUCAUUUACAGCCUCUGUUACAGCCAUGUAUUCGGUUUCUGUGGUUGACAACGCAACUGUAGACUGCAGUGUAGACUUCCAACUUAUAAACACAUAACCGGUGGUUGAUCUUCGUUUGUCCAAAUCACCAGCAUAGUCAGAAUCAACGUACCCAAUAACACCUUUACCAAGUGUAGUAUCCUGCUUGAACAGUAAUCUAACAUCCACGGUCUUCAGAAUAUAUCGUAGAAUCCAUUUCACAGCUUGCCAAUGUCCUUUUCCAGGAUUAUGCAUAUACCUGCUCACUAUACUAACUGCCUGUGAAAUGUCGGGUCUUGUACACACCAUUGCAUACAUCAAGCUACCCACUGCAUUAGAAUACGGAACUUGUAACAUGUAUUCUUGUUCCGUAUUCGUCGAAGGAGAUAGUUGUGCAGAAAGCUUGAAAUGAGAAGCCAACGGGAUACUUACAGGUUUUGUUUGCUCGUUCAUGCCAAAUUGCUGUAGUACUUUCUUCAAAUACUGCUUCUGAGAUAAACUAACUCUGCCAUGAGCUCUAUCUCUACAUAUUUCCAUGCCAAUAAUCUUCUUAGCUUCACCUAGAUCUUUCAUCUCAAACUUGAGAUUGAGCUGAGUCUUCAAUCUCUCAAUCUCAACUUUGCUCUUAGAUGCUAUCAGCAUAUCAUCAACAUAUAAGAGCAAGUAUAUGAAAGUUCCUACUUGUAGCUUCUGAAAAUACACGCAAUGAUCAAAUUUACUUCUUGUGUACCUUUGUCCUUUUAUGAACUGAUCAAAUCGCUUGUACCACUGCCUCGGAGAUUGUUUCAAUCCAUAAAGCGACUUCGUCAGUUUGCAAACCCAAUUUUCUUUAUCAGCAACCUUGAAUCCAUCAGGCUGAGUCAUAUAGAUCUCCUCUUCCAAAUCACUGUGUAAAAAAGCCAUCUUUACAUCAAGCUGAACUAGUUCAAGGUCAUAUUGCACAACCAGGGCUAGCAAAAUCCGAAUAGACGAAUGCUUCACAACUGGAGAAAACACUUCAUUGUAGUCUAUUCCUUCUUUCUGAGCGUAACCUUUUGCUACCAAUCUAGCCUUGUAUCGAAUUUCAUUUUUACCAGAAAAUCCUUCCUUCUUUGCAUAUACCCAUUUGCAUCCAAUUGCCUUAUUUCCCUUGGGCAGUGUCACCAACUCCCAAGUCCUAUUUUUAUGAAGAGACUGCAUUUCUUCAUUCAUAGCCUGCUUCCACUUUACACCAUCAGGGUUACUUAUUGCUUCUGUGUAAGUAGAAGGAACAUCAUCAUCUGCAAUUGGAAGUGCAUAGGCCACUAUAUCAUUAAAGCGAACAGGCUUACGAAUCUCUCUUCUUGGCCUCCUAUAUGCAAUUGAAUCUUGUUGCUAUAGAAGUUCUUGAGUCGAAACUUCUUCAUCAUUUGCUCCUUUAGUAUUAGCUGGAUCAUCAUUAACCUUUUCAAGCUCCACCUGCUGCAAAGUGCCACUAGUUUUGUCAUCCUUUUGUGAAUCCUUGUUCUUCAUCAUGGUUGAUUCAUCAAAAGUCACAUCUCUACUGAAAAUAAUAUUUCUUGUAUCAGGACACCAGAGACGGUAUCCUUUUACUCCACUAGUUAUACCCAUGAAUAAUGCUUUCUUUGCUCUUGGGUCUAACUUAGAUUCUUUUACAUGAUAAUAUGCAGUGGAACCAAAAAACAUGUAAAGAAUCAUAAUCAGUAGCAGGUUUACCAGUCCACAUCUUCAUAGGAGUUUUUCCAUUUAUUGCAGCUGAUGGCAACCGGUUAAUUAGAUGGCACGCAUAUGUAACUGCCUCAGCCCAAAAUUCCUUGCCCAAUCCAGCAUUGGACAACAUACAUCGAACUUUCUCCAGUAUAGUCCGAUUCAUACGUUCUGCCACCCCAUUCUGCUGUGGUGUAUCUCGAACAGUGAAGUGUCGCACAAUGCCCUCAUCUUGACAUACUUGUAGAAAUGGAUCAUUUUUGUACUCAGUACCAUUAUCUGAUCGAAGUCGUUUGACCUUUCGACCAGUCUGAGUCUCCACCAUCUUCUUCCACUUCAGAAAUGCAUCCAAAAUUUCACUUUUUCUUUUCAUUAGAUACACCCAUACUUUUCUUGAAUAAUCAUCAACAAAAGUAACAAAAUAGUGCAUACCUCUCAAAGAAGCCACUUUGGUAGGUCCCCACACGUCACUGUGAACAUAGUCCAGAAUUCUUUCCGUAUUGUGAAUUGCUGAACCAAAUUUUACCCUCGCCUGCUUGCCCAGAACACAAUGUUCACAGAAUUCAAAUUUGCAAGAAUUUACACCUUUCAACAAGCCUUGCUUCGCCGAAGUCUACCAAGCUUUUUCACCAGCAUGUCCUAAUCGCAUAUGCCAUAACCUGGUAGCCUCUGAAUCUGCAUCUUUCGCAAAAGCUGUUGAUAUUGAUCCAAUAAUUGUACUUCCAUUUAAAUAGUACAAGUUAUUUCUUCUAGUGCCUUUUAUCACCGUCAAUACCCCAGCUACUACCUUUAGUAAUCUAUCUCUCAAAGUGACUGUGAGCCCUUUAGGUUCUAGGGCCCCUAAUGAGAUGAGAUUUUUCUUCAAGCUAGGUACAUAGCGAACAUCUGUCAAGACUUGGAUUGAGCCAUCGUGAUUCUUCAAUUUGAUUGUACCUACUCCUAUUGUCUUACAAGCACUGUCAUUGCCUAUAAAAACAACUCCACCUUCUAGUUUUUCAAGACUAGAAAAUCAAUCCUUAUUAGGACACAUAUGUUAAGUACAUCCCAAAUCCAAGAUCCACUCAUCCGUAUGACAUGUCAUUGCCAUGCCAACCAAGCUAAAGUCUGACUCCUCAUCAUGCUCCGUUACACAUGCAUCAGAAAUAGCCUUGCCCUUUUGUAACUUAAGACAAUUCUUUUUCCAGUGCCCUUUCUCACGACAAAAAGCACAUUCAUCUUUGGCGGGUCUCCCUUUGGACUUGCCCCUUCUACGAGGUUUGUUGCUGUGUGAACAACCUCUUACUAUUAAGACUACUGCAGUUGUAUCUCUGUGAUCUCUUUUAUCUUUCUUUCGAGUCUCAGAUCUGUACAAUGCACUACAAACUGCAUCAAAUGUGAUCGUAUCCUUCCCAUGAAGCAAUGUGGUGGUAAGAUGAUCAUAUUCAUCGGGAAGAGAAUUCUACAACAAUAAUGCCUUGUCUUCAUCUUCAAACUUCUCAUCCAAAUUUAGCAAGUCUGCUAAAAUUUUAUUGAAUGAGUUCACAUGGUCAUUCAUCGACAUACCGGGUGCAUACGUGAACCGAAAAAGUUUCUUUUCAUAUAAAGCCUAUUUUCAUGACUUUUCGUUAGAAACUUUUCUUCCAGUGUAUCCCACAACUUCUUCGCUAAUGUCUCCCUCAUGACAGAGUACUUCUGCUCUUUGGCCAAACAUAGGCGAAUUGUACCACACGUCUGUCUAUUGAUCUUGGCCCACUCCUUGUCAUCCAUCUUGUCAGGUUUUUCUUCAAGGGCUAUAUCCAACUCUUGCUGACAUAAGACAUCCAGGAUCUCACACUGUCACAUACCAAAAUUAUUGGUACCAUCAAAUUUAUCUACAAAUUUUGCAUUGGUCACGGUAGUCUUUAUUGAUGACGAUGCCUCUGCCAUUUUUCUCCUCAAUCCCAACUACUGUAUAUGUGAACAGUACCGUCUACGUGAAUAGUACAGUGGAUGAACAAUACCGUAUACGUAAAUAGUAUCGUAAACGGUCGUACUCCCCAAGUACGAAUCUAGCUUCGAUACCAAUUGUUGCGCGAAAGCGUGUAAAAGAGUAAAAUUAUUGUACUAAAAAAUCACACUAAGUUCAAUUCUCAGGAAAGAGAGGUAGAUCACGAGGAUCGCUUAAGUACCAAGUCUUUUCUAGCUAGAAUAUCCCUCUAUCGUAAUUUAAUAGCACAAUAAAUCACUACAAUCACACUCACAAAAUAUGCAAAAUAAACAAUAAAGAACACUAGAAUUUUAACAAGGUUCAGCAAAUUUUGCCUACGUCCUCGAGCAUUACUAAAUAUAUUUCACUCCAAAAUACAAGUGAAAGUUUACAAAUAAGGAGAGAGAACAAUUUCCUUAAGUAGAGAAUGACAAAUGUGGGAUGUAGAAAAUGAGAAAUAGCUAGGCCUAUUUAUAGUUUAAGCUCAAUGAUCAACUUGCAAAGUCCCUAUACAAUUAGGGACCAAAAUUGCAAUUAUCCCAAGCCAAAUUUCAACCCUAAAAUCUAUGCCUUAAAUGCUUAGAUUUUCGGUGCCAAAUUUCUGACACCAUCCAUCUUUGAAAAGCCAAAGAUGGUUGCCAAUACUUUGUUUUUGUUUUUUGUUUUCCACUUGCAAAGCUUAUCUUCUGUUUUGUUUCUUCCCCAAGCCACGAGGCUUGCUGUCCAAGCAAGGCUAGACCAACUUGCUUACUGCCUUUAACACCAACAAUAUUUCUGUAAUAAUAAAAAUGAAAAUUUAUCAGUUUAAUAGUCUAUAUUUUUAUAUUUUUUAGAAGAUUAAAUCAAAAUUUUGUCAUUUAUAGGAGCCAAAAUAUAAUUUUAUCAUUACUAAUUUAAAAUUUUAUAAAUUAUAAAAGACUUAAAUAGAAAAAAAUCAUUUUAAGGAGGCUCUAGCUCCCUGACUCCGCCUCUGCAGGUGGGUAACCGGUACUAAUCCAAAAUUCUCCAUCCUCAUAGUAUAAUCUUUUACAUUGGCUUCCUCCUUUCUACAUUGUGUCCAGUUUCGUGGAUCCUUCUAAUGUAAAUGCCGAAAGCGUAAUGAAGUUUUGGGGUUUGUAUUAGAGAUGGUGAUGGAGUAGUUAUUGGGUUGAGCUGGUUCAUUAGUUCCCUUCAUCUCUUCUACCGGUCUCUUAUUCUUUUUUUGUUAUCAAGGGUGAAGGUCUGCACAUACUUUUGUUUAGGCCUAAUCAUCUCUUGAGGAAGAGCUAUGUUGUAAUGAUAAAAGAAGUGUGAAUUUGGUGUGAAUUUGUUUGUCAAGUAGUAGUUGAAUCAGGAUCUUCACCAGAAUCUUAAAUAAAGGGAAAUGUAUUUGUUAUGUGCUCAUGAUACAUAUCAUCGACUCCAACACCCUUAAAAGUGAUUCAUCAAAACAGCAUUCUAAAAUAUUUACUUUAAUUGUAAUUAUUUGGUAGGCUUUACAAACGAGGUUGAGAUUUUGUUACAUAUUUUGUUUAUUUUUUUUAAAUGAGAUUGAAAUUUUGUUACAUAUCUUAUUUAUUUUUUAAAAAAUUCAAUAUAAUUUAAAGGCACGUGACGGUAUAAAUUCUACUUGUACAAUUUAAAAUUUUCCAUUGGCAAUAUUUUAAAUAAUUAUCCUUAAUUUAAAACAAAUAAGUGUUGAGUGUAAUAGUAAAAUAUAUUGCAUUUCCAAGAAAAGAUGUAAGUUCAAACCUUGAAAAUAAUAUUGUUAGAGCGGCAGCCAUGAACUCCAAAUAUGGACCAUAAAAUGGAUAUAAAAAAUACGUAAAAUAUUUAGAAAAAUAAUAAAAUAUAAAACAUCACGUUAGAGUACUAUUACAUAUUACUAUAGAUUUAAUUUUAUGUGUUAUAAAUAAUAUAAUAUAUAAAAAUAACAAAAUAUAUAACAUUACAAACUUAGAAAAACGGGUUUAACUUGGGCUGACCUGGUCUUUAAAUGUUUAAGCCCAUUUUUCAAAUCUAAUCUUUUUACCUAAAUCCUCCUCAUUUUUUAAACAAGCGAAUAUUCGGAGGAUUCUUCUGACCAAAAUAGAAAAUAUAUCAAAAAACUAAAAAGUAUAAUAAAAAUAAUAAAUAAAAAAUUUACAUAUAAUUUGGAAUUUCUAAUUGUACUUAGAAGUAUAACGUAUAAUUGUAAUUUGUCAGCAAAGUUGUUUCUUUUUUUUUCUUCAAAUUCAAAGAAUUCUUCUCCCUUUAUACAUAGGUCAUCAAUUCAGCAUUGGAAAAAGGGGCUCAAAUCGUUUUAUCGACAUGAGUGUUUUAUGUCGAAAAAAUAUUUUUGUUUUGAAAAUAUUUCUGUAUUUAGUAACAUAGUAGUAAAAAGAGUACCCUAUUGCAUCUGAACUUCAAACGGGUUUGGCCUUAACCAUGUUAAUGGUCCCAGAUUAUUGGUUAAUAGAGAAUCAAAGUCGAUGUACCAAUGAAUCACGAAAUGCUAUGGUUCUAUAAUAUGAUUUUAAAAUUUUAUUCAGAAGUAAUUUGCAAGAUCAUGCACUCUUUUCUUUCCUAGUUAUAAUGAAAAAAAGUACAAUUGGGUGAAUCCAGCUUAUUCUUGAAAUAAACAACUCGCACACACUCACUUUCCAAAAAAGAUUAAUACACCAAGGACUACACUUAGAUUUAUUAGAUUUGUUGCUAAAAUAUCGGUAUUAACCCCGAAACUCUCAGCGGAUGGCCAGUGACCCAGGGAAACGAAAGAAUCGGUCACAUUUUUCAUAUGAUCUCCUAUUUUAUUUUAGAUAGACUAAAAAAAAGAAUUCGUUUUUUUUUGGUAUUAUAUCGCUUUGACUCCUUUUCCAUUUAUUCUAUUCUAUCAUAUUUAUAUUAUUCUAAUUAUUCUAAUUCUAUGUAUUUCUUUAUUUGUUUUAAUAAAUUAUUAAAUUUAUUAUAAAAUUAUUCAUUAUUAUGAUUAUGAAUUUUCAUUUACAUAUGUCUAAACGGAGUUAAAAAAUAUAUUCUAUUUAUCUAGUUAGCUAGAAAUGUAUUUUUUUAAUUGAAAAUUCCCAAUAAUAAUAAUUCUUAUUAGAAUUAGGGAGCAGGUUUCAUGUCAAUGGCAAAAUACCUCAUUUGUUGCAACACUCCUUUAAACAAUAAAUAAUAAAUAAGGGGUUCUCUUGAACUAAGAAGGAGAAGGAAGAAAGCGAGUCGGUGUGAUAAUUUUUCAUCCUCAAAUUAAUCCUUCCCACGGAUUAUUGUCCUAACGAAUAUUAAUUGUAGGGGUGAAAUCUUGAUAGAAUUCGAAAAAGCGAGGAGUAAGUCCCAAGCCAUAAAAUAAGAAAAACAAAUACAAAAUUCUCAUGUUUAUAGGAUUAAACAAAGAGAUUCACAAAUAAGAGUGCCAAUGCUACAACCAGCCCAUAAAUUGUUAAAGCUUCCAUAAAAGCCAAACUAAGCAAUAAAGUACCUUGUAUUUUUCCCUCCGCCUAGGGUUGUCUAGCGAUACCUUCUACAGAUUGGCCCGCAACAGUACCUUGACCAACUCCAGGUCCAAUAGAAGCAAGCUCGACAGCCGACCCUGCAGCAAAAACGGAAGCGGCAGAAAUCAGUGGAUUCAUGAUAAGUUCUUCGCACCAAAAUAAAGAAAUGGUUAAUGAUACAAUCAUCCAAUGAAUUUUAACUUAAUUAUAUUAUUCCAUCGCUAAGAUUCAACCUGCCGAAGUAACUAAGAACUCCGAAUGGAAGUGAGAAGAUUAUUGAACUGUCAGAACUAUUUUGCAUCUUUUUUUAGGUCCUAUCCGCUAGAUUUUUUUUGAAUCCGCACAUAUUUUGUUCUUCCCUUUGUUUUUUCCAACCCAUUCUUUACUUUGAAUUCUUCGUUUUUAUCUUUAUUUUAUCUCUUUAUUCAUUCAAUUCAGAGUCAAAGACAAAAUAGAGGAACUUCUAUUCUUCUAUUAGAAUACCUAUCUAAGUCCACAGUAGUAGGUUGGAUUAGAUAUAUUUUAAGUUCGUAUAUAACUAGUCAAUAUCUCAUAUCUCAUAUACAUGUGUUUCUUACAUAACGUAAACCAACUAUUCAUGUCUUAGAUUCAAUUGGAUUCUAGAAUUAUUCCUCAAAGGAUAGACAAUAGCUGUCUUAUAGCCAUUAGAUUCCAUAUACCUAAUUUUACCCCCUUUUUUUCCUAAUAAUUUUUUAUAUCAUUUUUUUAUUGUAAAUUCGUCUCUUCCUUUUAUUUUUUUAUUUAGCAUUAUCUCACAUGGAUACAAUCUAAAUGGACGAAUUCAUUAGACCAAAUCAUUGCAUACAAAUAAAACAUCAAUAUCAGUAUUUGAUUGAGCUAAAUUCAUGCAAUUUAUUUUAUUAUUUAUGAAAAAAAAUUCUUUAGGUCAAUCAUUGAAUUGAAUGUAGAAAUUGACUAAAAUGGGAAUCAUUCUAUAUAAAGAACAACUUUUUUAAAAUCAUAGACCCUAAAUUGAUAAGAAUUCCUAUUCUAAUUAGGACUCAUAAUAUUGAAAUUGAAUAAACAAAAACAAUAUCAAGAUAAAGAUAAUAUUGAUUGAAGGUAAAUAUGAUAUAAAUAUAAGUAAUAAAAAAAUGGACCAACCCUGAAUUUUAGGAAAAAGAUCUUUUCAAUUAGAUCUCUUUCUUUUUUUUAUUACAAUUCUCUAAUAUCAUAAUCUUUUUUGUUAUUACUCUAGAUCGUCGUAUUUGUAUAUUUAAGGUCCCUAAGUAAGUAGAUUAUCCUGAGUUGUACAUACAUUGGAUUGGACCAAGCUAAACUAAAAAAGGGCUAGGCUAUUUCAAAAACAAAAACUAAUCAAUGAUGGCCCUCUAUGGAUUCGCUUAUAUAAGCCGCAGCUAAAGUUGCAAAAAUAAGAGCUUGAAUCCCACUUGUAAAUAAUCUAAGGAACAUGACAGGUAUAGGGACUACUGAAGGUACUAAAGAAACAAGAACAACAACUACUAAUUCAACAGCUAAUAUUUUCCCAAAAAGUCGAAAAACUAAGUGAUAAGGGUUUUGUGAAAUCCUCUAAAAUGUUAAUAGGUAAAAGAAUUGGAGUGGGUUGAAUGUAUUUACUAAAAUACCCCAAUUCUUUUUUUGAAAGACCUGCAUAGAAAUAUGCUACUGACGUGAGUAAAGCUAAAGCAACAGUAGUAUUUAUAUCAUUUUUGGGUUCGGCUAACUCUUCAUGAUGUAAUUGUAUGAUUUUCCAAGUUAACAGAGCGUCCGACCAGUUAGAAACAAAAAUAAAUAGAAACAUAGUUCCAAUAAAGGGAACCCAUGGACCAUAUUCUUCUCCAAUCUAAGUUUUGCUUACUUCUUGAGUGAAUUAAAGAACAUAUUCGAAGAAAUUUUGACCGACAGUUUGAAUUGUUUGUGGAUUCCGAACUGCGAUAACGACGGAACCUAAUAAGAUAGCAAUUAUAACCCAAGAAGUAAUAAGUACUUGGGAAUGGACUUGGAAACCUACUAUUUACCAAUAGAAAUGUUGGCUUACUUCCACACCAGAGAUAUCGUAUAACCCGUUUAGUGCGUUUGAUAUACCAUUCAUAUUGCCCUCUGACAGAAAUAGAAGUUUACUUUUAAAAAAAGGAAUUAUUUUUAUUCAAUCUUCUCUUGCCUACUCAAAUUCUAUAUUUUUGACACUGACGAAACUAAGCACACAAUAUUCACAAUUUUUUUAUCUCUUUUGUGCGAUUCAGGAUAUAGUAACUGAUUCCAUAGAUCUAUGUAAUUCCAAAAAAUAAUUUAUUUAUCUUAUUAUUAAUAAAGGAUUUCGUAUAUAACUAGAAUGACCCUCACAAAUUGCGACUACUAAUUUGUUAAGAAUUAAUCGAAUUAAAGCUAUAGAGUCAUCAUUUGCUGGAAUCGAAAUAUCUGCGAGAUUAGAUUGCUAUUUGUAUCGAUUAAACAAAUUGCUAGAAUUCCCAAAUUGAUACAUUCUCGCAGAGCCGUAUAUUCUUCUUGCUGAUCAAUGAUGAUUACAAUAUCAGACAAUCUCGUCAUAUAUUUAAUCCCGCCUAGAUAUGUUUGUAAGCGAGAUAAUUGUCUUUUUAACAUAGCUGUAUCUCUUUUCGGAAGAUAGUUGAGUCCCCCGGUCUUUUGUUCUGUUCUCAAGUCCCUGAACUUAUGAAGCCUCGUUUUUGUAGUGGGCUAAGUUGUUAACAUACCACCGAGCCAUUAGAAAAAGACAAUUGAAGAAGAAUUGUCCAUAAAUUUGCAGUCAAUAGUUAAUGGUUCCAAUUUAUUUGUCCUGAAUUUUGACUUUUGGAACUGAGAAUCCACAUUUUCUUUUUCAAUAGAAAAGAAAGGGAAAGUUUUUAGAUAUUGUGUGUCUUGAGAUACUAUAACCAAUUGAAGUUAUGGAUCCGAUCUAAAAAUGAAAAAGAAAAGGGAGAUACUCUCCUUUUUUUGUUUGUAGCCUUUUGGUGACAUGGCUGAGCUGUAAGGCGAGGGACUGCAAAUCCCUUAUUCCCCAGUUCAAAUCCGGGUGUCGCUUGAUCAACAAAAAACUCGAAAUCCUAACGUUUCCUAACAUCUAAGAUUCAAGGAAAAACUAAAGUAGUGGAAGGGAAUCGAUAAAUCUUGAUAUGGGAGCCCCCCUUACUAAUGGAGUGGCUACUAGAGGAGUCUUGAAUUAGAUUGGAUAACGGGAGUGUCUAAUUAACUAAUGAAUGGUUGUAGAAGGGUUGGAAGAUACUUUGUAUACAGACGGAUGAAAGUCUCUGAGUGUUCAGACAUCCAAUUAAUAUUAGAUUGGAUAGAUAAUUGACUUUUACUCUAUGAGAGACACCAAAAGAAAGAAUAAGUCUUAUUAUUGAUACAUGUGAGUAACAUUCUUUUGAUACUUCCAAAAGUGUUACUGCGCAUUUUGUUUGUGCUUAAUGGUUCUCGAUUUUACUCGAAAUCAUAUAUAUGUCUAAUUACAAUCUUAAUCCCCAUCAAAGUAGCAACAAAAUCAACAUUUAGUAUCUUAAUAAAGUCUAGGAUCUCUGAGAUAAGUUUUAAAGAGAUUUGAUCCUGUCUCCUUAAAAUAGGGGAUUCGAUUGUUUGAUCUAAUCCAAUAUUCAGGAUACAUUUUUUCUUCUAGAUCGAUUUCCAAUAUAAAAUAACACACGUCCAAAAUAACAAUAAAGAUCAUGAGCUAAAUGUUUUGUUUUAAAAACUUACCAACUCUAAAUAAAACAAGUUAUGUAAUUUACACAGCACAGAAUGCAGUUGUAACUUCCAUCCUCAUCAUUCCUUCAACAAUUUUCUCUUAAAUUUAACAUCUUUGAACAAAACACUAACAAAGGGGAAUCCCACAUUGUGCGGUUUCAUCAACGUUGGUUUCUCCUUGUUUUGGUUUAAAAUUAGGUCAUUUCAAGGGUUUUCCAUUAUAUGAAUGAAGUUUAACAUAAAAAAAAAGUACACAUUCCAAUAAAUAAUCAGAAAAUUAGCGUAAUUUUAAUAACUAGAAUAAAAUUUAUCAAUAUUAUAAAGAAGUGAUAAAUAGCGAUUCCGAAUUUGCUAUUAGCUGAUUUGGUCAAGAUUUAAUACUUCAAUUUAACCAUUUCCAAUUUCCUGGAAGGGAAGGGACCCCUUUUCCCAUACACAUUCAGCAUUGCUCACACUUUUUAGUGCAUGUUCUUUAAUGAAGUUUACUUAUAUUACAACAUCUAGACUUAAUUAUAAACAAAUUAUUUAUAUUUAUUUACUUAAAUAGAUUAUCCUUUACAAUUAAAGACAAAAACAUUCCACUAACCUUUCCUGUCGGAGCAGCUGCCAGGAAGGUACCAAUUGACAUAGGAGGAAAAUUAGAAGUUUAACCACCGAAAGCGAUUAAUUCAAAAAUUAAAGACUAGUAUGGUCCGUCAACAAGGAAACAAUAUAAAGUCAAAAAGGGCAGACAAACAAAGUAGAGAUUUAUGCCUAAAUGGCACCAUAUCAAAGCCAACUUGAUAUCAAGAAAAGAAAUCAUAAAUAAUAUAAUUGUUUUUUGAAAGUAAAAACAAAAUUGUGAUGAAAAAAAUAAAUUUACUUUUUUUUUUCUAAUUCGUUAUAAAUAAAAGGUGAAUUUAAUCUCUUUUACUAUAGAUUAUUAGUAAAAAUAAAAGUUAAAUUUAAAAGUUUUUUCAUUAUUAUAAAUAUAUUAUCAUUGUUUAUAUUUAAUCACAUUUCUAUUUUUUUUAAUAAAAAUGUUUAAAAUUAUCCAUAAUUCCUUCUCAAUAUUUUAAUAGGAGGAUAAAUACAUUCUAUCGUAAUCGAACCCACAUCCUCCUAUACCAACAAUAAUGCCGAUACUAACUGAGCUAACACUCAAUUAGACUAUUGAGUAGAGAAGUUCAUUAACCCAACUAGAUUAUUACUUAAAGUUCUUAGGCACAUCAUAUGUGAAUAAAUUUGAAAUAGAAAGAAAAAAGAACUUUCAAGGAAAAGUGAAAAAGCAAAGGGAAUGAUUAUUAUUUGAUAUAUAGUAGAAUCUUUUAAUUCUAUAAAUGAGAUCUUUUUAUAAUUUUUAUUUACUUUUUUGGAUUUAUCUAUUUUUUUUUUGAAUUUUUAGAAAUUAAUUUAAAUUGAUAGAAUAGGUAAACAAUAGAAUUAAUUUUGUUAUAUUUUUUAAAAUUAUCAAAUUUAUAGAAUAGGUAAAUAUUAAGAGCUAAAAACAUCAAUAUUACAUUAAAAAUUUAACUUAUGAGUAACCUCUUGAAACCGUUUUUUGAACAAAAUUGGCUUAUGAUAUUAUAGAAAACAUAAAAUUUUAAUUUUUAAACCGUUGGGUUUUUACUAAGAAAAUAGAAAUCGCAACCAUUCAUUUUAAUAAGGUGCGAUCGAUCACCUAAUAAAUUAACUUUUUAAAAUGAAAAUUUUUUGAAAUUCUCUUAAAAGGAUAAUUUUUUGAAACUACGUUUAGGGUUUGGGAUAUGUACAAGAAAAAUUAUAACACCUUCGUAAUGCCCAAAAAUUGAUAACUUGUUCAUUACGUGUUGUAUCAUAUCUUAGAAAUAUGAGUUCAAACUUUCAGUACUUAAUUGUCAUCCUUUAAAAUUAAAAUGAAUACAAAUUUAUUUAAUGAGCGAAUUUAAAAUUGAAAUUUGAAAAAUUGUCAAAUUUUGCAUUUUUGUUUAUUUAAAAGACAUUUUUUUUAUUCAUCCGAGUUUGAAAACAGCAUUCCAUCAUUAAACACAAUCAACAAUAUCAUAUUCCAAAAAUUUUGGUAUCGACCUCAUCAAUUUUUUAAUAUUGAAAUGUCAGCAAAAUAUAUUUAACGAAUAUACAUAAUAUCACAAUUAAAUGUCAAUCUCAAUCACGAAAUUCAACUAUAUUUCAAAAAAAAAAAAAUCUUCACAUGGAUUUUAUUUUAUGGUAUAUGUCAUGACAGUUAUUAUAUAACAAGAAAUUGGCAACCUAGCAAUGGCAUGGCGAUAUAAUUUGAACAAAAAAUUUGGGAUAUUCAAGUUUGAAGAGACAUGGAAUCACACUAUAAUAUUAAGGCAUUACAAUAUCUUCAAAAACAUCAGUCACAUAUCUCAACAACAUGAAGAGAAAAAAAUAAAGCUGCAUAAGGGAACUAUACCGAAGUGCCAAGCAUUGUAAUGUUGUGAGUGCUUACAUAUAUGGACGCAUAGAAAUUAAAUUUGAGAACAAAGACUCCUGGGGGAAACCAAAACUUCGAAUAUAGAUCUGGGUGAAACCAGAAUUUUGAAAUGACUAACUGGACGAAACUAAAAUUUGGAAAGUAGACUGAGCAAAACCAGAAUUUGAUUAUUUAGGUGAUUAUUUGAUGCUAAUGGUGAAUUUUAUACUCUUAAUCCUUUAAAUUCAUGUUUUAAUGCAUAAUAGAGCAUUUGGGUGCAAAAUGAGUGAAAACCGAAAAAUCGGAGCAAGUUAUAGGAGCCACAUGGGUUGACCUAUUCCACACGACCUAGACACAUGACCGUGUGAGCCACACAGCCAUGUAGUAGGCCAUGUUGAUUUCGUGAAUUUGCACCCUAAACUGUGGGAAAUCGCAUUUUUUAGAUUUUUCAGGAAUUCUAAGACGUAUAUAUGAUAAAAGUAAAAAGAUAGGAAUGAGUCGUCAUAGAAUACUCAAGAAAACAUCUCGACAAACACCAUUGAAACUAAUUCUAAAGUAGAUUUCCGUCAAGAUUGAAGAUUCUCAUUUGAUUUCUUUGGAGAUUGUCAUGAGUUUCUUUAUUUCUUUUCAAUUAUACUGUGUUUUGGAUUUUUUUAUUUUAUUUUCAAGCAUGAACUAAUUUUCUAAAUACCUAGGGGAGAUGAACCCUAUGAUAAAUUCUGUCUUUUGAUUUUUAUUUUUCGCAAUACAUAUUUAGAUCUUGUUUUCAAUUAUGUGUGCCUAAUUCUUGCUUUAAUAUUUCUAAAUUAUUGAUUUAUAUUUGAUGUACUUAAAUCAGAGGAGGAAAAGACCCUGUCUGAGAGUAGAUCUUGUGUAAUUGAGUGGAGUUACAUGCAAUUCUAGACAUAGAAUGACAUAAAUAUACUGGAUUAGAUUCAAAUCUAAUGGGCGAAUCCAUAGCACGAGUUAAUGCGAUAAUAGGGGUCUUAAUUAGAAAGAAAAUUCAAUUAAUCAACCUAGAGUCAGUUACUCUUCUUCUCGAAAGUGAUAUUAACAUAAUUUAGGGAUUUUUACAGAUCAAUAUACUAAGUAAAGAAAUAGCGUAAUUUAGAUUGAUAGUUACAAAUGAAAUUUAGGCGAAUUCUUUCCUGAGUAUUGUUUCACUUCUUGGUUAUUACUCUUUUUUUUAUUUGUUCUUUGAUCGUGUUCGUUAGUUAAUUAAUUUAGUUAAUUUUAGUUUUAAUCAUUCACUCGAAUUUAUCGGUUAAAUAAUAGAAAGACAAUAAUAACUAGUACUUUUAGUCUUCGUUGGAAUGAUAUAUUUGCUCAUUGUAACUAUAUUAUUAAUUGAUAAGUCCACUUGCCUUAGCCAAAUUUUUAAUUAAUUUCGUGAGACAUUAAUACUUUCUUGUUAUACUACUCUUACAUUGUUCUAUAAAAAAUUACUACAAAAAUACUUUAUAGAAAUUUAUUUUCUUGCUAUACUCUACUCAGUACUUAAUGAACUAUUUUCUUCAGUAUAAAACACAAACAAUCACCAGACUUCAUUGUAUUCUCAAAGUUUAUUUUUUCUUAAAACUCAUUUGCACACUAAGUAUAGGUGCGGUGGAUAGGACUUUAAAGAUAAUGACUUGAUACAUGUCUUGAAGCCUUAUCUUAUUGCUUUGAUUUUCUAUUCGUGUUGUUGUUCAUGCUUCGUUCAUAUGUUUGAGAUUUUCCUCACCAAAAUUCGGCAUUACCAUUUAAUUCUUCUUUAAGUCAUCCCAUAACUAUUUGUUCCAUUAAAUUUUGGUCAUAUCUACUUUCAUUUUUCAAGGGUUUGAUUAAGACUUCAUUAAUUUGUUAACCAUUACAGAAUUUGGGCCGAAGCCCAUAGAUUGUCAUGAAUAUUGGUUUAAUAAGCUCUCCUUUUGAAAACAUCACAACCACUUAUGCUCCUCAAUGAAUCACUACUUUCCCACUACACAAACAAAUUGUCACUCACACAUCAAACAAAUCACAUUCAAGAGACUACAAGGCCUUGUUAACAAAAGCAAACAAGACCUCAUACAAGAGAUGAAAGGGGACCAAUUAACCAGCUGAAACGAAUAAGAAUUCAACGAAGAUCACUCAAAGAAAUUGGAGUGCUUCAAUAUGGUUUCGGUAUUAAGGAUAGCUGGAACAAGAAUAAAAGCAAAGAGGAUAAAGGAAACGAUUUGUACGAGGACGAACAUCUUUGUUUUAGGCACAAACCUGCAGAAAACAUAACGGGCUAUCCGGUAUGAAACCAGCAGUGCUAGCGAUGUUGACAAGCAGUAAUUUAGAAUGCAGAGAGCACGAUAGGUCAAGGGUAUAGUAGUUUGAAGAGAAACCACAUACUGAAGUUUCCACGACCAUGUGGACACAGCAACUAAAAGCAUGUAACAGGUCCCAAACAAGGAAAGGGUUAUGAGAAGAAACAAGCUGAUUGAACGACUUGGUAGGAGAUAUGCUGUUAACCCGAUUGCUGCCCAAAAGGUUAAUGUGUUGUAUAACCAAAACAUGGAUGAUACGUCUAUUAAAUCUGACCAAUUAAUCUGAUCAUCGGCCAGUGGUGGCAGAGGACCUGGUAGGGGUGCAGUGCUGUCGGUUGAUUCUAAAGAUGCGUAAUACUUGAUAUGGUAUUUCAUGGAUGAACUGUUAUCAGCUUUCUUUGGAGGGCUUAAAGAGGCAGCGUAAGUGACUGUUAUAAUUAGCACUGUCACUACUAGAAAUGUAUUACGCAUCUCAAGCGGGAUACCCUUUCUUCCUCGACCUGCCAUUGUUGCAAAUUUUUGAAAACAUGACAUCUUCGGCCUUAAUGAUUUGAUGUGGAUUGAAGAGAUGGACUUAUUGGGAAGCUUGGAACCACACAAACCUCCUGCUUUUGUUAUCAUAUCUUUAACCGAGCCCUUAUAAUUAUUCACUUGCCUUUCAUCCAAUGGACAGUCUGGUUGGAUAUCUAAAGCAGUGGAUCCCUUCAAAUUUUUGGCAUUGAUAUGGUCUCGACGCAAGUGCCCCAGCAAUACUUGCACCACCUGUUAAUUAGAAAAUUCAUGUAAAUAACCCUUUUAUCAUAUACGUAUAUACAUCAAUAAUUGAGUUAACUAGCAAAUUAGCAUACCUGAGGUGAGUUUUUGAUAGCUGAAAUGUGUAGGACAUUGUUGCCAUCAAUGUCUGCCCAACUAAGCAGUUCUUUCUCCCAACGUUGGGCAGCUUCAUGGCGGCUCCUUAUAAGCCACCCCACCAAGACUUGAAAUGCUUCAAACUUGUCGUUUUUUACUGCAAGAUGGAAAACCCUCUCGUCUCGAACAGUCACAUCUUCAACAGCCUCAGGGCAAACCUCAAGGAACUUGAUCAAAAGAUCAACAUCUCCAGUUUGAGCCACAUGAUGCAGAGGGGUCAAGCCUUCCCUUCCUUUAACACGAACAAGGCCUUCAUCAAACUUGAGGAGUCGAAGCACAGCUUGAGUUAUGUUAUUUUGCAGAGCCAAGUGCAUGGGGCUAAACCCAGCUAGAUUUAACUUUCUUGCAAACGAUGGCUUUAAGUUGAUCAUCUCCAUCAUAAAAUCAACAUGCCCAGAACUGACUGCUACAUGCAAUGGAGUGUCAAGAAAAGGAACAUGAUCAAUACGCUCCAAAACAUAUGGAUCUUUCUGAAUUAGCAAAUACAAGACAUUAAUGUUUCCUGUUUGUGCAGCCUCUAUCAUUCUCCAAUCCAUAGCUAUGGAGAAGUGGAGGUAAUAAAUUACGCAGCAAAUUUUCAGGCUACUGAGAAAUGAUGAAAUUUGCAGGAAAACACAGAGAAUAGAGACACAUAAGACAAUAUAAAGGGAAUAGAAGCUAUAUUUAGCAAAACACACAGCAAUCCAACCACAAUUUUAUACAUGACUUUAAACGCGCUAGUCUGAAGAGAAACUUCUUAAAAAGUCGAAGGUAACUUUCACACUCCAAUUACGACUUGUUUAAAAGAAUAGAAAAUAUAGAACCCAUUUUGGUUGAAUGGAAAUCUUACUUCCGAAAAAAAAAAUCUAACCAAAAGGUUAGAGGUACAUAAAAUCGAAAUGAAACCCAACUCCUAGAACAGGAGGACAACAAACAGCUAUCAUCCUGGAUUAAAUAUAAAUGUUAAUUUCAUUCUAGAUACACAAUGCUUAAUAUAAUAUACUUCAACACACUCGAAUCCACGCCCUUCUGACAACAAUGUCAAUUGAACUAAUACGCAAUAAAUAACACCACUAUAUUUAAUUUUUUUAAAAAUAAUAACAUAUAUUUUAAAAAAUUCAAUUUAUAUGAGCCGGCCACCUUGCUAAGAUGAGAUUUUUUUGUUGUUUUUGGUCAUUUGCUUGUUAAAUUAACAAUUUUAUAUGAAUCUAUGUCAAAGCUGAACAUUUGGCAUACAUUCAUAUUAUAGAUGAGAUAGGUGAUUCACAUCAAAAUCAAAAUGUCGAGAGUCAAUAAGAAAUUUGAAAAAUACGAAAAGAGCUUCCAAUGAUAUCAUUGACGUUAAAGUAGGAAGAAGAAACUUGAUCUCUUUUUGUGAAGAAAAGGAAGAGAUCUUAUAUUGGUGGUGGAUUUAAUAAUGAGCCGGCCGUGGACCUCGAUGAAUGGUUGCUUUAUUUAUAUAGGAUUUGGUGGUAUGUAACAGGAUAUGGCUAGACCUCACUAAGAUAUGAUCAACCAUGCUGUAGAUAGUUGGUGGCAAGAUUUCUAUGAUGUGUAUUGGUAGGAUGAAGCUAGAAAAUUUUGUAGGGAUCAAAAUUAAAUUGUAUUUUUACGAUAAUAAAAAUAUAAUUUCAUCAUUUUAAUAGUCUACGUUUUAUAAUUUUUAAAAGAUUAAAUCAAAUUUUUAUCAUUUUUAGGGGGCAAAGUGCAAUUUUACCUUUACUAAUUUAAAAUUUUAAAGAGCUUAAAUGAAAAAUUUUCUAUUUUAGGGGAGACGGGCCCUGCCAGCCCCCUUAACUAGGCCCUUGUGUACUAGGAAGCAACAAAUGUAAUUGGAGGGUUCCGAUUGGAUUUGAUGGUGAUUCCAUAAGCAAACAAGACCCUAGUAAGGGGCGAACGUUUGAUUGAAUCGAGUAAAAAAAUUGAGUUAGUCGAGUUUACAAGCCUUGUUUUUAUCAUCUUAUCUCGACUUGAAUUUUUUUGCAUUCGAGUUCAUUGAAAUAAAAUUUCAUUUAAGUCGAAUCGAAUCAAGUGAAAUUGUUUGAGUUAAAUUUAAAAAAAUUAAACAUGUCAAGAUAAAAUCUUGUUACAAUAUAACUAAUUCUAUGUAAGAGCACAUAAAUUUGAAACAAUAUAUAUAUAUAUAUAUGAAAACUAUAAGAGAAAAAUAUAAUAUAUUUAAUACGAUAAACUUGAAUUGGUAAAUUUACUUGUUUAGAUCCUCAAAAUUAAUGUAUUGAAAAAUUUUAAACAUUUUUUUAUAUAUUCUUUAUUUUUUUUAAUUUUAAAAAAUUAUGAAUUUUUUGGAAUUUUUGAAAAAUAAUUUGAAUAUUUGAAAUUUAUUUUGAAUUGUUUUGUAAAUUUUUGUUGAGAGAGAUCGAUUUGAUCAUUUUUUAAAAUCGAUAGGGGUCAAAGGAAUAUUUACACUAAUCAAUUACACGAAUUGUAAAAUUCAACUCGACUCGAAUUCGAAAAAUUGAACUACUUGUUUAAGUUGACUUGAAAAAAUUGAAUAACUCGAUUAUUUCAAUUCGAUUAACUCAAAUUUUGAAAAAAAUAUUUUUUAAAUUAAAUCGAGUUUUGAUAAACCGCAUCUAUCUAGAUGAAAUGCCUUGAAAUUAGUUCAUCAUCAAUUAGAAAUUAGUUAUUUGACUCCUACUUUAUUUAAUAACAGAAGUCCAAUAAAUUUUAACUUAAUUAGAUCACUUUAAAUUUGGGCUAACCUUUUAAGAUAGUAAAUAAUAACAUGUAGUUGACAUUAUUAUAUAUGUUAUGUCCAUAUUUUUCCAACACAAUUUUAUACAUGACAUUUGGUUUUGUGCAGUUUUACGCAUGAAUUUUUUAUUUGAUUCACUAAAUCAAAGUAUCCACUGGAGCGAGCUCAAUACUAGCCUUUCACGUUCCGUAGGCCCAUUAAAUAAGUAGGCGUUUGCCACGAGUUUUAAAGUUACUCCAUACUUGGACACAGUUAUAUAUAUUACUUUAUUUUGUGUGAUGCACAAAUUUAAUUGUGUGGAUCAAUUAAAAUGUAUUCUCAAUGUUUCUAGUUGUUCGUGCAUUAUGCUACUUAAUCUUUGAUUUUGUCUGGUCGGUAAACAGUACGAAUAAAAAAUUCUUCGUCCUCGUACUAAUCGUUUACAUUGGCAUGGUUUCUAGCCCAAUCUAAAUACCGAAACUGUAAUGAAGUUUUGGGUUUUGUAUUAGUGAUAGUGAUGGGGUAGUUCCCUUCAUCUCUUGUACCGGAGUCUUUUUCUUUUUCUUUUUUUUGGUAUCAAGGGCGAAGGUCAGGUCACAAACUUUUGUUUAAGCCUAAUCGUCUAUUGAAAGGGUGAAUUUGUUUGUGAAGUCGUGGUUGAAUAAGGAUCAUAACCAGCUGUGCUUUUAUUGUAUUUUGUUCUUUUUGUAAUACAUCUUGAAGACAAUUCGAAGUCACAUAUCUUAUUUAUUUAAAAUCAAUAAGACUCAUGCCAAAAUUCCAUUUUCACUUGUAGGUUAAAAUUUUCAUGUUCAGUGUCUUAAAUAAUUAUUUUUAAUAUAAAAUCAAUAACGGUUAAAUACAAUGAUAAAACACAGUGCAUUUUUAAAAAAAGAUAUAAGUUUAAAUAUUGAAGAUAAUAUUGUUGAAUAGACAACUAUAAAAUUUAAAUAUAAAUUGUAAAACAGACAUAAAAAAGAUAUAAAAAAUUACCUUUAUUUAUUUAAUUAAAUAAAUUACCCUUUACAGUUUAAUCUAUACAAUUUCACUAGCCUUUCCCGUAGGAGCAGCCGUGAGGAAGGGACGAAAUGACAAUAGAAGGAGAAAAAUUGGAAGGGUUUAACAAGGAAACAAUAUAAAGUCAAAAAGGGCAGACAAAAAAUUUGCCUUUUCCAUUGAUUUUAGUUCUUGUCUUAUACUAAUAAAAUUAUGCCAUUGAUAUGUUCAUAAACAAAAGUUUCAAGGAAAUGGCACCCCCUGGUCUGAACCACAAAGCCAACUUGAUAUCAAGAAAAGAAAAGAAACCAUAAAUUCUUAUUUAUUGAAAAGGCUAAUAUUUAAAGUAUAAACACAAUUGUGAUGAAAAAAAUAAAUUUACCAUAAUUCCUCUUCAACCACAAUCUUUAAAUAAAAGGAUAAAUGUGUACCAACUAUUAAUCGUGCAUCUAUUUUGUUGAUUAGAGAAGUUCAUUGAACCAAUCAGGCUAUUAGGUAAAGUUGUUAGAGAUGUCUGAAAGAAUUGGGUAAAUAGAGAGAAAUAUCCAGCCAAACAGAGAAAUAUAAAAUGGAAAACUUCUUUUUGUUUGUUUAUUCCAAAAUCUUAACUCUCUGAAUACACAUGUUCAGUAUUUAUAGGCAUGAGUAACCGCUCCAUAUUGAGCAACAACCUUCACCGGAUACAUAACUAACUAACAACCUAUAAUACUCUAAUAUUCAUCCAUCUUCCCCACAGGCAAAACCCGUAGACAAUUCCGAAACCAAGCAAAAAUCGAUAGUGAAAGUGGCUUAGUGAGAACAUCAGCAACUUGAUCACACGCCGGAACCUCGCCAACGGCAACAGUACCAUCAGCAACCUUUUCACGAACAAAAAACAAAUCUAAUUCAACAUGCUUAAACUUUGAAUGAAGAACAGGAUUAGCAGCAACUGCAACCGCACCAGAACUAUCACACCAAAUAUUUGGAAUACUAGAAGACCGAACAUGUAACUCUUGAAGUAACGACAAAAGCCAUGUAACCUCACUAGUAACCGCAGCAAGACUCCGAUAUUCUGCCUCAGCAGUAGACCGAGCAACAACCUGUUGUUUCUUCGUACACCACGACACAGGAUUACAUCCGAAAUAAACACAGUACCCGGUAGUAGACCUUCGGUCAUCAAAAUCUAACCCCCAGUUUGCAUCAGCAUACCCAACUAAGGACAGAUUAGGUGACGGACGAAACAUAAUCCCAAACUCAAUCGUUCCACCUAGAUACCUCAAAAUACGCUUUAGAGCCGUCAUAUAGACAGAAGUGGGACAAUGCAUAAACUGACAUAUUUGAUUCAAAGCAUAUUCAACAUCUGGUCGCAUAAGAGUGACAUACUGUAGUACCCCAGCAAAGCUCCUGUAUUCAGUUGGAUCCUCUAAACACUCACCACCAUCUUUAGUUAAGAAAGAAGAACUAACCAUCAGUGUAUUAACACUCUUCGCAUUUUCCAUCGAACACCGAAUAAGAAUAUCACGUAUAUACUUCUUCUGACAUAGAUAAAGACAACCUGAUGAAGAACGAGUAACUUCUAUCCCAAGAAAAUAAUGAAGAUCGCCCAUGUCCUUAAGUGAGAACUCACUAUUCAGCAAUUUAACAAACCAUUCUAUAACAGAUGGCACAUCACCUGUCACAAUAAUAUCAUCAACAUACACAAGAACAUACAACGUUGAACCGGAAACAACCCGAACAAACAAGGAAGCAUCAGACUUCGAUACUACAAAGCCCACAGAUACUAGAAAUCCUUUUAGCUUCUCAAACCAGGCACGAGGGGCCUGACGAAGACCAUACAACGCUUUCUUCAAACGACAUACCAGAGGUCUGCCAUCGGAACCAUACUGUACAUAGCCAGGAGGUUGAUGCAUGAAGACUUCAGUAUCAAGAUCUCCAUUUAGAAACGCAUUAUUCACAUCCACCUGUCGAAGGGACCACCCCCUAGACAUAGCAAUAGACAGAAUAACUCUGAUAGUAGCCGGUUUUACCACCGGACUAAACGUUUCCUUAAAAUCACAACCUGAAACCUGAGAGCAGCCUUUCGCAACCAAGCGAGCCUUAUGGCGAGUAAUAGUACCAUCAGAAUUCCUCUUAAUCCUGAACAACCAUUUGCAUCCUAUAAUCUUACGAUUAGACGGAGCUGAAACUAGCUCCCAUGUGGAAUUGCGCAUAAGAGCAUCAUACUCAUCUUGCGCAGCAGCACGCCACUCAGCAGUAGCAAGAGCUUCUUCAAUUGUAGAAGGUUCUUUAACCUCAACAUGUAAAACCUUAGGCUUGUAAACUCCCGCUUUAGCUUAAGUGACCAUUGGGUGAGUAUUACCCACAGGUGGUCUACUAACUUGACUGUCAGAUGACGACGAAACGCCUUCAGACAGUCUUGAGAUAGACUGAGGAUGAUCAGUAAAAUCACCUAGUGAAGCCGACUCAUGCAAAAUUGAAAGAGCAUCCAACCCAGACCCAACAUCAUCCGAAGGAGCAUGAGAUUGCACCAAAUCUGUAUUUGAAGUAGAAACAUUAGGCUGAGACUGGAACCCUUGAAGAGAUGGUGACACAACACAAGGCAUAGGAGACGACGAAGAAGAAACAGUGGGCCACACAACGGGAACAACAUUCGAACUAGUCUGACUGGUCUUCGUCAUAGACUUAUCAGGGCUAGACUCAGCAAACAAAAAUCUCUGCUCAUCAAACACGACAUGUCUCAAAAUAAUAACCUUACCAUCCGGUAAAAGACACUGAUACCCCUUAUGACGAGGACUGUAACCCAACAAUGUAGACGGCUGAGACUGAAAAUCCAAUUUAUGACCAACAAACGGACGUAAAUAAGGAUAGCAGCAGCAGCCAAAAACUCGAAGAUGAUCAUAGGUCGGAUCAUUACCAUAAAGUGCCUUAAACGGAGAAUUUCCCUGAAGCACAACAGUAGGAAGUCGAUUGAUCAGAUGAACCGCGCAACAGAACGCAUACCCCCAGUACUGCAUAGGCAAACUCGCAUGAGCCAAUAACGUAAUACCCAUUUCAACAAUGUGACGAUGUUUACGCUCAGCCACUCCAUUUUGUUCAGAAGUGUACAGACACGUCAAUCGAUGAAUAAUUCCCUGGGAUUCCAAAACAGAUGUAAAACCACGGUAUUCUCCUCCCCAAUCACUCUGAAACUGCUUAAUAGACUUGCCAAAUUGUGUCUCAAUUAACUUUUGAAACUGAGUGAAACACUCUAUUGCUUGAGCUUUUUGACGUAUAAGAUAAACCCAGGUAAACCUAGUGCACAUGUCAAUAAACGAAACAUAAUAUCUCUUUUCAUCACAUGCAACAGAUGCGGGACCCCAAAGAUCAGAUACAACUAACUCAAAAGGUUGAUAACUAGUAGUAGAAGGUGAAAAAGGCAACUCAAAUUGACCUCCUGUAACACCUGAACUUGACGAUUCUCACAAUCAACCAACGCAUCAACCACACGCUUUAACGGCAGUACACCAGUCGACAAUCGAACAGACGAGAUGACCGCCUCAUAUUCCGACAGCAAUCCCGCAAGCACCACUUCAACCUUCUCUUCAUCAGAAAUACGCGAACCGGACGUAUCUAACAUAGCACAGAGAUCUUUAAUCUUAGCAACAUAAGUUUUAAUAGAGAGGUUACAUUUCUUCAAGGAAUGAAGCUCAUGCCGAAGUCUCGAUUGCUUGGCGCCAGUAUUGGUCGCAAACAGAUUAACGGCCAUACUCCAUACAUCACAAGCCGUGCAAGCAUCAUCAAAGGAAGAUUGAUGAGAAGAGCUUACUGUAGAUAAAAGCCAGGACGUCAGAAGUCGAUCUUGCUGCAUAAACACCUGAGCCGCCGGAUUUGGAGCACGCAAGCCAUCGGGUAGAAGAUUGAAACGUGAUGGUAGAGCAAUGGUGCCAUCUAAGAAGCCUGUAAGUCCAUAACCAUCAACUAUCAGUUUUACCUGUUUGCGCCAUUGAAGAUAAGUACCUUCAUCAAGUUUAACGACUUCAUGCCGAGGAAAGACAUUCGUGACACGAUCGGCAUCAAACACACCGGAGCUAGGUUCACCAAACUCAGAAUCAACGGAAGCCAUACUAAGAAAAAUCCAGAAUCAACCUGCGAAUGAUACCAUGAAAGAAUUGGGUAAAUAGAGAGAAAUAUCCAGCCAAACAGAGAAAUAUAAAAUGGAAAACUUCUUUUUGUUUGUUUAUUCCAAAAUCUUAACUCUCUGAAUACACAUGUUCAGUAUUUAUAGGCAUGAGUAACCGCUCCAUAAUGUCAUACGUGAAUAGAUUUAAAAAAGAAAGAAAAAAUAACUUUCAUCAUUAUAAAGGAAAAGUGAAAAAGCAAAAGGAAUUAUUAUUUGAUUUAUAGGAGAAAUUUUUAACUCUAUAAAUGAUAAUUUUUUAUAAUUUUUAUUUACUUUUUAUAAUUUUUAUAUUUAACAAAAUUAUUUUUUAAAAAUUUUUACAAUCUAAAUUAAAUUGAUAAAAUAUAUAAAUAAUAAGGUUAAAAUUUUUUUAAUUAUGAUAAAAUUGAUAAAAUAUAUAAAUAUUAUUAAAAAUUAAAUCAUCAACAUUAUUCUAUACUAACGAUUUAACUUAUAACCUGUUAGAAACAAUUUUUGAACAAAAUUGGUUUGAUGAUGGCUCCAAAUAAAUUUCAAGUCUAACGAACUUGUAUCAACAUCACGAAAUUCAACUAUAUUUCAAAAAUAUAUAUAUAUAAAAUAUAUAUAUUUAGGACUUUUUUAUGGUGCAUGUCAUGACAGUUAUUAUAUAACAAGAAAUUAGCAAUGUAAAAAAGGCAUGGAGAUAUAAUUAGAACAAAAAAUUUACAAAAUAGGGACGCUUGGGCUAUGAAGAUACUUAAAGUUUGAAGAGACAUGGAAUAUUAAGGCAUUAGAAUAUCUUCAAAAACAUCAGUCACAUAUCUCAACAACAUCAAGGGAAAAAAAAGAAAGAGCUGCAAAAGAGAACUAUACCGAAGAGCCAAGAAUUGUGAUGUUGUGAGUGCUUACAGAUAGACAUUAAAUUUGAGAACUUGAACACUGCUGCACUGCCACACAGAUCAAAUACUUGAUGGUUUAGUUUUAAGGAAGAAGGUAGUGAAAUUGUUGAUGGGAAAAUGGAGGUUCUAAUCCCGCUCCUUGUUGGAGACAAUUGUCUCAAGCUUUUUCCUUGUUUAAAGGUUCUCACCCCAAAACCCUUGCAUUCUUUUUUUUAAAACUCAAAAAGGAACUUUUAACUUCCUUUCUCCCCACCGCACCCAUGUAACUGCUUAUAUAUUAUAUGUACGUAAUAUGUAUAUAUUAUAUGUAUGUAAUACGUACAUAUUAUAUUAUAUAUUAUAUAACCCCACAUAUAUGUAUAUAUAUAUAUACACAUAUAGCAUUUUGUCCCUCAUUGCACAUCGGGGUUCGACAAGUGUUGCGGCUGAAGUAGUGAGAAUAUACAUUUUGUCUUGAUAGUUUUAAAAAGAUUGUUUUUAAAGAUAUUUUCGAUAUUUCUAAUUUAAAAAGAAAUUUAAUUUUAAUUACUUGUUAAUUUAAAGACAGCUUUAUUAUGACUUUUAAUAAUAGUAUUGUAAUUUUUAGAAAUUGUUCACUUAUCUAUAAAGGAUUGAUACAAAACAAUCUCUAUUUUAUCGAACUAAAGAUGUACACAAUGAUAGAAAUCGAAAUUGCAAAUAAGGAACUUAAAACUUUGUACUUUUGACAUUUGAGAUUGGGCCGUAUUAAGUAAGAAAAAAUUACUAACUUGUGAAAGAUGACAAUUUAAGUACACUUAGGGAAAUUUAUCUCCGACAAUGUGAAUCUUACUUGAAAAGUAAGAUUUCCAAGUAAUCUUUUAUUGAAAAAGGUACUAGAGUAAUUCAACCUUCAGAAUUUAUUCACACUAAUGCAUGUGGCCCCAAAAAUUUAUUGCGCGAAGCGAUUAUGAUUAUUAUAUUAAUUCAAAAUAUAUACAAUUGAUUUACCAUGCAUUGUAUUUUUCUUUAUGAUUCGUUUUACUUUUAGAUUAGGAAGGCCUACAAUAAGUAUGUAAAUGCAAAGAAAAACUGAGUCCAAUAUAUCAGGUAGGGAAAGUUUGUACAUUUAUUCAAGGUUCUUUAGUUGUAAACUAUGUAAUUUGGUUGGUGUUGAUUAAUAAUGAUCUAAAGUUUGUACAUUUAUAGAAGUGGAUGGUCUAAACCGGUGUUGAUUAUGGAUGGCAGAUAUGUGCAGUGCAGUGUUGCUAUCUUCGUCAUUUUUGGUUCAUCACUUGCCAAUGAAAGUCUUUCUUUUUAAGCAUUUGAAUCAACAGUUAAGAGAACAUCCAAUCUAUUGAUUUUAGUUUCUUAGCCGAAUGACGGCUUUUAGUUCAUAAUUUCCAUUGGCGAACCCAAUGCAGCAGCUAAGUGUAAUGAAGUGACAUCAAUGCGGCCUAAAAACAUUUCCAUCUCGGUAGAUUAAUCUAUACAAUUCGCCUUUCCUGUACGAGCAGCUGUGAGGAAGGGGCCAAUUGACAAUAGCAGGAGAAAAUUUGGAGGGGUUUAACCAUCGAAAGCGACUCAUUCAAAAAUUGAAGACUGGUAUGGUCCGUCAAUUACGGUCGACAAGGAAACAAUAUAAAGUAAGAGAAGGUAGACAAUUAUUUUGGUAGUGGUGAAGGUUAAAAGAACUGCUUCUUCCAUGGAUUUUAGAUUUUAAUCAUUCUGUACUAAUUGGAUGAUGCCUUUGAUAUGUUCAUACUUCAUAUUCAAAAGUUUAAACAAACUGGCACCCCGUGGUGUGAACGAGGAAGCCACCUUGAUAUCAAGAACAGAAAAUAAAUAUCAAAAUUAAGUUUUGUUAAUAAAUGAACUUCAUUUAAUUUUAAUUAAAAAAAUACUUUGUUAAUAUUAAUAAGAUUUUGAAAUAUAUUGUCUAAUAUUUUUAAUAAAGAAUAAAUCUUAAAAUCACAUAAAAUUUUAGUUCCAUGUGUAUUGUGUUCUAACCAGAAAUAUGAUAUAAAUAUUAAUAAACAAGGAUAUGUCAUGUCAAAUAAUACAGAAUAAAUUAAGAACAAAACUAAAUGUGAAAGCGUACUUGAAUUCAUUUAAAUAUUGUGGUUUUGAUCUUUAAAAUUAACACAUAAGUGUUUUAGAGAAGGCGAUACUCUCUUUUUUGAAUAAAUCGAUGUUUUUAUUUCUUUAAACUUGAAUAAUUGAAUCAAAAUUAAAAUUUCAAGUAUACAUUUAAACCACAAUCAAAGUUUCAUGUGUAUAAUGGCACCAAAUUAAAGUUCGUGUAUUGAUUUGCAUAUCCAAUCAAUGUUUAUGUACAGUUCUGAGAUUUAUCUCUUUUAAUAAUUUUGAAAUGCAUUUUUAAUAAUUUUAAUUUUUUUAAUUCGAAAAAUAUAGUUUAAGAAAAUCUCAAAUUUUAGGUUUUCUUAAGGAAAGUUCAGAAUUUUACAAAAAAAAAUUAGAAUUUUUCGAUUUUUUAGUAAUUUUAGAGAUCAUAAUGUGUUUUAUUUUUAUUUUGAAUUUUUUAAAAAUAUUAGUUAAAUACAUUUGUCAACCUCUUAAUCCCAAUUGUGGAGUUAAGAAGUUAUAUUAUAUGUGUAUCAAAUAAUUAUCCUUAGCAAAGGGAAGUGAGGAUUAUUAUUUGAUAUAUAGGGGUUCUUUCAACAAAGGAUGAGUGUUCAAUCAAAUCAAGUGAAAAAAAAUUAGAGUUAAUUGAGUUGAUGAGUCAUAUUUUAUCAUCUUAAAUUGAUUUGAUUUUUUUCAAAUCAAGUCGAGUGAAAUAAAUUCAAUUUAAAUCAAGUGAAAUUGUUUGAGUUAUUUUAAAAAAAAUUAAACAUGCCAAAUUGAAAUCUUAUUACAGUACAACUAAUUUUACAUUAAAACACAUAAAAUUGAAACAAUAUAUAUAUUUGAAAAAAAAAUUAAAGCAAAAUAAGAAAAAAAUAAAUAUUCUUUAGUAUGAUAAACUUAUUCAAUCAUCAAUUAUUUUAAUUUUGUAUAUAUAAUAUAUAAAUGUAAAAUGAUGUUAUGUGAAUAGUUUUGUUAAUAAUUUGUAUAUGUAAAAGUGAACACAUAUAUUAUACAUUUCCCUAAUUCACCAGCAAAUCUGCCUUAAUUUUGAUAUGGAUAUACUUAAUACUCGGAUAAUGUUGUGAAUCACAUAUAUUGUUUAAUUUUCUUUUUUGAAGUUUUAAUAUAUUUUAAUGGGUAAGAUAUGUCAUUUUUACUCUUUGAAAUUUUGGAAUUUAGUUCCUAGACUUUUAUUUUUAGGAAUUUAGUCAAUUUACUUUUUAGAUUUUAAAAUCAAAUCCAAUUAUUGACCCUCUUAAAUUUUUUUUGUUAAAUUUAAGUUUAUUAUAACGUUAUUUUUUUUAGUUAUAUCGCUACCAAAUGAGUUUCUUUUCAAAAUGUCACACCAAAAAAAUUUAACAAAAAAAGACAUUUAACAAUAUUAACAAUUGGACCUGAAUUUUGAAAUUUGAAAAGUAAAGAGACUAAAUUCUUAGAAAUAAAAGUACAUGGAUUAAAUUUCAAAAUUUUGAAGAGUAUAGAGACUUAUGGCAUAUUUUAACCUAUUUUUAAAUUGUUUUGAAUAUUUAUCUGCUUGUUUAAUUUUUAUAUUUUUUUGGAUUUUUAAUAAUUUUUGUGAAGUUUUUUAGAAUCAAGAUUAAAUUGAUAUAAUAUGCAAACAUUGAGGGUUAAAUUUAUUAAUUUUUAGAAUUAUGAUUAAUUUGACAGAAUGUGUAAACAUUAAAGGAUGAAUUUGUUAUUAUGUCAAUAAAAAAGUUACGUCAACAUUCUAUUAACAUUUAAUAGAUAAUUAACCAAAAAUAUUACUAUUGAUAACAUUGGUGACAAAACCAAAAAACGUGCUAAUACUUAGUGACUAACAACUCUUGGAUGCAAUGAUACGACUCAUUAUACUCUUAAGAAGAGAACACGAGUUUAAAAAUGAGACACAACAUUAUUAAGAGGGGGAUAAUAACAAACCUUAAACACUUACAGUAAAUAUAUAUCCAGAAUCAUAUGGUGCAUUAAACCAUUCAUUCAUCACUCCUUCAGCUAGCUUUUUGUUUGGUCCAAGAAUUCAUAGUUGGAAAUGUCAUGUAUAAAAUCAACCAUUUUAUUUCAUGUGGACUGGAUACCUUCUUUCUGUGACUUUGCUGCUUGGAAAUUUCCUUGGACCUUCGAAGAAAAUUAACUCCUUAAACUAGAGUUCUGUUCAAAUCAUGUAUAACUUGUGGUCAGAUCGGAAACAUGUGUUUCCGGAAAAUAUAGGUUCUAUUUCUAUUUCUAUGUUGUCUUCUACUUCUUUCUUCUUUGUGUUUGGUUGCAAAUUUCCUUAGUUUUCAGUAAUCUGAAAAUUUACUGCUUAAUUUAUUAAACCUCAAGAGAAAAGCUAUGGAUGAGAGGAUGAUACAGGCUGCCCAAACAGGAGAUAUUAACCUCUUGUAUGAGUUGAUUCUGAAUGAUCCAUAUGUUUUACAGCGUAUUGAUGAUGUGCCUUUUUUUCAUACUCCAGUGCAUGUAGCUGCCUCUGCUGGGCAUAUUGAGUUUAUGAUGGAGAUGAUCAAAUUAAAGCCGACGUUUGCGAGAAAGCUAAACCAAGCUGGGUUUAGCCCCAUGCACUUGGCUCUGCAAAAUGACAGAACUCAUGCAGUGCUUCGACUCCUCAGGUUUGAUGAAGGCCUUGUUCGUGUCAAAGGGAGGGAGGACCUCACUCCUCUGCACCAUGUAGUUCAAACUGGAAAUGUUGAUCUUUUGAUCAAAUUACUUGCGGUUUGUCCUGAGGCUAUUGAAGAUGUGACUGUUCGAGAUCUUGCAGUAAAAAACGACAUGUUUGAAGCAUUUCAAGUCUUGGUGGGGUGGCUUAUAAGGAGCCGCUAUGGAGCUGCACAACGUUGGGAGAAAGAACUGCUUAGUUGGGCGGACAUUGAUGGCAACACUGUGCUGCACAUUGCAGCUAUCAGACACAGACCUCGGGUAUAUGCUAAUUUUCCUAAUCAAGUCAAUUAUUGAUAUGUAUGUAAGUAUGAUAAAACGGUUAUUUAUAUAUGAAUAUUCUAAUUAACAGGUGAUGGAAGUAUUGCUGGAACACUUGCAUCCAUACCAAAUCAAUGCCAAAAAUUUGGAGGGACUGACAGCACUAGAUAUCCAAUCACAAUACCCAUGGAAUGAAAGGCAAGCGGAUAGGACUAUAGAUAUGCUAAGCAAAGCAGGAGGCUUGAGUGGUUCCUCUUCCUCGCUUCCCAAUACCUCCACCUCUUCAUUCCACAUCGAUUCUUUAAAAGAAAAGAUGACAUGGUAUGAAAAAUGGAUAAAAGCAGGUCGAAGAAUGAAGGGUAUGCCACAUGAGAUGCGUAACAUAUUACUCUGCUAAUUAUAACCACCACUUACGAUGCCUCUUUAAACCCUCCAAAUACGCCUGAUGACAGCCCAUUCAAGAACUACCAAUUCUCUUUAAGUCAAGACCAGCCUCUCAAUUCCCACACAUUUUUGCAUAAAACCGACAUCAAUACUGCGCCCAUGCCCAGUCCCUCCGCAAUUGACGUUUUCAUAAAAGAUGAAUGGUCAUCUGAAUACUCCUCGUUUUGGGCUUACAACUCGUUAACCUUUUGGGCAGCAGUUUUUUUAACAGCAAUUCUCCUACCACCUCAUUCAUUCUGUACGUUGGUUGAUACUCCUAGCACUUACCGUGUUUGGGAGAUCUUACAUGCAUUUAGCUGCUGUUUCGACGUGGUCACGGGUACCAUUACCAUAUGCCAGUGAAAAGGCAUACUCAUAUUUUUCUUCAGGCUCCGUUUAUAAUCAAGCAUUCUUAACGUUUCUGCCUGUCCUUAUGGUAUUCCGGGCAAUCUUUUAUGACCCGCAAACAUUACCAAACCAAAUUUCUCCAUGCUACUAUUAUUUGGUAAAGUUCUCUGGCAUUGUAUUCAAGAGAAGGUCACGGCGAGACGAGCCGUUUAUCAUUACGAUAGGUGUCAAGUGGAAGUGCAGUGAUGUAUGCAGCUGAGGCAUCCUAACAGACCGGUAGACUUGAACCUUGUUCCUACAUGACCCGAUCAAUUCGAUCAGGCACUCGCCAUCUAUUUUCAUUGUUCAACUCUUUGACAACACGAAAAAUCCAUUGUUCAACUCUUUGACAACAUGAAAAAACCAAAAGCUCUGCCCUCCCUCUCUAUCUAUCCAUGGGAUGGAAGGGCGGAGGCCUUUGGUGUCCCCUCCAGUCAAGAAUUGGGGCCUCAUAGAGAUAGCAAGCAAAACAGAAAAGAAUCAGAGAAACGAACUAGUAACUAGAAAAUAGAGAAAAGAGCUCAUUUUGUGUAUUGAAUCAGAUCAUCAAUUACAAUGUAGCAAAGAACUUAAGUAAUUAAAUUAGUUACUUAAGUUCUUUGCUACAUUGUAAUUGAUGAUCUGAUUCAAUACACAAAAUGAGCUCUUUUCUCUAUUUUCUAGUUACUAGUUCGUUUCUCUGAUUCUUUUCUGUUUUGCUUGCUAUCUCUGGUUGCCUUCCUUGCAACUGUCGCCGGAGCACUGCCAUUUUCACAUGGUAUCAAAGCAAAGGUUUUUCGACCAGUAGAUCGACGAUUACUCAUUUUUAUGGAUCCACCAUCAAUUCCCAUUGUUGCUUAGGUCAAUCUGUCUUUUACAAAUAACAAAAUCAGUGUUUAUCUUAAUGAUCAAUGUUUAUCAAAAAAAAAAUGGUGGAAAUCCACUUUCAAAAUGAAAAUCACCUAAAAAUUGAAUUUAUAUUUUUUUGAAGUUUGAAAAUAGAAAUAAAUCAUUUGGUUAUAUUGAAUCGUUGAAUAUGAGAAUAUUAAAUAUAUUUUAUUCUAGAUUCUUCUACGUAAAGUCGUCAUGAUUUUAAUGGAAUUAGAAUUGGAUUGAGAAAAUUAUUUAAAUAAAAAAUAUCGGGUUGAAUCGAAUUAUAAAAUAUUGGAUUAAAAGCUCAAAAAGUACUUGGACUUGGACCCAAUAUGGAAUAGUCCCAAAAGCCCUUUAUGUGAAAAGAGGUGGAAGUCUAACCCUAGUAAAAAUAGCUAGGGUUGUCGCCACCUAUAUUCUUAGUUGGACCAGGAGUUCGUUUUACUAGUUGAAAUAAACUUCUAUAAUUCAACAAGAAUUCUACCUUAUUUCCCUAUAAAUAGAUUACAUCAGUAGGGUUAUUUACAAAACUUUCAGAUAUUAUUAUUUUGCCUGAAAAUAGAGAGACUUUUAUUCUCUAAGAAUUAAAUAUAUUUUUUGGAAUAAUGAUUAUAUCGGUUUCUAUUUGAGAAGAGAUUUUCGUUUCCACAAAAAAAAAUAUUUCUAGUUCUGUGUUUGAUUCGAUUUAUUCGAGCCCACACUCAAAGUAGCUCGUGGUACGAGAAUAGCAUAAAAUAUCGUUUGGUUGAAAGUCGGGAACGACAAUAAUCCGUCUAUCCAAAAAUGCAGGUGCGAAUUCAGCCUAAAGUUUAUUACUAUAAAACCAUUUUUGAACCUAAUUUUUUUCAACAAGAAAAUCAUUUUCGAACCUAAUUUUUUUCAACAGUUAGUAUUAGAGCGUCAAGUUGUGCUAUGUUUAUAGUGUAAACCGAUAUCAAAAUUCUCUCUCUUCUUCAUGAUUAAUUAUAUUUGAUAAAAUGUGACAUUCUUGUGAUAAUAUGCAUGCAUGUUUACGGGAAUGUAUGCGGAUGAAUAUAUGAUAUUAUUUUAUUGCUAUGGAUGAUAAAGUAAAUUUGCCAAAGUUGUGAUUCCUAGAAAAUAAUAAUAAUUUAUUAUUAAUUUAGAUUGUGAACUAUCAUCUUCAUGCAAGAUUUAUUUUAUUUUAGAAUAAAAUAUGUGAGUAGGAAACGGAAAUAGGAAUUUCGUAACCUAAAUUUUCCCACCGAAACCCGAGAACUGAGAUAACGCAAAUUCAACCUAGCCAAAACAGCAAUGGCCGGAGGUGGUUCGAUGAAAGUGGUCGGUGGUGAUCCGACGGUGAUCGGCAAUGGUGACGACACAAAAACGAUGGCGGAAAGAUGAUGACAAAAACAUGAACCGCUAAAGCAGCAGAAGUCUGUGGUGACAAAAUUGAAGACUCAAAGUAUGCUUUGGGGUGAAUUUUGUAAUCUUAUUUUUAUUUAUUUUUGGCUUGUUAGAGUUGCGACCCAAAUUCUUUUUAAAAUAAAAUACCAGUGGCAAGAUGAGGGGAUCCACGAGGGCGACUUCUAUUAAAGUCAUGACGACUUUAUCAUACUAGAAUCUAUGAGUAAAUAAAUUUAAAUUGUCUUAUUUCGUAAAAUUGCAAUGACUAAUUGAUUUAAUUCCCACUUGAAACUUCAACUAUUUAAUUAUAACAAAUUAAUUAAUAAUUUAAAUAAAUUAAAUUAAUCAUUAAGUUAUCUUUUGUACCUCAUGAGAAAAUGCAUUCACUUCGAAUAGUGAUACAUGCAAUAUGUUUCUCUAUUUGUUGUUUUCAUUCACUCAACAUAUCAAUUCAAAUGCAAUUUAUAAAUGGUUGUGUUGAGCUAGCAAAGGGACAAUUGAAUAUAUAUAAUUAGGGCUCAAAUAAUUUAAAAUUAAGUUCUAACUCUUCCCUAUUAAUUACAACAUUAUUUAGUCAUAGAGUUAAUCCACUAAAAAUACCAUAACUAAAUUCUCUCUUAUUAUAUACCAUUACGAAAGCAACUGAAUUUAUAUUUGUCUAAUGACCUUGUCAUAUGUGUGUUGCCCUCAUAGGAUAUCAUUUAUCUCAUUGGGUUAAAUCUGUUCAAACAAUAUGAUCAUAUUUUAUCUCAUGAUGACCACCGCAUCUUCCACCAUGAAAAAGCCAAUUACUAAUACAUAGUAAUUAAAUCAUUUUUCCUAGACAAAUGACCCAUGACAACGUUACUUCUCCAUCAACCACGCAAUGUCAAAGAGAAGAUAUCAUUAACCAUUUAUUAGGCUAUGAAUUUCAUUGUUGUAAGUAAACCAAUGUCAUGCAUAAGUGUAAUACCCAAUAUACUGACUUUUGGCUCUAUUACAAAUUGAACUCUGGCUUUCAAUAUAUCAAAGUAUACAAGUUACAUACACAUAGUCAGUUACUUAUUCAGGAUUGAGGUAAGUCAUACUAUGAAUGUCACAAGCAAAUAAAUCCAUAAACAAAUGUAGGAUAAAUUCAACUUGGGUCUUGUCUGAUGUAUUAUCAAUCUAGACAAUCACACCUAUGUCUCUAUGUUUUGGGGAGUCAUACGUUCCAGUACCUAGGAUAAGAUAUUUCCCCAAUUGGACUUGAUAGACGACACAAUAGUCUCUUGAAUAAUUUUGCUCAAUUUUGAUUCUUUAGACCAUAUAGCAUUUAGAUUAUCUACCAAUAUAAGUUGUCUCAUAUCAUGAUCUGACCACAUGAUGCAACUUAAUAUUAGUUAAACAUUAAUUAAUCAGUGAGCCAAUAUUUACUUAUACAUUUUGGUUUUUAUGCAAAAAUCAUUGAGGAUAGAAAAAGGAUAAUAAUGUAAAUGAUGGAAUUUUACUAAAUAAAUUUAUUCAAAAAAUUACAAGCAUAUAUGACAAAAUAACUACACUAAAGACACUAGAUCAUAACGAAAGAAGCACUCUCUAUUUUUACAUUUCAUUUUAGAGUGACUAGCAUAAGCUUAUGGUGGAAAGUGAUAGCCAAAUCAUUUUGAAUCCAAUGUAAACAUGUUAUUUGUUAUGAUAUAUGGAAAAAUCUGACAAAAAUUAUAUAAAAAAAGGAAUGGUAAUAUUAUUAAAAGUGUAACAUUUGAAGUAUAAUGUAAUAGAAAAAAUAUUUUACAAAUAGACAAAAUAUUAAUUUUAGUUGAGAUGUACUUUAAAAAUAUAUAAUAAAAAAUGGAAGAAUUUAAUUCAAUAGUUAUUAUUAUUUUGUUUAUGUUCAAGUAAAAUGAAUUAAAAUCAUUAAAAAUAAGAGUAAAAUAAAAAAAAGGUGAUAUACCUUCUAAUUCUUUGGUAUUAUUGGGAAUAUAAGGUUACCUGCUUGUUAGUUGGAUUUUAUUUUUGGAUUGUAUUUUGUCCAUUUUAUUAAAAAAUGACAAAUUAAUCUUGUUAGAUUAAAGAGCAAAUUAGUACUAUUAAAAGUUGGUUCAUUUACAUUAGCAUGAGAUACACAUGGCACGACGCGUGUAACUGUUUGAUUAUGUCAUCAGUCAUACCAAUUUUUAACGGUAAAAAGAGAAAAAAAUUUACAAAAAGAAAUUAUUUCCUUUUUGAUCCAACCUAAAAGAAUUAAACAAUUACAUUGUUUUUAAAUAAUAGUUUAAGAACAUAUAACAAUUACAUUGUUCUAAGCAUUGUAUCAAUAAAAAAAGAAAUCAAAUAAUUAAUUGCCAGCUCAUCAAUAUAUAUAUUUCAGAAUGCCUAAAUGGACAAAUAUAAAGUUUUGAAGGGUGAAAUUUUUAUAAUUUGAAAAAUAAAAAACAAAGUUAAAAUAUACUAGCGGUUUGAGAAUUAGGUUAUUGCAUGGGAACCAUCUAUUGUAAGAAUGUUAUAUGGUCUAAGAGGGCAAAUGAUUCUGCUCAUUUUAUAAAAUAUACAUCAUGUUUUUUUUUCCUUAUGGAGUCUUCAUUUUUCUUUUAUUGGGAAUUAUCCAUAUUUAUGGAAAAUCAAAGAUAUGGGUAUCAAAUAAUAGAAAGUCAAAGAUAUGGAUAUCAAAUAUUGGAAAGUCAAAGAUAUGGGUAUCGAGAUAUUGGCAUAAUAAAAUCUGAGAUAUUUGCAAUAUAUGGUCCCUAAUUGUAAAGUGACUUUGCAAGUUGAUCCCUGAACCUCAACUAUAAAUAAGCAUGACCAUCUCUCAUUCUGUAUCUCAAACUUGCCAUUCUCUACUUAAGGCAUUGUUUUUUCUCUCUCUCUUUGUAAAUUCUCACUUGUAUUUUGGAGUGAAAUAUAUUUGGUAGUGGCCGAGGACGUAGGCAAAAUUUGCUGAACCUCGUUAAAUUAUUGUGUUCUUUAUUGUAUUAUUCUGCAUGAAUUGUGUGUGUGAUUGUAGUGAUUUAUUGUGCUAUUAAAUUAAGAUUGAGGGAUAUUCUGGCUAGGAAAGACCUGGUACUUAAGAGAUCCUUGUGAUCCACCUCUCUUUCCAGGGAAUUGAACUUAGUGUGAUUUUUUAGUACAAUAAUUUUACUCUUUUACACGCUUCCGCACAACAAUUGGUAUCAGAGCUAGAUUCAUACUUGGGGAAUACGAUCGUUCACGGCACUGUUCACGUACUGUAGUUGGGAUUGAGGAGAAAAAAUGGAAAAGGCAUCGUCAUCAACAAAGACUACUGUGACCAAUGCGAAAUUUGAAGUAGAGAAAUUUGAUGGUACCAAUAAUUUUUGUAUGUGGCAAUGUGAGAUCCUGGAUGUCUUAUGUCAGCAAGAGCUGGAUAUAGCCCUUGAAGAAAAACCUGACAAGAUCGAUGACAAGGAGUGGGCCAAGAUCAAUAGACAGGCAUGUGGAAUAAUUCGCCUAUGUUUGGCCAAAGAGCAGAAGUACUCUGUCAUGGAGACAUCAGGGAAGAAGUUGUGGGAUACACUGGAAGAAAGUUUCUAACAAAAAUUCUUGAAAAUAGGCUUUAUAUGAAAAAGAAACUUUAUCGGUUCACGUAUGCACCCGAUAUGUCGAUGAAUGACCAUGUGAACUCAUUCAAUAAAAUUUUAGCAGACUUGCUAAAUUUGGAUGAGAAAUUUGAAGAUGAAGACAAGGCAUUACUGUUGUUGAAUUCUCUUCCUGAUGAAUAUGAUCAUCUUACCACCACAUUGCUUCAUGGGAAGGAUACAAUCACAUUUGAUGCAGUCUAUAGUGCGUUGUAUAGAUCUGAGACUCGAAAGAAAGAUAAAAAAGAUCACAAAGAUACAACUACAGAAGUCUUAACAGUAAGAGGUCGUUCACGCAGCAACAAAUCUGGUAGAAGGAGUAAGUCCAAAGGGAGACCUGCCAAAGAUGAAUGUGCUUUUUGUCGUGAGAAAGGGGCAUUGGAAAAAGAAUUGUCCUAAGUUACAAAAAGGUAAAGCUAUUUCUGAUACAUGUGUAGCGGAGCAUGAUGAGGAAUCAGACUUUAGCUUGGUUGGCAUGGCAAUGGCAUGUCAUACAGAUGAGUGGAUUUUGGAUUCAGGAUGUACUUACCAUAUGUGUCCUAAUAAGGACUGGUUUUCUAGUCUUGAAGAACUAGAAGGUGGAGUUGUUUUUAUGGGCAAUGAUAAUGCUUGUAAGACAAUGGGAGUAGGUACAAUCCAAUUGAGGAAUCACGACGGCUCAAUUCAAGUCUUGACAGAUGUUCGCUACAUACCUAGCUUGAAGAAAAAUCUUAUCUCAUUAGGGGUCCUAGAAUCUAAAGGGCUCACAAUCACUUUGAGAGAUGGAUUACUAAAGGUAGUAGCUGGGGUAUUGACGGUGAUGAAAGGCACAAGAAGGAAUAAUAUGUACUAUUUAAAUGGAAGUACAGUUAUUGGAUCAACAUCAACAGCUUCUACGAAAGAUGCAGAUUCAGAGGCUACCAGGUUAUGGCAUAUGCGAUUGGGACAUGCUGGUGAAAAAGCUUUGCAGAGUUUGGCGAAGCAAGGCUUGUUGAAAGGUGCAAAUUCUUGCAAAUUGGAAUUCUGUGAACAUUGUCUUCUGGGCAAGCAGACGAGGAUAAAAUUUGGUUAGCAAUUCACAAUACAAAAGGAAUUCUGGAGUACGUUCACAGUGAUGUGUGGGGACCUACUAAAGUGGCUUCUUUGGGAGGUAUGCACUAUUUUGUUACUUUUGUUGAUGAUUAUUCAAGAAAAGUAUGGGUGUAUCUAAUGAAAAGGAAAAAUGAAGUUUUGGAUGUAUUUCUGAAAUGGAAGAAUAUGGUGGAGACCCAGACUGGUCGAAAAGUCAAACGACUUCGAUCAGACAAUGGUAUUGAGUACAAGAAUGAUCCAUUUCUACAAGUAUGUCACGAUGAAGGCAUUGUAUGACACUUCACUGUUCGAGAUACACCACAACAGAAUGGGGUGGCAGAACGUAUGAAUCGGACUAUACUGGAGAAAGUUCGAUGCAUGUUGUCCAAUGCUGGAUUGGGCAAAGAAUUUUGGGCUGAGGCAGUUACAUAUGCGUGCCAUCUAAUUAAUCAGUUGCCAUCAGCUGUAAUAAAUAGAAAAACUCCUAUGGAGAGGUGGGGUGGUAAACCUGCUACUGAUUAUGAUUCUUUACAUGUUUUUGGUUCCACUGCAUAUUAUCAUGUAAAAGAAUCUAAGUUAGACCCAAGAGCAAAGAAAGCAUUAUUCAUGGGUAUAACUGGUGGAGUAAAAGGAUACCGUCUCUGGUGUCCUGAUACAAGGAAAAUUAUUUUCAGUAGAGAUGUGACUUUUGAUGAAUCAACCAUGAUGAAGAACAAUGAUUCACAAAAGGAUAACACAACCAGUGGCACUUUGCAGCAGGUGGAGCUUGAAAAGGUUAAUGAUGAUCCAGCUAAUAUUGAAGGAACAAAUGAUGAAGAAGUUUCGACCCAAGAACUUCUACAGCAACAUGAUUCAAUUGCAUAUAAAAGGCCAAGAAGAGAGAUUUGUAUGCCUGCUCGCUUUAAUGAUAUGGUGGCCUAUGCACUUCCAAUUACAGAUGAUGAUGUUCCUUCUACUUACACAGAAGCAAGAAGUAACCCUGAUGGUGUAAAGUGGAAGCAAGCUAUGAAUGAAGAAAUGCAGUCUCUUCAUAAAAAUAGGACUUGGGAGUUGGUGACACUACCCAAAGGAAAGAAGGCAAUUGGAUGCAAAUGGGUAUAUUCAAAUAAGGAAAGAUUUCCUGAUAAAAAUGAAGUUCGAUACAAGGCUAGAUUGGUAGUAAAGGGUUACGCUCAGAAAGAAGGAAUAGACUACAAUGAAGUAUUUUCUCCAGUUGUGAAGCAUUCGUCUAUUCAGAUUUUGCUAGCCUUGGUUGCGUAAUAUGAUCUUGAACUAGUUCAGCUCGAUGUGAAGACCACAUUUUUACACGGUGAUUUGGAAGAGGAAAUCUAUAUGACUCAGUCAGAUGGAUUCAAGGUUACUGAUAAAAAAAUUGGGUUUGCAAACUGACAAAGUCGCUUUAUGGAUUGAAACAAUCUUCGAGGCAGUGGUACAAACGAUUUGAUCAGUUCAUGAAAGGGCAAAGGUAUACAAGAAGUAAAUUUGAUCAUUGCGUGUAUUUUUAGAAGCUACAAGAAGGAUUUUUCGUAUACUUGCUCUUAUAUGUUGAUGAUAUGUUGAUAGCAUCUAAGAGUAAAGUUGAAAUUGAGAGAUUGAAGACUCAACUCAACCUUGAGUUUGAGAUGAAAGAUCUAGGUGAAGCUAAGAAGAUCCUUGGUAUGGAAAUAUGUAGGGAUAGAGCUCAUGACAGAGUUAGUUUGUCUCAGAAGCAAUAUUUAAAGAAGAUACUACAGAAGUUUGGCAUGAACGAGCAGACUAAAGUUGUAAGUACCCCGUUGGCUUCUCAUUUCAAGCUUUCUGCACAACUAUCUCCUUCGACAAAUAUGGAACAAGAAUACAUGUUACAAGUUCCGUAUUCUAAUGCAGUAGGUAACUUGAUGUAUGCAAUUGUGUGUACAAGACCCGACAUUUCACAGGCAGUUAGUAUAGUGAGCAGGUAUAUGCAUAAUCCUGGAAAAGGACAUUGGCAAGCUGUGAAAUGGAUUCUACGGUAUAUUCAUAAGACCAUGGAUAUUGGAUUACUGUUCAAACAGGAUACUACACUUGGUAAAGGUAUUGUUGGGUACGUUGAUUCUGAUUAUGCCGGUGAUUUGGACAAACGAAGAUCAACCAUUGGUUAUGUGUUUACUCUUGCUGGAGGACCAAUAAGUUGGAAGUCUACACUGCAGUCUACAGUUGUGUUGUCAACCACAGAAGCUGAAUACAUGGCUGUAACAGAGGUUGUAAAGGAAGCUAUUUAGUUACAAGGUAUGGUUAAAACCUUGGGUUGGUUCAGGAGCAUAUUAAUGUGUAUUGUGAUAGUCAAAGUGCUAUUCAUUUAGCAAAGAAUCAAGUCUAUCAGGCACGUACAAAGCAUAUCGACGUACGUUUCCAUUUUGUGCGGGAAAUUAUUGAUAAGGGGAAAAUUCACCUUCAGAAGAUUAAGACUGCAGAUAAUCCUGCAGAUAUGAUGACCAAGGUGGUAACAACAAUCAAGUUCGAACAUUGUUUGAACUUGAUCAAUAUUCUGCAUGUUUAAUAGUUGAAGAAUCCACUAUCAAGUGUUGUUGACAAAGGCAGAGAGAAUUGUGUGAAGAUAAGAUUACUCGAAUCAAAUCUUCAAGGUGGAGAUUAUUGGGAAUUAUCCAUAUUUAUGGAAAAUCAAAGAUAUGGGUAUCAAAUAAUAGAAAUUCAAAGAUAUGGGUAUCAAAUAUUGGAAAGUCAAAGAUAUGGGUAUCGAGAUAUUGGCAUAAUAAAAUUUGAGAUAUUUGCAAUAUAUGGUCUCUAAUUGUAAAGUGACUUUGCAAGUUGAUCCCUGAACCUCAACUAUAAAUAAGCAUGACCAUCUCUCAUUCUGUAUCUCAAACUUGCCAUUCUUUACUUAAGGCAUUGUUUUCUCUCUCUCUCUUUGUAAAUUCUCACUUGUAUUUUGGAGUGAAAUAUAUUUGGUAGUGGCCGAGGACGUAGGCAAAAUUUGCUGAACCUCGUUAAAUUAUUGUGUUCUUUAUUGUAUUAUUCUGCAUGAAUUGUGUGUGUGAUUGUAGUGGUUUAUUGUGCUAUUAAAUUACGAUUGAGGGAUAUUCUGGCUAAGGAAGACCUGGUACUUAAGCGAUCCUUGUGAUCCACCUCUCUUUCCUGGGAAUUGAACUUAGUGUGAUUUUUUAGUACAAAAAUUUUACUCUUUUACACGCUUCCGCACAACAUCUUUAAUGAUAAAAGCUUAAAGAAUAAUCUUUAAAAUUUGGUUGUUGGUAGCUUUAUUUGGGUAGAAUUUGAGAUUUAGUUCAUAUAUUUUAAAUGUUAAAAUUUUAAUUUUUUUUACUUUUUCAAUUUAAUAUUGUAAAAUAAAACCAUAAAAAAUUGUGUACAAAUAGUAUUGAAUUUACAUAAAAAUAUAUAAAAAAUGCAGGAUAAAUUUGAAUAAUAAUACAUGAACACUUAAAAUGAUAAUAUAUGAAAAAAAACUUAAGAUAAUAAUAUACGAUAAAUUUAAACAAUAUUAAUAAUGAAUUUAAAAUAAUAUUAAGCAUAAAUAUUAAAAUAAGGUUAGAUUUAAAAAUAUAUAAAAAUAAUGGAAUAAUAAAUACUUAAAUAAAUUAGAAAAAUAAGCAAAUUAAAUCAAGCUAAUAAGGAUUAAAUUGGAUUUAAAACAAAAUUAGAAGGUAAAAACGUAAAUAAAAUAAAAUAAAGGACCCAAUUGAAAAGCGCGAAUAACUCAAAGGGACCAAAUGGGGAAAUAUCCCCGCCUUUUGAAAUGCAUCGUUUCACCAGGACCAAAUCAGAAACCAAAUAAAAUUUAAAGUAUCAAUUGAAGAAAAUAAAAAAAUUGAAUUAAAAUAAUAAAAAAUACGGAGGGGGCAAAUGCAUAAAUAUCCUUACCAAGACCAGAACAGGCAGAUCUAGCUGCCUCUGGGUCGAGUCAUCGGGUAUAGUCAAUACGGCACCGUUUUGGAGCCAUUGAAACAGACUUUAAAUGGUGUCGUUGCAUGGCCUUUAUAAAACAAAAAAAAAGAAAAAUAAACAAGUUUUUAGCCAUUUCGAAUCAGAUAAAAACCUUAGCCACACGCCGUUUAGAAGCCUGGCCAUUCAAAGGCCAAUCGAUCCCUGUCUGAACUUCGAUUGCGACAGAGUGAGCAAGGAUUCGACACCACCAAGUAAUUUUCUCACCUUAAAUUGUUUUUUUCUUUUUUUACACAUGAUGAGUAAACAAAUAGAUGAGUCUAGAACAGAAAAGAAAAACAACGAAAAGAAAAAAAAAGGUUUCAAAUCACCUUUAGAAAAUUCUGAUUCUUUGAUUUUUCGUCCCCUUUUAUAGAUUUGUAAUUGGCUUUUUAUAGCCGAAACGAAAAAAAGAAAAUAUGUAAAAAAGAAAUCUAUUAUGUUAUCUAGCUAUUUUCAUUUGCUGGCAUAUUGUUGCUCGCUUUUUACUGUUAUUCGUUUCUAUUUCAGGUGUACGAAGGAGCGAUGACGUGGAGGUGCAACACGCGUGGAGGCCUGGUUCCCAGCUGCGGCGUGGACUGUUCCAAAAACCCUAGGGGUUUCUGGAGAUUUCAAAUUGGGCCACUUCAAAUCGGGCUAGGGUUUAAUUAAGUCUAGGAUUGUAUUAGGUCUAGGAUUGGGUUAGAUUUUGGGUUUAGGCCUCAAUCCGAAUUUGGCCUAUUGUAACUGAACUUUUGGACUUAUUAAUGGUUAUUUUGGGUAUUGGGCUAUUAGGGUUUGUUGGGUUUGGGUUUUAGAUAUUUGGGCUGAUUUGUGUUUGUUUAUUUUGGGUUGUUUGUGUAAUUCUGGACUUUUUAUUUUAUUGGACUUUUAUUUUUUGAUUUGGUUUUUUUUGUGUGGGCUCGAGCAGAUUGGGCCUGCUACAAUAUUGAUGCAAAACUUUGUCACUAAAGUGCAAAUUGUAACAAUAGUUAAGUAGUCUUUUGUUCGAAUAACAUUAGAAGCACAUCAAAGUCAAAGCACAUAGACUUUAAGUUCAUUGUUGUUAAAAUAAAAGUUUAGGGUGGUUAGAUGUCUAUAAAGUAUAUUGAGACAAACUCCAUGGUUGUGGAUUCGCUUAUUAAGGGACUACCACCCAAAGCUUUUUUCCUGAGCACACUGUUGAUAUGUGUGUAAUGUCAUUCAAGGAUAUUUGAUUUUAGUAGGAGUUUGUACUUUUAAACGUUUUUAUGUUAUAAAUACAUUUUCAAUUAUUUUAGUUUACAAAUAUUAAGUUUUUUUUUUUUGUAGAAAGAAAGUUUAUUUGGUAAAGUUUGAUCUCACUAAGAUUAAUGUGGACCGGUUAGAAUAUGCAUGUUUGAAUCAUAUUACAUGUAAUUUUCAUGUUACACAUCCAUACUUAAUCUAUGUCAUUUGGUUGUGCUAAUAUAUGUGAUUAAGGCUGGAUUUAGUUAUGAUAUAUGUAACAAAGUUGCAUUCUUUCUAUGUUAACAUAAUUAAUGGACAGAUUGUUCGAAAUACCUUUUAGAUACGAUAGUAAAAUUUUGAGCUCAUAAAGUUAUAUAAUGACAUGUAAUUAUAAGGUAAUCGGUAUAUAUAUAUGUCAUCCAAGUGGUAUAUAUGGACAUCACAUAUAUAAUAAGCAUGUUACAUGUUAUUAUUUACUAUCAUAAAAGAUUAACUCAAAUUAAAAGUGAUCUAAUUUGGUUAAGAUUUAUUGGAUUUUAGUUAUUAAAUAAAAUAUAGGUCAAUAAUAUGUGUAGAUACUCUAGUAACUAAUUUCUAAUUUAUGAUGGGCUGAUUAGAAAUUAGGUUAAUGUGAAAAUGUUAUAUAUUAGGAUUUUGGUCUCCAAGUUAUGCAUAUGUAACUUUUCUAAUAUCCCAUCUUGAGAAAAGAGAGAGUCACAUUCUUUAGAUUACUUGUGAGCUAAUUUGGAAGAUCAAAACCUUAAAAUUCGUAGAUUUCAAGAAAUCGGUAAAUUCAAAUACGCUUCUGCAUUUAGUUUUGUUCUUAAUUAUUUGACAUGAUAGAUUCUGGUUUAUUAAGUUUUGUAAAAGAGUUUUACGGUUUUAAUAGGAUAAUUACGAAUCCCAAAUAUAAACUGUAAAACGGACAUGAAGAAUAUAAAAGAAAUAUUACAAGAAUUUUGAAAGAGAAAAUUAAAUUGAAAAUUUUAAUGUUAUUUUUAUCUUUCAUAAUUAUUUUUAUUUAUAUUUUAUUUACAAGAACAUUUUAUUAAGAGUUUAUUAGGAUUAAGUUUAUUUUUACUUUUAUUAAAUAAAUGUUAGACUAAAAAUAAACUUUUUUUUCCACUGUUGGUAUAAUGGAUAGUAGGCUAGGUUGUCCUUUUUUAUUUGUUUAGGCACCCGUGUACGAGAAUAAUUUAUAUUAGAAUAGUCCUAAAGGUUAAAGAUUUUAAUAUUAAUAAAAUUUUGUCACAUCAUCAAAUUUUAAAAAUAUAAAAUUAUUAUUAUACACUCGUUCAUAUUAAAUUUACUUUUUAACUUUCGUUCUUUUUAAACAUAAAUAAUUAAAAUAAAAAUAGAAAAAUAGAAUAUUUAAAAUUUAUACAAUCCUUAAAGAUUUAAUCCAAUAUUUUUUUUUGUUUUAAAAAAUGUAUAAUAUGAAAUAGAAAAAAAAAUUAAAAUGGAAAAACUCCAUUGCCUAUAAACUAAUUUUUAAAAAAAAAUUGGUUACAAAAAUUAAAAAUAUUAACUUCUGAAAAAAAACUAAAAAUGAUUAAAAUUUAUAAAAGAAGAAAAGAUGUUUAUUUAUAAUUUAAAAAAAUUAAUUAUUUUAAGUAAUUUAAUUAAAGUUAAAUUAAGUUAAAGAAGAAAGGAGAAAUGGAUAAGUAUAUAAUAAUACAUAAUUUGUUAAAUAUAUAAAGAAAUUUAUUUGAUUUAGUACCUAAAUAUUAAUAUUCGAAACUCUCGAUUUUUCACAAUUUAUUCAAUCAAAUUUAGAUCCAACUUUAAUUAUAUUACAAAGACAUUCUAUUUUAUUAUUUUAUUAACGGGUGAAAAAACUUAGUUCAACCCAUAAACAUUGACCACAAAGGGAAAUUUGAAACACUUACCACCAAUCCCCUAUCAGAAAGUCUUUCCCACAUUCAACUAGAAAUCAGAGCUCACCAAAAUGUUUAUUCUUUUCAAUCUGAACCGACUCUACAAUCACUUAUUGCUCAUGGUCUUCAGCCUAUAAACCCAGAAGCAUUAUUAACUUCUAAAUCCAAAACACUAAUAUCAGCAUCCAACCCUACAAUGGUAGUCUUAUUGACUCAUUUAAACAAGUUUCCUUUGUCAAUCUAUAUUCCAUAUUGGGUAAUCUCCAAUAUUAAUUCAGAAUUUAGGAUAGCUGGAACAAGAAUAACAGCAAAGAUGCAAAGCGAAACGACUUGUAGGAGGAGGAAGAACCUUCUUUUGGGUACAAACCUGUAUAGCAUAUAAUAGGAUGUCCUGUAUAAUGUCACGAGAGCUAGUACCGUUGCCAAGCAGUAAUUAGUAGUGCUGAGUUUAGAAUAGGAAACGGAUCCAGGAGUCGAAAGAUAGAAAAAAUACUGAAGUGCGAGUGUCCGUAUGGAAACAGCAACCAAAAGCAUGUAACAGGUCCCAAACAAGGAAAGUGUUAUGAGAAUAAACAAGGACAUUGAACGGCUGGGUAGGAGAUACGCUGUUAAAACAGUUGUUGCCCAAAAGGUUAAAGUGUUGUAUAACCAAAACAUUGUGGACACGUCUAGUAUAUUUUCUAUUUUUUUUUCUUCAGCGGGUGGAGGACUUGGUACGGGUCCAGUGCUGGUUGAACCUAAAGAUAUGUCAUACGUGAGAUGGAAAUUCUGGGAAUUUGAAAUGGUAUCAGGCUGCUUUGGAGGGUUCAAAGUGGCAGUGUAUGUGGCUGUUAUAAUUAGCACUGUGACUACUAAAAAUGUGUUACGCGUCUCAUGUGGGAUUCCCUUCUUUCCACGACUUGCUAUUGUUGCAAUUUUUUGAAGAACUGACACCUUUCCUUUUAAAGAUUCGAUGGGGAUUGAAGAGAUGGAGGCUUUGGGAAGCGAGGAAGAGGAACCACGCAAACCUCCUGCUUUGCUUAUCAUAUCUUUAAUGGACUCCUUAUAGUCCACUCUCCCUUCAUCCAAUGGGUAUUGUGAUGGGAUAUCAAGUGCAGUCAAUCCCUCCGCAUUUUUGGCAUUGAUAUGGUCUCCACACAAGCGUUUCAGCAGUACUUUUACCACCUGUUAAUUAGAAUAUUCAUACAAGUAACCUUUGAGUAUAUAUAUACAUAAAUAAUUUUACUAGCAAAAUUAUCAUACCUGAGGUCUGUUUCUGAUAGUAGCAACAUGUAAAACAGUGUUGCCAUCAAUGUCUGCCCAACUCAGUAGUUCUUUCUCCCAACGGUUGGCAGCUUUAUGGCGGCUCCUUAUAAGCCACCCCACCAAGACUUGGAAAGCUUCAAACCUGUCAUUUUUUACGGCAAGAUGGAAAACCGUCUCAUCUCGAACAGUCACAUCUUCAAUAGCCUCGGGGCAAACCUCAAGGAACUUGAUCAAAAAAUCAACAUUUCCAUUUUGAACCACAUGAUGCAAAGGAGUGAAGCCCUCCCGCCCUUUGACACGAACAAGGCCUUCAUCAAACCUGAGGAGUCGAAGCACUGCUAGAGUUUUUUGAUUUUGCAGAGCCAAGUGCAUGGGGCUAAACCCAGCUUGGUUUAGCUUUCUUGCAAACGAUGGCUUUAAGUUGAUCAUCUCCAUCAUAAAAUCAAUAUGCCCUGCAGAAGCUGCUACAUGCAAAGGAGUAUGGAAAAAAGGUACAUCAUCGAUACGCUGUAAAACAUAUGGAUCAUUCAGAAUUAACUCAUACAAGAUGUUUAUGUCUCCUGUUUGUGCAGCACCUAUCAUCCUCUCAUCCAUAGCAAGGUGCGGAAAUUUGCAGAAUAUAGAAAUGGAGUGAAGAAAAAACGCUUUAGCAGAGGAUAUGAUUAUGUUAAGGAUAUAAUGAAGUGUUUGAUU
rnacentral:lncRNA from 1 species